rnacentral:lncRNA from 1 species
AAUGGUGUUGUGAUGUAGGUGGUUGCAGCUGGUGGAUGUUGGUCUGAGGUUGACUUCCCUGGUCUCUUCCCUCAGCCUACGGACAGAGUAGAGACAAAAGGAAAAUGCAGCUCGCGGCUUUUCUUCAGUCGAUACUCACGAGGAGCAGCUCUCCCUCUCUUGCUCUCGGAUGCUACCUUUUCACGAUGAAGAUGGAGUGCAGUGGUUUCGGUGGAGUUGUGCAGAAAAGAAAUGGAAUUUGAUGAAGGUGGUGUCUCGGUAUUUAGAAAGGAAGCGGUUUGCUUGUACAGAGAAGAAAGGAAGUUGCGGUUUGUGGUUUGUGCAGAGAAGGAAAUUGGUAUUGUGUCUUGUGGCUGUGAAAUAGAGCAAAUGGUAUCGUGGUUUUGUGAUAUGAAUUGGAUUGGUAGUAUGAAGAAAUAUUGUGGGCCGUGGUUGAAAUAGAUUGAGUGGUAUUAGAAAGUAUUGUGGUUUGAGACGUGAAACAAAGAGAAUGAUACAAGUGCCGCUGUUUAGGAGAAUAGUUUGCGCGUAAGAGCGGCUUGCGUACAAUUUUGGUAAUAACUUGCGUGAUUUGAUUUGCAGUCAGACGUCUCGUUUGGUUUGCAUGGAAAGGUAAGGUAAGGUAUUUUAGCCUUUUCACUUCACUCCCUAACCUCAACUUAAUUUCUCAAUUCCAUCUUAAUUCUAAAAUUAUCCCCAAGCGCGAUUCAAACGCCUAAUUAUACUCUAAUAUACCUAACCCAUUUUUUUAUCGAAUAAUUAUCGAUUAAACUUGAAUAUUAAGGUUCCUAGUAAUUCUUAUAUUAUUCAGCGAUUAAAUUAGUUAUUAUAAUUUCCAAUUAUUAUUUCUCAAGAAAUAGAGUUAGUCUAACUCGAAAUUUAUUGAUUUAAUAAUAUAAAGUCAAGUGAAAUAAUAAUUAAAUCCAAGGUGUCAAUUUGCACAUAAGAGUAUUUUUACGCACUUAUUGCGAAAACAACGAAAGAUAAGGAUAUAUUUAUCGAAUUUUCACGCAUUAAGUAUGUUUAGUAUAUUAGAAUCAUAUUUAUCUAAAAUUCAUUGGUUUUCAUCUUAACGCGAAAAUUCCUAUUAACAUUUAACAUUAUUAACGAUUAAAGCUAGUUAUCGGAAAUCAAAGAAUUUAUUUUAAAGUAAUAGAAUUAUCUAACUCAAGAAAUAUUAAUUUAGUAUAGCAAAACCGAAUAAUUUAAUAUUGGCACAAUUAUAUUAUUUAUUACAUAGAAAUUAUCUUUACACUUUUAUUUCAAAACAAUUAGUUACAAUACUAGAAUUCAAAGUAAUUAAUGAUUAGAUCAAUGAAAUAGUUUACCAUCGAAAUAUGAAGUUAAUGUAACAAAACUAAGAAGUUUAGUAGUUUAGCACAAUUCUUUUAUUUUGCACAUAACGUUUAAUUCUACAUACUUAUUUAAAAACAAUUGGACUUCGUGCUAAAAUUUAUUAAAGAAUUAAAAUGUAAAUAAAAUAUGCACUGAUAUUUAUAUGUCUAUUUUCAGGGUUCUCACAGAGAAUGCUCAACAGGAGUGAAAAGCAGUCAAUUUUAUACCAAAUCGUGUCAUUCUACAUAUAUUGAGAUUAUUGAUUAUGAAAAAUGGACUAUUUCCAUUGUAAGACAUUUCAUUUGUUGUCAAUCAUGGAGAAAUUAAAUAUUCAAUCAGUUACAAUUUCACAAAAAUAAUGCCCGUAUUAAACCCUACGGGAGUGCUAACCUAUCCGGAGUACUUGAUACAAAAAUGCAACGAGAUACAAACCAUUUCCUAGUUCUGCCAUUCAAUCAUAACGCAACAUAAAUAUGAAAAUUGUACGAAGAACAGCUUUACUUAUAAGACGAGAUACAAAAACAGCCACAAUCCGAGACUAAUAAAGCAAAACCAUUCUCCUCGGAACUUCGUGGUGACUACAUAGGUACUAGCUGCUUAAUAUUAAAUACGACAGCAGAACGACAACCCAGAAAAAAAAAACAUGGAGAUUUCUAACAUCUAAUGGCUAAUAGGACGCAAAAGUGUGAGCCAUUUUGGUGGAGACUGUGAGACCCCGAAAAUUUUCUUAUUUCUAGACAUUUUAUUUUAGGCUUUUAGGCUUAGUUUUAGUGUUUUCUUUAUUAUAUGAAUAUUUGGAGGGAUUUUAUGAGAAAAUAUGAAUUUUGUAUCAUUUUCAGGAUAUAGGUUAUUUUCUGUGUUUUUAGGUGUGUAUAGUGGUUGUGGGACCCACUAGGGCGAUUGGUGCUGUAAAAAUGUAGUUGGAAAAAAUUUUAUAUACGGAGACUUUAUGACCUUGUGUUAGGAAUUAAUUAGAUGUUAGUUAGUGUAAUUAAGCAUUACAAGACAAGGAAUUAAGAUAAGCUUGGCAAGGCUCAGCACACACAACUCCAAUUCAGGUAAUUCAAAAGCCAUUUUAAAGCUAAGAUACAAGGCUAUAAUUCUUAAGAAGACAUCAUCAACCAAAUCUGUAGUAAUCCUGGUCAAACUAACCAAUUACAGAAGCUGAUUAGCAUGUUCGGAUAGAAACAGGGCAGCAGGGAUAUUUUGGCCUUUGCACAGGCUACGUUGCUCCGAUUGAGCUGAAAUUUUGCAGGCUAUUAUAAAAUAUCAUUAUCUACAACUUUUAUGUUUUGUGCUAAGGCCAAUUCGGCUUCUAACUAUGGGUAACAGAACCGGGCAGAACCAAGCAGUCAUAAGUUUCAUUUCUGGAAUUUUAAGAAAUCCAUGCACUCCAAUGCUAAUCUUCUUAUUUUUGGCUUGAUUCACCACCUCAACCUCCUAGACAAGCUUGUAUACACUAUAUACCAUCCACACAAGAAGAAACAUGGCUGAACAACACAAAACCCUACCUUACUAAUUCACCCAAAAUCAUCACAACUACUUGUAUAGUUACCAAUUUAAUCAAAACUUGAGUUGUAUAGCAACUUGAGCAAGAAAUAAAAGCACCAAAGAUAAGGGACAGCCAAUACCUCAAUAAAGAUGGUAGCGUAGAGUUUUCCUCUCCAAAAUCACUCCACCAAAGCCUUUAAAUCUCCUUAGUGAGCAAGUUUUAUGGAGUAGUUGGUACAAACUUUGAUUGGAACUCAAGAUUCAAGCACAAGUUGAAGUUGGAGUUGAAGGUUCUCUCUUGUUUUUUCCCUCCCCUAAAAUUUCGGCCAAGCUCAAGAAAAAUGGAAGAAAAUGGAGCCAAGAAGAAGAUAAAAAGGAAGGAAAAUGUCUUGGUCAAAGGUCUUGGUCAAGACCUUGGUUGGAUUUGUGACACAUGGCUUAAUCCCAAAUAUGUCCACCAAAAUAUCUCUCUUUUCCUUAGUCAAUAAUGGUGGCUGGCUUAAGGGUUAAUUAAGAGCUAAUUAGCUCAACUAAAACAAGGAGAUUAAGGUAAUAAAGUGGUGGUCAAGUGGUGUACUCACUCGGUAACAAACGGUACCCGUCGGUUCGGGCCGAUUUUCUUAAAUCACACGUACUAGGGUUUUUUCUUCCUAUUCACUAACUUUAUAUCAUUGCUUCUAAUCACAUAUUAUUUCUCACCUAAAAGUCACUCUUAAGCACCAAAUUUGAUCCUCGCUCCGUACCGGAUAAUUAAACUACGGAUACACGAAAAACCUUAUUUCACUUCGAUUUGAAAUCGAAAAGGAAAACCCUAAUUUCCUAUAAUCAUUGGCAUUUUUCUAGGUGAUUGAUGAGUAAGUUGGUAUAGAAUAAUAUUUUCCAAAUAAUUUUCAAAUAAAAGGAAAUUUUCAAGAAAUAUAUAAGGAAUUUGCAAGUCCUCACAAUACGAAACAUAGGAUUCGACUCGUAAUCGAUCCGGAUUCGAACAAUAUAUUAAUAGUUAUAAAAUAUAAAUAUUUCUAAAUAUAUUCUUUUACCAAAUUAACAAUUUAGUAAUGACUUUGUAGAUUGAUCUGUGAUUAGUUUUGAAUUGACUAUUAUGAGUUAUGUAGACACCAAAUUUUUAUUUUUAUUUUAUUUUAUUAUCCAUGUUUGCUCAUUAGUCUCUUAAUUUAUGUUUAGGCAUUUUUAGCAUUAAAAUUCAAAAAAAAAGAAGAAAAAAGAAGAAAAGGUUCACAAAAUACGCCUUCUUUUAGCAUUAUGUUUAUCUUGUUUUAUUUUUAUUAUUUCAUUAUUUUAAAAAAAUAAAAAAAAAGGGGGACAGACCAAGCUCAUGCACCGUGACCCACACAAGAUCAAAACUCUUUCUUUGUAUCAUAUUUUUUUACAAAAAAGCAUGCGAAAAGCGAAAGGAUCCGAUGGCUUAAAAAAAAGGCAAGAGUUGAGGAUUCUUGGGAGCCCUUCAGAUGAGGAUUUAGGGUUUGCCAUUGGAUAUAAAAGGGAGGGGGUUUUGGGAACAACGGAUGAAAGAAAGGGGACGGCUGAAAGGGCUGAGGUUUGAGGGUAGAGAGAGAACAGCGGCGGAGGAAACUAAGAAAACUAGAGAGAGCUGAGAGGUUGAGAAAGGGAGAAAACUGUCGGGGAAAGAAAAGAAACAAAAGAAAAAUCGAGAGGCUUUUGACGGCUGGAAAAAGCUAAGAAGGAGAGAUAGUGUGAGAUAGAGAGAGAACCGAGAGGGAGACGGAAACAAUCGAGGGUUAAGGAAGAAACCGACAACUCAACAAGAAAGGGGGUGAUAGAGAAUCUGGAGGGCAGUCGCAGCAAAAAGGUGAAACUUUUCCCAGUUGCGCUUGGCCUGCGUCAAGGAUUCAUUGCUCCUCCAUCCAGGCGCUGUUUUUUUUUUUUGCAAUUCAAGGGAGCGAAGGUAACCUUUCAUUCUCUUUUCUUUCGGUCACGAAUCAUCAGGCCUUCAUCUGGAUGUUAAAUCGAUUUGUUGCCAAAUUUGCUGUGAAAGUUUUCUUCCUUCACGUUUUAUUAUUAUUUGUGCAUCUUGGGAGAUGGUGGAUCCGUGUCAUGGCUGUCAUCUUGGAUGUCUGAUGAUGAAGCUGUAAACUUUUAGUUGGUUUCGGAUGAUAUCACUAUAGAUUUCAUCAGAAACAGAAACCAAUCGUUUUUCCCCGUGCAUCCUUCUUGUUUUGAUCGACAAUGGUCCGUGUAUCAUUUGUUAUGGCUGUUAGGACCUUUAAGAUUCAGAUUUAGAGUCUGCUACAACCAGCUUCAAACUCUCGGUUUGUUGCAACCGUACGGAUAGACCCUUUUGUGUUUUCUAUGUACUAUUGAGGAUUGUGGCCUGUUUAAUGUUUUGUUGUUGUUUGCUGAUUAAUUGAGAUGCCAUGAAGAUGAUGUUGCAUUGAGUAUUGUUUCUUGGUUGCCAAAAGGGAAUAAAACAUGGUAAGAGAGUCAUUCCAUUUUACCCAUGACAGACUAUGCUUACCUUUCUUUUUCUGUUCUGGUUCCUUACGCUAGAAUGAUUAUUGGGUUCGGUUGUAAUCCAUGUGUUUUGAUACUGAAGUUGUUGCAUAAUGAAUUAGGCUUCGUAGUCCUCUUUUGGGGCUGGAAGUUGCUGCAACAGGGUUGAAGCCCUUUGUUUGUUUGUAGCAACGGCAAUUUCGUUUAUUGCCGAGGGGGGUUUCUUGACUUGAUCAAAAUUAGGGGAUGAUCUUUGCUGUUCCAUUGAUGUAUGAUGAGUAUGUUCACCAUAAGUCUCUUCAUGUUUGCAUGAUAUUGUCUCGGAACUCCCUGUGUAGAGGUCUAGAACUUUACUUGCUUCAUGGUCCGAGAGUUAAAAUGUUUUCUCAAAUGUCCUGAUUCAACAUCUCAAGUGAAUGUUGGUGUUUUCUUUGCUGCAUAUUUUUGGUUUCCUCACUGCUAAAAUUGAUGUCUGGAAAAUGUGUGUGCGUUUGGUGAAUAAAUGGUGAGUCUAAUGCAAUGUUUCGGCAUUUUAAUCUACAUGAGCUUGUAGCUGCAAAAUUUCGCAGCAAAACAAAAAGAAGUUGCAUUUUCUGUUCUGUUUUCUGUUCCGUGGUUGCUCAUCAAGUCUUUACACCUAAGUUGCAUGUUUAAUCUGGUAUUGAGGGCAAGGAAUGGAAUGAUUUGGUGUUGGGUUUGGGUGUUUGGGUCUAAAAAUACUUGAGCUAUGAUUGAAUGCUUGCUGGAAAAAUAGACAAUCAGGUUAUCGAACCAUCUUUGCAUGAAUGUUUUUCCAGAAUUGUUCAUGAUAUCUUUCUAAGUUUCUUGCUUGUUUGGAUCAUGGUGGUGGUGUAGUUUGUGGCUUGGUCUAAAGUUGUGAUAUUGGGUUGAAAAAUAUCUGAUCAAAACUGUGUAUUUGAAUCGGAAAUCUAAGUUUGAAAGCAAAGUGCAGCAGUUUUUUUUUUCAUUUUCGGUUGUUGAAGCUUAAUAGAAAUCAGUUGCAUAAGCUUCUUGUCUUCGUUCAUUGCAUGAAACUUGCAUGAAAGUCUUCCAAGAGUCCCCUUGUUAAAAGGUGUUUAGCCAUGCUUAAUUGGAAAUGGAUUAAAGUCUUGCAUGUAUCUUGUUUGCCGAAGGUUUCAUGGGGUUGUAAAAGCUCUCGAAUGAAAUUGCAGCAAGUUUGGAAGCAAAAGACAGCAGGCUUUUUUUUUUUUUAGUUGCAGAAAUUUAAGCCUUUACGUAGUUGCAUGGAACUUGCAUGCAAAUGGUUUUCAAAAAUUGCACUUUAACCCCUCUAAUUCCCCUUUGUUGCACUACGGCCCAAUUAUGUGCUGAUUUCUUGCAAUUAGGUCCUAGAGUAAUUGCGAUUUCAAUCAUUACUUGACCCUCUCUUUGCUCUUGAACCUUUAGAGUUCCCAAAAUGUUUUAAUUGGGCUGGAAUGAUUGGUUAAUGUUUGCAAUUGGGUCCUUGGUAUUUUUAUUUUCUAUUUUUAGAAAUUUGAUCGGUAAUUUACUUUCUUGGAAAUUAUGCAUUAUGUGAUUUCAUUUAAGUUGCAAUUGGGAGGGAUUUGGUGAUUUUGUUUAUACUUUACUAUUUAAUUGGUGCCUUGACCCUUUUAUUGUUUUGAAGCUAAUAUUUCCUUCAUUUCAUUACCAUUGCAAGGGAGGUAACCUCUAUCUCCUUGAUUUUAUUUCUCCUACGUGCUCCUACGUGCUAUGUGUGAAUAUGCAUGCUUUAAUUCGUUUUUAAUGUUUGAUCUCUUGUUUUGCUUUCCUUUUAUUUCGCUUUCUUUAAUUGGCAAGUUAUUUGAGGGCAUUUGAACCCCAAUUUGUAAUAGCUAGGUUUUGGCCCCUCUCUUGAAGACAUGUCUUAGUUAGUCAAUGUAAUAGUUAGGAUUUACCUUUAUAAGUCCUUUCCCCCUUUAGAUUGUAGUAGGGCUCCCUUCAAAUGUAAUAGUUAGGGUUUUUAUUUGCUUUAUAUUUGUCUUGUGUGCUUUUGCAUGCUUAUGUGUUAGGUGUUAUCCGCUUUCUUAGGGCCUUGCAUUUAAAUAUCAUGCUUAUGUGUUAUGUGCUAUAUGUGAUUUAUGUGUUUAUUUGCUUUAUUAUGCUUUAUCUGAUUUCUUAGACUGUAAUAAAUGCAUGUUAUCACACUAGUCCAAUACUAGCUGUGAUUCCUUUCCCCUCACCACACUAGUCCAACGCUAGUUGUGGUUCUUUGUUCUGAUUUCCCACUAGUCCAAUGCUAGUGAGGAUCCAUAGACAUGAGCUAGUCCAAUGCUAGACCCUUAGGAACCUCCCUCGCUAGAUCAUGUUUGUAUGAUUACAUUACACUUUAUGCAUAUUUUUCCAUUUUUUAGGAUCUUUAUUAUUUUCACAUAAUAUUCCUCCUAAUAAAAUAUCCCUUACCCCUAUGUAUAUAUAACAUUUAGAUUUGCAUCUCAUUUAGGAAAUUAGGGGGUAGAUUAGUGCAUUUUUGCCUGAUUAGACUAGAGAUAACCCAUUGGAUAUGGGAUAUGGACGAGUUUGGCUUUCUAGUCUUAGCACGCUCAUAUUCCCUCUAUUAAAGGGAACAUUAAGUCAUGAACAUUAGUCUCCCGCUCCUGACAUGAUGCAUUCCUUUAGGUCAUACAUAUUUGUAUAUUAUUAUUAUUUUCUUUCUUUCGAGUCUCAUGACUUGCAUUAUUCGUGACUUCUUCGAAGAGUCUUUAUUGGGCGUCACAAUUAAUGUGAUUAGUACCAAAUAAGCUUUGAAGAUACAUUUCGACCCCCAUACCCUCCUAGGUCUAGGGUUUGCAUUCAUAUAGAACAUCCAAAUGUGAUAAAUCUUUAGGUUAAAAUAAGAAAAUCUUUGACUAAAUCGCGCAACUAGCCUUGGCUAGGUUGAAAUGGUGCCUUGGAUUCUUAUCCUUGUCUUCCCUUUCUUCAAAUGUGACUCUCGAAUCUUUUUCUCUGAUUUUCGUAGACUUGGAGUCGUUUAAAAAGGGUUUUCUACUUUUUCCUUUAAAAUUCAUUUUUUAGGUGACUUGGUGCACCUCAACUCAAUACCAAGUGGCGACUCCAUUUUCCAUUCAAAAAACCUUUUUUAAACUAUAUUUUGGGUCAAAUCGUCGUAUUUUCAAGUCCCAUUUAGACCCAUGCUUUUUUCCAUUUUCUUUUUAAAUCAAAAAUUCAUUUUUAAAUCAAAACUUGAAUCAAAAGCCAUUUUCCUAAACUCGCCGUCUUUUAUUUAUUAUUCUUAUCAAAAAAUGGGGCGCGACAGUUGGCGACUCCACUGGGGACUUAGAGAGUCCGAGCAAAUUUGAUUUAGUCAAUCUUUUUCUUCUUUUAACCUUUUCAUAUAUCGCAUUUGGAUGUUUAGGGUUGCAUUUUUCUUUUUUAGGAUUUUUGCAUUUCACGCGUAUCAACUCACUCCCUCACACAUUUGCGUACAAUUGAUUUGAUGGAUGAAUGGUUUAUUUAUGUAAUCUCGCGCCUUGCAUUGCAUUUGGGUGGGGGAACUUUACCCUAGAGUCUCGCGUUGGUUCUUGAUCCCUCCCCUCCAAACGAAGCACUUCAUACGUGCAUGCAUAGUUUUAGUCACCCUAUUUUUCUUUUAUUAUCGUGGGCGCUAUCCCACAUCUCCCUGUAGGAUUAGGAUCGAUUGCCUUGGGUAGGCGGAUGGUGUGCUCUGCGCCCAUAGCGUUACCUAAGGGAUCACUCGAGCCACCGACCGAAGGCCUUGGGAAUGAUGACCCUUUGUCUUUAGCUCUGAAGGCUUGGGAGCCGAAGCCUUAUCGAGUCUAGAUGCAUUAGUAAGCCAAACCUCAUGCAUCCAUUUUAGAAUUGCCUAGGGUAGAGUCGACCUUAACCUAAAUUAGGAACACUAUUCACGAGGGGAGGGGUCCUACCCCUCUUUCCUUAUUUAUCUUUGUUGCUUUUUAUAUUAUCUAAUUGUCCAAAGUGUUAUGUGAUUAUGUGUUGAACUCACGUUUCCUUGUCUCUUGUCUUUUGCAUUCACAAACGUUAGGAAAUAAGAGGUCUGGCAUGAUCCUCUUUUAGGACCUACCCUUAUAGAUAGGAUAUUGCACGUUUAAAAAUUUUGGUAUAUUGCAUUUAUGGCAUAUCAUUUUAGCCUACCCUGGCGUAUAAAGGGUUCCUUAGGUCACGUUUUGAUUUAAAUUGCAUAUUUUAUUGCUUUAAUAAACUGGCAUCAUGCAUAAACCCUAGAAAGGGAAUGCCAUUUGGGGAUCCCGUGUUAGGAAUAAACCAUCUCAUGUCUCGGAUACUUAAUCCAAGGAGACUUGCACGUUUACAUUUUGUACCAUCCGAAGGGGUAGUGCACGAGGUAAGGUAGGAUCCGAUCAUUUUCAAGAGCGAUCUUUGGAAUAUGAGCGUCUAAUAAUCACCUUUUGGCCAUUUUAUCAAAAUUGGUAAAAAUCCCUUGCUUAAAGGACAUUAAUUUGAAGAAAUUCACAAGUAAUUCCUCACUAUUGAGACGAUAAAUAAAUUGAGGCCAAAAAUUAAUUUUAGAAGGCUCAUAAACUAAUGCAUCGCAAUAAAUUUUUGAAGCUACCAGUGGAUAGAUUGAUUUUCAAAUAAGCUGUCAAUUCAAUUCCCUCCAGUGGCUCAUUUUAUUCAUCAAUCUCAUCCAGUCCAUUUUAUUAAUUUGUUCAUUUUUAGGGCAAUCUAGUCGAUUUUGAAUUCAUUUGACUAAUUUACUCAUUUUUGGGCAAUCUAGUCGAUUUUGAAUAAAUCACCAAUUUCACUCAAUUCAUUUGAUUAGUUUACCCAUUCUUAGGGCAAUCUUAUCGAUUUUGAAUAAACCAUCAAGUUCAUCCAAUCCAUUUUGUCAAUUCAAAUUUAGGACAAUCUAAUCAUUUUUGAAUAAAUCAUUAACUCCAUUUCAUUCAUUUGGCCAAUUCACCCAUUUUUAGGGCAAUCGAGCCGAUUUUGAAUAAAUCAAGUUUCGUUCAAUCUAUUUGACCAAUUUACCCUUUUUAGGGUGAUCCGAUUAAUUUUGGAUAAAUCAAAUUUCAUUCAAUUCAUUUGACCAGUUUACCUAUUUUUAGGGCAAUUCGAUUGUUUUGAAUAAAUCAUCAAUUUUAUCCAAUCCAUUUGACCCGUUUUUUCCCUUUAGGGUUUAAGUCUAAGGUUCACUGAAUAAAAGUAAUCGAGACAUUGCAACCUCUUUUACACAUCAUUUUAUGAUCAAAGCAGGCAAUCCAUUCGGACUUCGUCCUCAUUUUUUAGAACAAAUGUCUUUUCUCACUCCAAUUGGCCAAAUUUUUCAAAUCAUUUCUCACUCAAUCUAUUGAUCGGAUUCAUCAGGUAUUGUAUGGUGCUUACCCUAGAGGAUUGCAUUUUCAUGCUAGACCUACCCUUGGCAUAAAAGGGCUCCCCCAUAGGACAUGCAUAUCGAUUUUAUAGUCUUACUUACUAACUCAGGGUAUUUUUUCUUUUGUUUUUCCCCCUUCCCCUGCAUUCAUAAAAAUGUUUCAAUAAGGUGAAAAUAUUUUUUAUAUCUGAUAACAAUUUUGAUCCGAUAAAGUUUGAAAAGUAUUACUUGAUUCUUGGGCCGAUCCUACAAUGUAAAGCAUGAAGGAUCUAUUUGGAAGCGUUAGGCUAAAGCGUCUAAGAGACUUCAUAAUUGUUAGUCAAAGAAAGUUUUGUUUGUUAAUACAUUUUUGUUCCAAAAGAAAAGGAGACAAAAAGUGUAUAUGUGGAGCUUUUUAGAAGUUUUUCUCAUUUGUAUUGUAAUUGAACAAGAAAUUUUGUUUCAAACUUUUUCAGCAAUAAAGUUUUUGGAUAAUUAUUGUAUUCAUGUACAUUUCGUUCUUUUGCUCAUCAGAGAUUCAUGAUGAAUUUUGGGAAAUAAAGCUAAAUUGAGAUUUCCUCAACCUCCAGCCUGAAAUUUCACGAGUGUAUGCUUUCUAAAAUCCUUACGUACGCUCAAUUAGUGAUCCGAGCUAUACAAUAAGAGUGCUCAGAGUUUAAAAAAAAAAAAAAAGGGGUGAGCGGUCACUCAAAAGGCCCAAUGAGAUACUUUCUCUCCUUCACUUAACCCCAAAAUAAAAUCAGUCACAUUGAUUGAUAAAUUACAAAUUGGGGUAAUCUUUGCUUGAAAAAUGUCCAUUGUGUCUAAUUAUGUUCAAUUCACAUCUAAGUGAAAGCAAAAAUGUGUAUUAUCCUUGUUUAGUUUGGAAAUUUGGAAUGAUACUUCGAGCGUUCGUUUCUCUACCCAUACAGAUUUUAUCAUUUGCUCUCCCAUUUGAGCCUUUGAAAGAAUAAUUUCGUUUCAAAUAAGAGCCUUAAUGAUCACUACCCUACAUUGGAAAAUUUUUAAAUAUAAAAAAAAAUGGAUUUUCAAUGAGCAGUUCGUUACUUUGGUUGUCAUGAAGCAUAAGAAUGAUGCUUUAGCCGUCGUUUCUACAACAUAAACACUGUUUUACCCCUUGCAUCCUCAUUUGAGCUAAAAUCGGUGGUUCUUUUCAAAGCACUUAUGAUCGCACCCCACAUUGGGGAAGGAGAUUGAAGAAUUUUCCAAAAGAAAAGGGAAAAGUAAAAAUGCUGAACCAAAAGAGAGAACCCUAAAUAGGAAAAAUUUGAUCCUACCAUCAAUAUCUGGGCUUCAAUUUUGGAAAAGAAGAAGGAGGAGUGUCUGGAAAAUCACCUAUACUUCACAGAUAUGAAUGUACGAGAGUCAUACUCAGUGAAUUAAUUCGGAUGCAUGCAAAAAAAAAAAUUCGCAUUAAUGAAAAUUUUUCUUUCAGAGUUAAUGUAAGGAGCGGAUUAAAAGUCAGGCCCUCUUCUUUUCCAAUCAAACAUUCUAUUCCUAGUUAUCCCUUUUGAGCUUUCAGAAUAAAUUAUUUCGUUUGGCAACCCCUGAGAAUCGCAAACUCCACACUGGGGCAAGUUUAGUUGAAAAAGAAAAAAAAUCUCAAAAGGUGAAAAGUGAUAAGGCAACAAAAUCAAAAGACAAAAGAAGAAAAGAGAACCUCAGUUGAACAUGAACUGGGGCAAAUUUUGAAAAGUUCAAAAGAAUGGCAGAAGGCCAAAAAGAAAAGAGAAAAAUAAAAGAAGAAGACCCUCAAUUGCGAAUAAAUUGGGGCGAGUUAUGAUUUAACCCUAAAGAAGGGUUGAUAUAAUAAUACGAUCUCAGAUCAUUUGAACCACUUUUAAGAAAUCUGCUUUCAAGUCUUAACUUUUCUAAGCAUCCUACCUGACCCCAUUACAAAAGCCGAAAGUCCUGACUUCUGUUCUUUGCAAUUGCCCUGUCAAGAAAAUUUCUGAUGUCGAAAAAUUUUAGCUGUAUUUCUGAAUUGCUUGGGUAUGGGGGUUGACGCUACUCACCAUGAGAAAACCCACCAGGUCGAGGAAAAGAAAAGGAAAAAGCAAAAAUAAAUGCAAAGGAAAUGAAAGGAUUUGAUGGUGAAGUCCCCGUUAAGUGAUGAUGGAAGUCACCAAAUUUACGAUCUUUGAGUUCAAAAUAGGGGCAAUUUUGAAAAAAUGUGAUUUUCGGUGCAACGUCCUUGAAAGUCUUGUUCUUCAACUAUCUUCUUCAAGCCGCAUUACAAACCCAUAAAAUCCAUCGUUGACUUAUCCUUCAUGACAACUCGAAGUGAGAAUUAUACUUCUGAGGAAUCCAUCAAUCAUCUGUGAUCUUAAGGCUAUAACCUGUUUUCACAUGUUUUAGCUAUCGUUUCUACCCAUAUGUUGCAAGCUUACAGCUUAUAUGUUGACUAGAUUUUCUUAAAAAAUGAGGGUGAUAAACUAUUUGCUUUCACUAAGAUGUGAUAUUGAAUGGGUUACAUACAAUUUGGGCAAAAGAAUAAGACAGAUCCUAACCUCCCAUUUUUCCUUAGUCACCUCAAAAGCAGAAAUAACACCUACUUGAUUAGUCCUGAAAGAUGAAUUAACAAGAAGUGAUGACCCAUUACUCUAAGCAUCAAUGCUAAGGUGAGGAAGAAAUCUUCUGUAACUGGGUUUUAUUUCAAGAGAUUCGUCAUGAAAUUUUCUGUUAGGAAAUAUAGUUUCUUACUUUGUUCAAAUAAAUGGAGAGUCAUCCAGACAAAUUUUUGCAAUUAAAUGGGCCCACACUGGGGCAAAUUUUUCAUUUGAGAGAUUUUGCAAAAUAAGCCCACACUGGGGCAACAUUUUUUGUAACCCACUUGAGGAUUUCGUCCAAGAGUCAAGCAAGACGUUUUUAAAUCAAGCAUACUGCUCUUUUCAUGAGUAGUAGAUGCAUCAAGAAAUUUAAGUGCAUGUUGUACGUUGGUAAGCCCCUUGUGCAGGAAUCCAUGGCUUGAAAUCGAUGAAGAAGCGUAAGUCAGAAUCUCGCGAAUCAAGACCUUAAGGAGGAGCAACCAUGCCGUAACGCAAAUCAAAUGAGCAGCAUCACAAUAAUUGGUGGAAAUUGGGGCAAAUUAUUUUUGAGAAGAUUCUCCCAAAUGGGAAAAUUGAAAAAUCAAAGAAAAAAGAAGAAAAGAAAGAAAGAAGCACAAGACAAAACAAAAGGGGUGGAGGCGACCUUAGCGAAAACCCUAAAGGGCACUAAGUGCUUUCGCCAACACUGGACUCCGGAGCAAAGAUAUUUGAAAGGGUCAAGGAUGACGUUUCAUGCUAAAGGUUUUGCACAGUAUAUGAUCAUAAUCAUGGGAUUUGGGCAAGUGACAAUCUUUUGAUUUACUAAAAGCGCAUUUGAAUCUGUUCAUCCCUAAGAAAGCACAAUGGAACAACGAACAGUUGACAAUCUUGAUUCCAGACAGAAAAGUUUGUUUCAAUGGAAUGCCGAAAAUUGAAGGUCUCAAAGUGGCUUGAUGUGAAAAUAGCUUGCCGAACAAAAAUGAAGAUCACAUUGGGCCUGGAUUUCGUGCCGCCAACAUCACGUUGGGCCUGGACUUUAUGCCACUAACAUCCCAUUGGACUCGAAUUUUGUGCAACCAAAACAGGCUCGGGUGUUAUUCCACUGAUCGAUUUUCAUGGCAGGCUCGGGUUUAAUCUCACUGACUAAUUUUCAUGGCAGGUUCGGAUUUAAUUCCACUGACCAAUCCAUCAUACUGGGGCAAAUUAUUUUUGGAAAGUUUCUCAAAAAUAAAAAAAGUCAAAAGUCAAAAAAAAUCAAAAAAAUUAAAAGUCAAAAAAAAUAAAAAAAUAAGUCAAAAAAAGAAAAAGUCAAAAAAUCAAAUAAAAAAAUCAAAAAUAAAAAAUCAAUCAAAAAUAAAAAAAUAAAAAUCAAAUCAGGUUUUAUCACGGCAGGCUCGGGUUUGAUUCCACUGACCGAUUGUCAAGGCAUUUCAUUUGCACUGCCACUAGUCUCGGGUCAGUCCCAUGAUUUUAAAUUUGUAUUCGGGUCAGUCCCAUGAUUUUAAAUUCUAUUCGGGUCAGUCCCAUGAUUUUAAAUUUUAUUCGGGUCAGUCCCAUGAUUUUAAAUUUUUGUUCGGGUCAGUCCCAUGAUUUUAAAUUUUGUUCGGGUCAGUUCCAUGAUUUUAAGUUUUAUUCGAGUCAGUCCCAUGAUUUAAGGUUUUAUUCGGGUCAGUCCCAUGAUUUUAAAUUCUGUUCGGGUCAGUCCCAUGGUUUAAAUUCUGUUCGGGUCAGUCCCAUGAUUUUAAAUUCUGUUUGGGCCAGUCCCAUUUUAAAUUUUUUGUCAAAAGGGGUCAAUCCCCAUUUCUAAGGCGUCCAUCGUUCGAGUCGUUCGCAGCCAAAUAACACAGGUGAGUAUUUGGUGUCUACUUCUUUGUCUCAAAUUUUUCCAAAACUCAGACAAAGAGGGGCAAACUGUAGAUACCAAAUUUUAAUUUUUUAUUUUAAUUUUAAUUUUUGUUUUAUUUUAUUAUCCAUGUUUGCUCAUUAGUCUCUUAAUUUUAUGUUUAGGCAUUUUUAGCAUUAAAAUUCAAAAAAAAAAGAAGAAAAAAGAAGAAAAGGUUCACAAAAUACGCCUUCUUUUAGCAUUAUGUUUAUCUUGUUUUAUUUUUAUUAUUUCAUUAUUUAAAAAUAAUAAAAAAAGGGGGACAGACCAAGCUCAUGCACCGUGACCCACACAAGAUCAAAACUCUUUCUUUGUAUCAUAUUUUUUUACAAAAAAGCAUGCGGAAAGCGAAAGGAUCCGAUGGCUUAAAAAAAAGGCAAGAGUUGAGGAUUCAUGGGGAUCCCUUCAGAUAAGGAUUUAGGGUUUGCCAUUGGAUAUAAAAGGGAGGGGGUUUUGGGAACAAUGGAUGAAAGAAAGGGGGACGGCUGAAAGGGCUGAGGUUUGAGGGUAGAGAGAGAACAGCGGCGGAGGAAACUAAGAAAACUAGAGAGUGCUGAGAGGUUGAGAAAGGGAGAAAACUAUCGGGGAAAGAAAAGAAACAAAAGAAAAACCGAGAGGCUUUUGACGGCUGGAAAAAGCUAAGAAGGAGAGAUAGUGUGAGAUAGAGAGAGAACCAAGAGGGAGACGGAAACAGUCGAGGGUUAAGGAAGAAACCGGCAACUCAACAAGAAAGGGGGUGAUAGAGAAUCUGGAGGGCAGUCGCAGCAAAAAGGUGAAACUUUUCCCAGUUGCGCUUGGCCUGCGUCAGGAUUCAUUGCUCCUCCAUCCAGGUGCUGUUUUUUUUUUUACAAUUCAAGGGAGCGAAGGUAACCUUUCAUUCUCUUUUCUUUCGGUCACGAAUCAUCAGGCCUUCAUCUGGAUGUUAAAUCGAUUUGUUGCCAAAUUUGCUGUGAAAGUUUCUUCCUUCACGUUUUAUUAUUAUUUGUGCAUCUUGGGAGAUGGUGGAUCCGUGUCAUGGCUGUCAGCUUGGAUGUCUGAUGAUGAAGCUGUAAACUUUUAGUUGGUUUCGGAUGAUAUCACCAUAGAUUUCAUCAGAAACAGAAACCAAUCGUUUUUCCCCGUGCAUCCUUCUUGUUUUGAUCGACAAUGGUCCGUGUAUCAUUUGUUAUGGAUGUUAGGACCUUUAAGAGUCAGAUUUAGAGUUUGCUACAACCAGCUUCAAACUCUCGGUUUGUUGCAACCGUACGGAUAGACCCUUUUGUGUUUUCUAUGUACUAUUGAGGAUUGUGGCCUGUUUAAUGUUUUGUUGUUGUUUGCUGAUUAAUUGAGAUGCCAUGAAGAUGAUGUUGCAUUGAGUAAUGUUUCUUGGUUGCCAAAAGGGAAUAAAACAUGGUAAGAGAGUCAUUCCAUUUUACCCAUGACAGCUAUGCUUACCUUUCUUUUUCUGUUCUGGUUCCUUGCGCUAGAAUGAUUAUUGGGUUCGGUUGGAAUCUAUGUGUUUAGAUACUGAAGUUCUUGCAUAAUGAAUUAGGCUUCGUAGUCCUCUUUUGGGGCUGGAAGUUGCUGCAACAGGGUUGAAGCCCUUUGUUUGUUUGUAGCAACGGCAAUUUCGUUUAUUGCCGAGGGGGGUUUCUUGACUUGAUCAAAAUUAGGGAUGAUCUUUGCUGUUCCAUUGAUGUAUGAUGAGUAUGUUCACCAUAAGUCUCUUCAUGUUUGCAUGAUAUUGUCUCGGAACUCCCUGUGUAGAGGUCUAGAACUUUACUUGCUUCAUGGUCCGAGAGUUAAAAUGUUUUCUCAAAUGUCCUGAUUCAACAUCUCAAGUGAAUGUUGGUGUUUUCUUUGCUGUAUAUUUUUGGUUUCCUCACUGCUAAAAUUGAUGUCUGGAAAAUGUGUGUGCGUUUGGUGAAUAAAUGGUGAGUCUAAUGCAAUGUUUCGGCAUUUUAAUCUACAUGAGCUUGUAGCUGCAAAAUUUCGCAGCAAAACAAAAAGAAGUUGCAUUUUCUGUUCUGUUUUCUGUUCCGUGGUUGCUCAUCAAGUCUUUACACCUAAGUUGCAUGUUUAAUCUGGUAUUGAGGGCAAGGAAUGGAAUGAUUUGGUGUUGGGUUUGGGUGUUUGGGUCUAAAAAUACUUGAGCUAUGAUUGAAUGCUUGAUGGAAAAAUAGACAAUCAGGUUAUCGAACCAUCUUUGCAUGAAUGUUUUUCCAGAAUUGUUCAUGAUAUCUUUCUAAGUUUCUUGCUUGUUUGGAUCAUGGUGGUGGUGUAGUUUGUGGCUUGGUCUAAAGUUGUGAUGUUGGAUUGAAAAAUAUCUGAUCAAAACUGUGUAUUUGAAUCGAAAAUCUAAGUUUGAAAGCAAAGUGCAGCAGUUUUUUUUUUCAUUUUCGGUUGUUGAAGCUUAAUAGAAAUCAGUUGCAUAAGCUUCUUGUCUUCGUUCAUUGCAUGAAACUUGCAUGAAAGUCUUCCAAGAGUCCCCUUGUUAAUAGGUGUUUAGCCAUGCUUAAUUGGAAAUGGAUUAAAGUCUUGCAUGUAUCUUGUUUGCCGAAGGUUUCAUGGGUUGUAAAAGCUCUCGAAUGAAAUUGCAGCAAGUUUGGAAGCAAAAGACAGCAGGCUUUUUUUUUUUUUAGUUGCAGAAAUUUAAGCCUUUACGUAGUUGCAUGGAACUUGCAUGCAAAUGGUUUUGAAAAAUUGCACUUUAACCCUCUAAUUCCCCUUUGUUGCACUACGGCCCAAUUAUGUGCUGAUUUCUUGCAAUUAGGUCCUAGAGUAAUUGCGAUUUCAAUCAUUACUUGACCCUCUCUUUGCUCUUGAACCUUUAGAGUUCCCAAAAUGUUUUAAUUGGGCUGGAAUGAUUGGUUAAUGUUUGCAAUUGGGUCCUUGGUAUUUUUAUUUUCUAUUUUAGAAAUUUGAUCGGUAAUUUACUUUUUUGGAAAUUAUGCAUUAUGUGAUUUCAUUUAAGUUGCAAUUGGGAGGGAUUUGGUGAUUUUGUUUAUACUUUACUAUUUAAUUGGUGCCUUGACCCUUUUAUUGUUUUGAAGCUAAUAUUUCCUUCAUUUCAUUACCAUUGCAAGGGAGGUAACCUCUAUCUCCUUGAUUUUAUUUCUCCUACGUGCUCCUACGUGCUAUGUGCGAAUAUGCAUGCUUUAAUUCAUUUUUAAUGUUUGAUCUCUUGUUUUGCUUUCCUUUUAUUUCGCUUUCUUUAAUUGGCAAGUUAUUUGAGGGCAUUUGAACCCCAAUUUGUAAUAGCUAGGUUUUGGCCCUCUCUUGAAGACAUGUCUUAGUUAGUCAAUGUAAUAGUUAGGAUUUACCUUUAUAAGUCCUUUCCCCCUUUAGAUUGUAGUAGGGCUCCCUUCAAAUGUAAUAGUUAGGGUUUUUAUUUGCUUUAUAUUUGUCUUGUGUGCUUUUGUAUACUUAUGUGUUAGGUGUUAUCCGCUUUCUUAGGGCCUUGCAUUUAGAUAUCAUGCUUAUGUGUUAUGUGCUAUAUGUGAUUUAUGUGUUUAUUUGCUUUAUUAUGCUUUAUCUGAUUUCUUAGACUGUAAUAAAUGCAUGUUAUCACACUAGUCCAAUACUAGCUGUGAUUCCUUUCCCCUCACCACACUAGUCCAACGCUAGUUGUGGUUCUUUGUUCUGAUUUCCCACUAGUCCAAUGCUAGUGAGGAUCCAUAGACAUGGGCUAGUCCUGUGGCGACCCCACUUCCCCCUAAGGCGAACCAAAGGGUUGGCGGGCCGUCUGCCCAGCUCUCGCCAGGACUCACGCAAGCAUUCUAACCCAAAUCCUUUCGAAUAAAAAUCUAAUCUAUUACAAAACAAUUUCCUCGAAUAGUCUCAUCACGAUACCACACUAACUACACAGAUAACAGUAAUUAAAAUUUCCAACCUACCGCUCUUAAACUUCUCACGCAUUACAACCAAGGAAUAGGAUCGCACAAUCCCAAAUACAUAUAAAACUAUUCAACCAAAUAUCGAACUAGGGUUUACACAUUUUCCAGCUUCGAGUGGCAAUCCAAAAUAAAAAGUACAUUAUCCGAAUCAAACACAAUACAGCCCACAACAUAAGUCAUAGUAUUCAGUACAUUCAAGAAGGGAAAUAUAAGCAAGUAUUCCAGCUUUCAACUUCCAGAACCUGUUAAGGAAAACAAUAAACGUGGGGUGAGCUAAAGCUCAGUGGUGCCCCAAAAAAACAUGCAAUCACCUAAAUCAAACAGCGAGUAAUAAUUUAAACAAAUUGAACAAGUAGGAAAGCGUAUAACAGCACAAGGUAGGAUACAGGGCUCUCAGGAGCCGUUUUCCCCUGCUUGAUCACCAUUCGUCGUAGUUGACCCUCCGUCAACUUUCACUACCUAAUAUCCAUGUAGAUCCACUCAUUUUAAUCCUAACCCGUCACCGUUCAUACCUCCGCUUUGGGCCCAAACUUCAUCUACCGACGCAGUAUACUCGAGAUAUACCCGUAAUAAAAUUUUGUCGAAGGAUUCACCUAUCGACUUUAUUGUAGAUCGAUUCAGAUGUCGAGGAUUCACCCAACGACUCACUACAUUUAGAUUCAAGGUUUUUGUAGAUCGAUUCAGAUGUCGAGGGAUUCACCCAACGACUCACUACAUUUAGAUUCAAGGAUUCAUUAAAAAAAAAUGAUUCACACAUGUCACCACUCGAACGGCUAGUGCGAUAAAGUACACACUGCUCACUUCGAUGGAUCAAAACUCAUUUCUUUGCAGUUUAUCACAUAGCAAGUCAAGAAAGCACUUAACUCAAGUAGGAAAAGAACAGGCAAGGACACUCACCCGAGUGAAGUCCAGAUAUUGGAUUGGGGAUCAAAUUCUGCGUCCUCGUAAAAUCCUAACAUAUCAGAAUUUAAGCCAUAAGUUUUCUAUUGGAACUUUCGGCUUGAACAUGUAGAGUUUAUCUAGCGUGUAGCUAGCUUACUUUUCUCAAAAUAUUUACUUGGAGUCAAGCUUGUGAGAUCAGUACCAUAUUUCUCAUGUGUCUCCUGAAAUACCUUUCCUUAAAGAAAAAAAACUAUUAUUAUUUUCUUAAAAUAAGUCGACAAGCUAUUUAAUAUCGAGGCUAAGGGGAUCAAGACCACCUUUUUAAACUUUUCCUUAAUUACAACUAGCCUUAGACUGUUUAUAAAGAAGGAAGGAAUUUGAAACAAAACUAAGGUUUUGAGUCUGGGAGAAUCAUUUUCCCAAAUUGAUAAGGCUAGUCUAACUUAAGGGGUAAAAGUCAUGUUGCCCAAGUUUCUAAGGCAAAAAUAGUAGAUACUAUGUUUAGCAAUACGAUGCUAAAUCUGUACCGUUCGAGACUUAAAGCAAAAAUAUUUUUCAUUUACUUAGUCAAUCAUUUACUUGGAGUCACAAGGUCGGUACAACUUCUCACAUUUUCGAUUCCAAUCCAAAAUCACAUUUUUCAAUAUUGCACAAUUAGAGUUUAAAUAGUAAUAACACUAGGGCUCGUCAAUUCUUAGCCCUGUGUCCAACAAAUUUAUAUCUAAGCUAAGCAGGAAAAUUACCAAGGUUUCGUCAAUACUUAGCACUUGGUAAUCAGUACUUAUAUCAACUCACGGUUUCACAAAAUAGUAGCACAGAUUUCUAAACAAUUUCAGCACUUCAGUUAUCCAUUCAGGGCGGGAAUUCAUAGAGCCCACCAUCAACCAAUUUUCAAUAAAUCAACCAAGGCUUCAUCAAUCAUUACCUCUUGGUUUCAGCAACCCAAUAUAAGCAAAUAGAAUAGAAGUGAAGUCCCAAGACAUUCCAGCAGUUAAUUUCCGUCAUCCAGUAAUACUUUAUAAAAGAAAUCAUUUCAAUGGCUAAGGGCUUCAUCAAUCAUUAGCCCUUAGCACUCAACCAGUAAUUCCUGGGACAAUCAAGCUAACAUAUCAAAUAUUUAAAUCCACUAACAGUUAUUUAGAACCAAAGAUCACAUUUGCAGCAGCCUCCUAUUCAAAUAUAUGAUCCAAAGCCAAGAAAUAUCAUCCACAAUAUCACGUUGUCACCUCGAUAAUCAAAUGCAUGACUACUUCAAGGUAUUAUAAAGCAAAUUCGAAAGUAAUACUAUUUUCUUCCACAGCUCCAAGAUAUAUGAAGUAAACCAUACGGGUUCUUUAUCAAUCAUGACCAAGGCUGAAAAAUUUCCAGUUUAUAUCCAUAACUUCACUUCACUAAUUCCAAAUCGAAUUCACAAGAUAUCAAAUGAUUCGAUACCAUACGAUUUCCACAGGCUACGUGUACAUUUUAUCAUGCAUUUCAGGUUCCUAACAUCCCAAAAACAAUUCGAGAGUUUUUCUAGCAAGCCACGGGUGAAUCUUGAAUGAAGGAAAUUUUCUGUUUUCACCUUACUUGUUCGAGUGAAGUAGGCUAUUAAACUCUCACUUUCUCAUGCCAUGACUUAGCUAAACAAUGCACAAUUUUCGUUCAGAGGUUGGAGUUAAACCACUGUUAUAAUUUUCAAGAUUUCCAGGUUCAAGUUAACGGUAAUUCGAAAAGGAUUUCCAGCAAUAGCAAUGAUGCCAAAACAGAAUUUUUCUUUGGUUAAAACAGGAUUUUUGAUACUCCAUUAGCUCUUGAAAACAUGUAGCUAGUUAUUAAAGAUUCCCAAAACACUCCAGAUUCAUACUAUAACCGAAAUCAUCACACAAAUCCAGAAUUUUGUCUACUAAGUUCGGAUGGUAGUUCGUGAAAUAGUUUUCUGUUUUCAUUUUUUUAUUUUCCUGGUUAGCCAGGCUACAAAACCUUAUGCAACUUCUAUUAACAUGUUGUUAACUGGUUAAUCAUAUACAUUAACUCAUAAAAGCCCCAUAAUCCUAGAUUGAGAACUAAAGAUUCAAUUCUAGGCCUCGGAAAUUUCAGUUGCAAUCCAAUUCACCAAUCCAGAAUUUUUCCAAGUUCCUAGCUUUAUUAUCCAAUAAUGUAACUCAGUGUGCAGGCCCUUAAGCAUUUUAUCAUCCCUUAGCUAGUUAAGAUAAUAACCACAACUCAUAAAAAUUAAGCUAAAUAAAUAAAUCAAUCCUUAGUCAUGCUCGGCAGAAUGUUAACAUCAAACCAGAAUUUCUUUCUUCCUAAUUUCACCAUCCGAGGGUCUAACAUGAACAUGCAAAGUGGUAUGCGGUUUCAUUAGCUAGUAGUUAGUUUAUUAAAUCCCAACACAAGCUCGGUUUAUGGCUGUUUAGCAGAUCAAGGUUGCAGUAUUCAAUUCAGUCCUCGGCAGUGACAAAACACUAUCACAUUUCCAGAAAUUGGUGAGACUACACUCGAAUGAGUAUGCAUGCAACAAGUUCUGUUUCAUUUUUAUUUCCAAAGUAAUCCAGGCUAAUUAAAUUCAUGCCUGACCCUAAUCUUAAUAAUCAUCCAAGGUUUGAUUAAUUAGUCACUAUUGCAUGCUCAAAUCAUUUCCGGAAAACACAUUAGGACUGCAAUUCAAAUCAGUUUCUCGGCUAAGACAUUUUCCCCUUAAAACAGAAUUUCCUUAAUCCUUGCCAUUAUCAUCCGCAGGCACAAUCAACAUGCAUGGUCUUAAUCAUCAAGUUUUACCCCAGCUAAAGACAUUUAAGAGUUCAAAUUAUCACCGAAAAACACAAAUUAAGCUGCAUUGCUCAAUCAGCUUCUCGGCAGAAAUGGUUUGCCCAAAACAGAAUUUUCCACAGCUUUGGUUUCAUCAUUUGAUUACACAAAUUAACACAUGCAAGGCCUUGAACAUCAUGUUUAGUGGUAAGUGACCGUAUAUAUGAGCUCAGAUUACUUCAAUUAAGCAAUGAUCAAGUCUGCAUUUCUGAUUCAAGCUCACGGCAAAGCCAAUUCUUCCCAAAACAGAUUUCUCACUCAUAUCUUUUUUUCUUUGUCUGACUAUGUAAACAACACGAGCAUGCUCUGGUAAAACUUCAUCUACUGAUACUUGACUUAAAUUUAACCCAAAAAAAAAAGAUUACCUCAGAAACCAGCUAAGUCCACACACCAGAAAUUUGAAAUUCCUAUCCUCCGCUCGGCUCACACGCACGGAUUGGUUCUGGUUUUGGUAGCUGUAAAGUUGCGACUGGAGCUGCUGAUAUGCGGCUUGGUUGAAGUCGAAAAUGGUCACAGCUAGAAGAGGGAAGGGUGUAGGUCAAAUGUUCUCACGCGGUGGUCACCUGGCUUCCUCCCUCAGCUAGCGGACAGAACAGGAAAUUUUCUGCUCAGGGAUUUCUUUCUUCUUGCUCUCGGUUACAGCAGGUAACUCCCUCUCCUCUCGGUCGAUACUCACGAUGAAAUGUGGAGUGGAAUGCGGCUGGUGGUUGUAGUCUGAGUUGUAGUGGUGCAGAAGAGAUGGAAAUGGUGCUCGGUUGAGUGUGUAGGAUGUUUGAGUAUUGAAUUGGAUAAGUUUCUCACUGGCCGAAUGAAGAGGUAGCGUAUAAGGUUGUGAAGUGGUGCUGCAAUGGUGAAGUGCGUGAUUGGCCGGCUGAGGUGGUGGAGCUGCGGUUGGCCGAAAGGGGUGGCUGAUGAUCAUGAUGUCCGGGAGUUGUUUGGUUGCAGAAUUUGGUUAAGGCCGUGGGUUGUAUUGUGAGGUUGUGAGGGUAUUGUAGACUUUUCACUAAUCCUCCAAUUAUCCCCUUAAGUCCUUGGCUCUAACUAAAGUCCAAAAAUUAUCCCCAAGUGUGAUUUAAACGUCGAAUUAUACACUAGUCCUACAAGGCCUUAAUUAUCGUAAGUCUUACGUCCUACGUAUAUCUAGGAUACUUAUAUCGUUCUUGUCCAAAAUUUAUCGAUUGCAUCUUAAUACUAAGGUUUCAGUAUACCCUUAAUCUUAUUCGUAAUAAAGUUAGCUAUUGCAAAUUAAGGAAUUUAUUUUUUUUAGAGAGUAAACUUAAUAUCGCUCAAGAAUUAUUACUUUUAGUAUAACAAAACUGAAUAAUUCAAUAUUGAUUACAAUUAUAUUAUUUAUUACAUAAACAUUAUCUUCAUACUUUAAUUCAAAACAAUUAAUUACAAUACUAGAGUUCAGAGAGAUUAAUUGUUAGGUCAAAGAAAUAGUUUACAAUUGAAAUAUGAAUUUAAAGUAGCAAAACUAAUAAGUUUAGUACAUAGAGUAAAAUAUAUUCACGUAGUCCAAUUUGAGAAUACUCGAUAUUUUGCACAUAAAAUUUAUUGGUUCUGGUCUUAACGUGAAAAUUCUUACUAGUAUUUAACGCUAUUCGCUAAUUAGGAUUAAUUAUUGAAAUUCAAGAAAUUUUAUAUAAUUAAUCUACUCAGGUAGCGUUAAUUUUUAACAUAAAGAAAACUAAGUAUUUUAGCAUUUUAUUUUAAGGCGAUAAUUUAUACUAACUCCGGAUGUAUUAAUUUAGUCUAGCAAAAUCAAGAAAAUUCAUAACUUAUGAAAAUUAUAUUAUUUCUCACACAAAAUUAUUUUUACGGUCUUAUAAGCAGACAAGGGAAAUUAAUGCUAAAAUUUAUUAUAGAGUUAAAAGAAAUGCAAAUGAUCUACAGAAUGGUAUUUAUAUAUAUUUUUUUCGGGGUUCUCACAAGUCCAAUGCUAGACCCUUAGGAACCUCCCUCGCUAGAUCAUGUUUGUAUGAUUACAUUACACUUUAUGCAUAUUUUUCCAUUUUUUAGGAUCUUUAUCAUUUUCACAUAAUAUUCCUCCUAAUAAAAUAUCCCUUACCCCUAUGUAUAUAUAACAUUUAGAUUUGCAUCUCAUUUAGGAAAUUAGGGGGUAGAUUAGUGCAUUUUUGCCUGAUUAGACUAGAGAUAACCCUUUGGAUAUGGGAUAUGGACGAGUUUGGCUUUCUAAUCUUAGCACGCUCGUAUUCCCUCUAUUAAAGGGAACAUUGAGUCACGAACAUUAGUCCCCCGCUCCUGACAUGAUGCAUUUCUUUAGGUCAUACACAUUUGUAUAUUAUUAUUAUUUUCUUUCUUUCGAGUCUCAUGACUUGCAUUAUUCGUGACUUCUUCGAAGAGUCUUUAUUGGGCGUCACAAUUAAUGUGAUUGGUACCAAAUAAGCUUUAAAGAUACAUUUCGACCCCCGAUACCCUCCUAGGUCUAGGGUUUGCAUUCAUAUAGAACAUCCAAAUGUGAUAAAUCUUUAGGUUAAAAUAAGAAAAUCUUUGACUAAAUCGCGCAACUAGCCUUGGCUAGGUUGAAAGGGUGCCUUGGAUUCUUAUCCUUGCCUUCCCUUUCUUCAAAUGUGACUCCCGAAUCUUUUUCUCUGAUUUUCGUAGACUUGGAGUCGUUUAAAAAGGAUUUUCUACUUUUUCCUUUAAAAUUCAUUUUUUAGGUGACUUGGUACAGCUCAACUCAAUACCAAGUGGCGACUCCAUUUUCCAUUCAAAAAACCCUUUUUAAACUAUAUUUUGGGUCAAAUCGUCGUAUUUUCAAGUCCCAUUUAGACCCAUGCUUUUUUCCAUUUUCUUUUUAAAUCAAAAAUUCAUUUUUAAAUCAAAACUUGAAUCAAAAGCCAUUUUCCUAAACUCGUCGUCUUUUAUUUAUUAUUCUUAUCAAAAAAAUGGGGCGCGACAAGUUAUUUGUGAUUUAGUUUUGUAAUUUGAUUUGUUUAAGUUUGGAUAUUUGAUUUAUGAUUAUUUUUGGAUUUGAUUUUAAAAUAUUUAAAUUUGAACCUUUUAGACCCGAACCCGACCCGAACCCGACUCGGAUCCGUCAGACCCAAUUCCGAGACUCUAAGAUCAAGACUCAUCGGGUAUAUACGGAUUGAGUCCGAGUCUACUACAUAAAAACGGGUUCGAAUCCAGACAUUUUGAAUUUCAACCCGAACCCAACCCGUUGACACCUCUACACUGUUCUAUUCUGGGCAGUUGUCACAAGUGUCCGUGUCCCAUAUCCGGUAAAUAAAGGCCUUGUUUGGAUUGUAUUUUUCUGAACUUUUUAUAAAAAAAUUAUUGUAGAUAUUUGAUAUAUGUAAGGUAAAAAAGUGAUUCGAAAAUGUGUUCGCGAAAAUACGUAGUAAUUGCUAUCCAAACGAGGCCAAAGCCUAUGGGGUUUGGGAUGCAUUAUCAUAGCUCUUGUACUUUUACAUAAUUGUACGCUCCAAUACUAUAAGAAGAAGAAAAAGAAAUAAAAACCCUUCUCUAGUUCAAGGAGAAUUUAAUUAAAAAAAUAUCUAAUGUAUAUAAUGCUUCCAGUACAAAAAUUUUUCUGAUUAUUUUUCUAGAGGCAGUUUUUACCAAUUUCUAACCCAUGACGUUCCUCUUUAAUUCGUUUCGUCUUCGUAGAAUGAAUCAUUUCCCAUAAUAAUGCAUGUUGUCAAAGGCGGUAAGGAAGAUGACAAGUUAAUUAUGCUUCAAUUCAUACUUGUGCAAGAUGACGAGUUAAUUGGAUUCAAUAAUUAUAAUUAAGUACCACAAUAUGAUGUACUAUAACCCUGAUCAAUAUAAAGAAUGAACGAGGAGCACCUAAAGGAAAAAAAAUAUGAUGACCAAUAGCCCCAAUUCUGAUUAUGAGGAAGAAGCGGAAAAAAAAAAAGAUUACCGACACAAACACGCACUCUCAUGCAUACAUUUAGAAGAAAAAAAAAAGAAACAAAACCAGAGAGAAAAAAUAAUAAAAAUUUACCAGUCAAUAUAUUUGUAGUACACCAUAAAAAGAAAAAAAGAGAAAAUACUACUCAGAACAAAAAGAAAUGAGAAAGAAAAGGAAAAAAGAAGUCCUUGUUACCAUUUUAAGCAGAAAGGAAGAUACAAAGGGAAAGUAGCAUCCAUUUAGUAUAUAAAGAAUCGUUUUAAGCAACUUUAGCAAUUAGAUUUCUUGGAACGGAUCAUCCUCGAAUUAAAGAAAUUGUGUUUGUAUUGAUGAGAAAUUAAACACUAAAAGCAAUUAGACUUCUUCGAACGGAUCAUCCUCGAAUUGCAUGUUGUCGACAGGUGAAAUGACACGUGCUUCAUUUACUUUUUCUGCACCUUUUCACUUUUCUAGACUCUUUUUUUUCAUACUCCUCGUCUCACUUUGAUAGUUCUGUUUGUUUUUUCACACAGUUUAAAAAAAGUAGUUAAUUUUGUUAGAACAAUCAAUUUAGGUAACUAUUUUCCUAAAAUACCCUCACAUUAAUUAGAGUAUAACUUUAUGGAACUUGAAUUAAUGGUAAAAAAAGAAUCAACUCUCUGGGGUAGUUUAUAGUAACAACAACUUACAUUGAAUAAGGGUAUUUUAGAAAAAUUAAAAUACAACUACAUUCUUCAAUUGAAGACUGGACUACAAUUUGGGACGGAUGAAAAAAAAAACAGGACUAUCAAAUGGGACGGAGGGAGUAUUAUAUUACUUUGGUCCGAUUCAUGGGGACGUAGUGCAAGACAGAAGUAGAACUAGAAUAUUUAUUUGGAGAGGACAAGCAUCACACACAGACAAUAUAAAAUUUUUGUGGGGUGCAUUCGAUUGCAUUUCUGUUUUUUUUUUCCUUUUUGCAUUUUUUAAGAAUAUUAUCUUAAAAUAAUUAUGAAUCACAUUUUUACUCCACAUUUUAAAAAAGUGAUACAUUAUUUUUUUUCUAUAAAUAUUCUUAAAAACACUCAAAAAAUCAAUCAAAAUUGUGAUUUCUAAAGGAGAUUUUGAAAAUUUUUAGAUGUUUAAAGUGAAAAACAUGAAUUUCUAAGACUUAGAUGUAGUAUCCUCCUCAACUCUUGACUGGAGGUGUCAAUACAAUUCAAUCAUGUUGACCUGUCCAAACUAGCUUACCAAUCAAAUAACAAUAAAAUAUCAUCAUUCCUUGUCGAACAGCAUGCAAAAAAAUAAAAAUAAUAAAUAGAAUUUUAAAUGACUCAUAAAUAGGUAUGGGUAUAAAAAUGUAAUUGGAUAUAUACUCAUACCCAUUUAUUAAAUGGGUAUAAAUGGAUAUAUAUCUAUUUAUUUAUAUGAGUAUAAAUGAAUUGACUCGAUUAUAUUCAUUAUCCAAUUAUGACCCCGCUCAAAUCCGCUCGAAUCACCCAUUUUGAGACAUCUACUCCUGAUUUCAUCCUUGGGGCAGCGAGGCGUGAACAUUUCUAAGCAAAUCCAGAGCCACAUGACUCCAUUUUCUAAAGUAUAUAUAGGACAGUGAAUUCAUAUAUGAACCUAACACAUUUGUUGUGGGCUUGAGUGUUCGACCUAAAAUCACGUUUAAUAGUUUGAAAAACAAACCGGUCAACUUGGGGUCAAUUUGAAAAACCUCAAUCGACCGACUAACCUAUUUAACUUAUUUAUUAUGGCAUCCAUUAAUAAGAGGCACGAAAAGAAAAAAAAUAUAGAAUAAAAAAUUCCUGCUUAAGUCCCAACGUUUUUUGGUCUUUGUUCUUCGAAGAAAAAGGUCCCAAAACAUGUCCAUUCCCAAAUUAAUAUAUUCGUGCAUGAUGAGCCAAAAAGAAAUCACUUUAGGACAAAAGAGAGGCAAUCACUAAUGAUAAUUGUAUUGUACACUACGUAAGUGGACCCUAAUCAAACUUAACCUAUGUACUACUUACAAAUGACUCUAGCCAACCUUAAUUAGUCUUAGUAGUACUACCUAUAAUUAUUUGACAACCAACCAAAAAAAGAAACUCAUGAAAAGGUACAAUGGCUAAUGGCUGUAGUUGGAAACAAGCAAAAGUGAGCCAUGGGUAGAUGUGCUGCGGGCUCAAGUCUGAGAAGAUUAAUAUUUGCUGCAAAAAAGUGACUUUUUCAUGUGAUUUGUCUGGUUUACAUAAAUUGUUUUCCAGCUACAGCCCAAGAUACGAUGCUUUCUUUUCCCCUCAAUUUGUCUCUUCGUGGUAAUUAACGAAAUCCAAAUCCCUUGUUUUUUUUGGGGGGGGGGGGGUGUUUAUAGAUAUGUGAAUCAGGACUCUCAGACGUACAAAAAAAGAAAAGCAAAAAAAAAAACAAAUUCUGUAAUAAUAACAUGUCCCCAAAUGAUUCACAAGGGGAUUGGGGGCUUCUCGCUUUGGGUCUUAACUGAGCCGAGCCAACGGGGAAGCAGCUCAAUUUCACCAUUAAAAAUAAAUCCAUGACACAUUUGUACAAUUUGUUAACUUUUGGUAAUUAUGAAAAUUUUGUCAAAAAUGUGCAGAAUUAGCAAAGGAGGAGCAGGAGCAAUAUAAACUGAUUUCAACUAACAAAAAGUCACAACAACUUAAGUCUACAGUAAGAUUUGAUUCACCGAAUAAUUUAGGACGAAAUUGGCAUAUAAUAUACAUUCCCGAAUAAUUAACUGGCAGCGCUUGCUGUAUUUUUAACCUACUUUGCAGAGUUCAUUUUGCGUGCCGAUGCCCUGAAUGAUACUAACGAUUUCCUAAGCUGUUUAUCAUGCUUUGCUUGUGAAGGCAUAUAAGUAGCUUCAGCAGGCGUCGAGUAUCAAUAUUGAGCUUCGGACUGCUCUAAAGUUUUCUAAAUGCAAUGGCCACAUCUAUGCAUUUUGCAUCGUCUUUUUUCUGCUAUACAACUUUUUUAGCUAUUUCCCUUAUUCUUGUUCCAUGUCUUGUUGUUUCGCUAACUCUGCAAUCUGAUAUUCAAGUUCUACGUAACAUCAGGGAGGCUGUUGAUCCCAACACUGUCUCCUCAACUUCAUUUCUCAGCACUUGGAACUUUGACACAGAUCCAUGCGAAAGCUCGGGGCCUCAUUUUCUAGGAGUUUUAUGUACAACUCCUGAAGAUAAUUCUAGCAGUCGAAUAGCUGUAAUUAACCUUGAAGGAGAUGGAUUGGACGGUUUUCUGACUCCAACAAUUGGAAACUUGACAGAGCUCACUACCCUAAACUUAAGGAACAACAACUUCCGGGGACCAAUACCAAAUACUAUAGCCAAGUUGAGAAAGAUAACCAAACUUCUUUUGUCGCAAAACUUUUUCUCUGGUGGUCUUCCUGAAGGAUUGAGCGAGAUGACGAGGCUUGAACAUUUUGAUUUGUCGCAGAACAGGCUUUCUGGUACCAUUCCUCCAAAGAUCUCUGCAUUAAGGAGCUUGUUACACCUACGACUAUCCGGCAACCAAUUCUCAGGGAAGUUACCAGACUUUUCUGGUCUAUGGCAGCUAACCACAUUAGAUCUCAGUAGCAACCUAUUCUAUGGUACACUGCCUCACUUCCCUACAAGUUUAAGAACGCUAUUAUUAAGUCACAAUAUGAUUUCUGGCAAUGUUUCAUCCAUUGGAAGGCUUCCACAUCUCAAGACAUUAGAUCUCAGUGAUAAUAGGCUCUCUGGCAAAAUAGAGCCGGAUAUCCUUACAUCACCUAAGGUAAGCAGCAUCAAUGUCUCAGCAAAUCUCUUCACUGAUAUUGAAGUCGUAUUCAUGAAUCAACCCAGCCAGCUUCAGCUAUUGGACGCCCACGGUAACCAUCUCCGUGGUCAUUUGCCAUUGCAUUUAAUCACCUUUCAGAAUCUAAGAGCAAUCUAUCUUGGGCAUAAUUUAUUCUCUGGUUGGAUCCCGAAGGAAUAUGGAGCAAAGCUGUAUUCUUGGAAAACUUUGUUUCUCGAGUACAACUUCCUUCAAGGAACUCUGCCACAGGAAUUCAUGAACAACCUCGAAAGGAUUAGGGGCAGCUUAGCACACAAUUGCCUUCGUUGUCCAAAAAACGUAAGUUUCUGUCACGGAGGGCAAAGGGCACCUUCAGAAUGCACCGGGCAGAAAGGUGAAGGCCCAUGGUUGACAAAAUUAGGAUAAAUGAUCUGACUUUAUUUGAUUCUCUUUCAAAGCGUCCUAGUCAUAGUAAGAAAUUAGCUGAAAAACACCAAUCUUAUCAAAAAAAUAGGAUAGAAAAUUUUUACUUUUUAUUCAAAUUCGUACCUUUUCUAUUUGUCUUUCUGGGAGUCUCAACCAUCAUAUUUGAAUAGGAAAAAUACUUGUUUUCGCAUAGCUUGAAAAUAUAUUGAAAGGAUAUGGCUUGAAUGUUCCCCAAAGCAACAAUAAGAUUGAGCAAAGUCAUUAGAACUAUCAAAACUUCAUAUAAAUUGGUGAAAUAUUUCUGACAUUCACACUCCACUUUCAAACAGAACUGAUUCUUGUGUCCAUUCUGAAAAGAAUUUUGUACAUGGGCCAAAGCAACAUUCUAGCGUCCACUAAGUGAUAUUAUUAUGUAAAAGAUAAAAGAUGAAAAUCCUCAUCUUUUGAUAGUCAAGGGACAGUAAUGCCUUUCUACUUGUCCUUCUUCUGACUCAAAAUAAAAAAUUGUUUGCAUAAUGGGGAAACUAGACAGAGAUGACGAGCUAAUUUGACGCGCAGCCUUCGCUGCUUUAAUAUCUUGAGUAUGGAAUUCAGCCAUUUCAACGGUGAUAAAAUGAUGGACCUAAAGAUGACCAUUUCUUCUUUAAGUUUUUCAUCUUAUCUCUGACUGCAAGGACAAGGAAAUCAUGCCAAUAGGUAUAAUAAUACACUCUGCAUGGUAUUUUGGACCAAUUGAGGGUUAAGUUCCUGAAACAAGUAAACCCAACAUUUUGAACCAUGUGGUAUAUUGUAGUCUGGACCGAAAGAAGUAUACCUGGGUACAGUUUUAUCCUCUGGUUGCUGCUACGAAGGAGACUAAACACUAAAUACAGAUAAAGAAAUGGGGCAUUAACCUAAAUCAUCCUGAGACUGCAUCUCCAUUUGUAUCAAAAUACUGAAUAAUAUCCUGAAGGAUGCAGGAUUUCUUGCAAUUUUCCUCAUAUGCUCCCAAGUGAAUUGCUUCUUCUCUUGGUGAUUUCAUAGAAACUUCUGCAAAUAAAAUAGAUAAAGUAUUAUUUUUGGAUUUUAAAUGUGAAUGAUCAAAAGAGAUUGAAGUUCUCCCGACCUUGUAGUCCCUGGUGGUGAAAAUGCUUAUCGAGUGCAAAAUCAUGCACUAGACCUUGCAGUCCCUGGUGGUGAAAAUGCUCUUCUUAUUCGGGUUGAUGAGAAGAACUCUGCAUGUUGCACCCAUGUACCCAGACAAACUGUGUUUCUUGAAAGGAUGAAAGACCUUUUCCUUGUAAUAUAAAUAGAUGAACUCUACCAGUGGAAGGGAUCAUCGAGAAUUAUCAAUAAAAAGUUUGAGAGUGUUUGUAAAUCUCAUGGCAGCCUAAGUUUUCUUUUAUUCCUUUAAACAAGGCAAAGAUACAUGGCUAGAAGGGUAUAGUCGCUUCAAAGUCCCUUGAUCGUUGAAGGCCGAGAGGAGGGCUAUGUUGAUCGGGAAUACCUUGAAGGAUGCUGGCCACUCUGAAAGUUGGUAUCAGAGCCAAAUGUUUAAAGGAAAUAAGUCCCUUAUCCAUACUCUCAUAUUCCGAUUAUAUUCUCAUGAAUAUUGUCCAUGAAUAUCUUCAAAAUAUGCAAUGGUUGAAUUUAUAUGGUAAUUAUAAUAAUUGUAUUGUUGUAUUCGUGAUCGUCAUUUUGCAGGUAAUCAUUGGUGUGCAUAUGAUCAAUAUAAUGAAGAAGAAUGUCUUAUGUUUAUAGAAAUGUAUGAAAAUGAAAAACAGAGUGCUAGUGAGUAUUUACAUCCUCUGUCUUAUACUAUAGUUAGUAGGCAAGUUCAUCUAGAUCUACUUUAUCACGUUUGCAUGUCAUAAGAACUGAGAAGCUAGAUAGUGAAGAAAGAGAAAAGACAAAAAAGAGUCGAGUAGUUAUAGAUAAGGAUCUUAAAGUUCGAAGAAUCUAGUAUAAUUUAGUUAUGUCUUCAUCUACUUCUUCUGAUCUUGUAUUAAAUAAAACUAAUAGUAAUAAAUUAGAUUAUUUGUAUGAAGUCUCUGUAGAACCAAAGGUGGUUGAUCCUACCUCUCAUCCUGUUAUUAAUCCUUAUUCUGUAUAUGGUAAACAAUCUUUCUCUCCUGUCCGAACAAUCAAGUCUUUGAUCAAGCACCAUGUGAGAACCCUAAAAUUUUUCACAUUUUCCCACAUUUUGUUUAUGCUCACUUCCUUUUCUAAAUUGAAAAGGAAAAAAAGGAAAGCCAUUCCCUAUCCAUUUCUAAGAAGGGUUUCAUUUCAUAUAUAUGAGCGUGUGAUUGUUUGCAUUAAGUGUUUUUGUGUGAGAUUAUAGAUAUAUAUAUUUGUUGGAAGUACGGACGAACGCGCGGCGUGUGAGCUUGGAAAAGAAAAAUUUUUCGAAAAAGGAAAGGGGCCAAAUCCAGCCGAAAAUCCGGCCAGUCUUGGCCGGAUUGCUGGCCUGACUGUUGAAGGUUUUGAAAAAAAAAUUUGUUUUCUUCUCUGGCCAGUAUCCGGCCAGGAAUCCGGCCGGAUUCUGACGUGUCACAGCCGUCAGCAGCUUUGACCGGCUGUUUCCUUCAUUCUUAUCCUACUUUUUGGCCAAAAUAUCUUCAUUUCUUCUUCCUCUUGGCCGGUUGUCUAGAGAGAAAAGAGAGAAAAGCUCUUCAUUUUCUAUCUUCAAUUUUGGUUCAAAUCUUGAGUUUUAACCGGUGAAAUCGCAAACUACUCCGUACAAGUGUUUACCAAGGAGGUGUAAAGCUUUUGGUGGAGUGAUUUUUGAAGGGGUAGUUCUAAGCUCUUAUCUUUCUUGAGUUAAAAAGGUAACUUACCUAGAAAACUUCCUUUUGUUCCAAUAAUUGUAAACUAGAGUCUUAUAGUAGCUAAAUAGGUGAUUUUGCGGAAGAUUUAUGGUGGAUAGUAGAGUUUUGCUAAAUUUCUGAUUUAUUGGUGAUUUUCCUAAUUUUAUAUGAUAACUCUUGUUUAGUCUUGGAAUGGUGACAUGAUGUGGUGUUAAUUGAAGCUUACAUGCGUUAAUUGCGAUUGAUUGCGGAAAAUUUCCGCUUAUGGGCAUAAAUUUCAGAAUUAGGGUUUUAAUUUGGGGAAAUUCUUAUGGUGUUUAUUGAGGUCUCAAUUGGUUGAAUAUUAAGGGGGUUUAAUGGUCUAUGAUGUUAAAAUGUCUUUGUGGUGGAUUAUUGUUAUUGGGUAUGUGAUUGUAGGGUGAAAGUGAAGAAGUUAAGGGGAAAUGCCGUCGUUUAUUUUCUUGUAAUGUGUAUAAGUUAAAGGGGUUUUAGAAAUGUGUUUUGGGUUGAUUUGGGUGUAUUUCAUUGAAAAUUUCAUCGGUUCUUUCAAAAGGCGGUGAGGGCUAAGUUUCUAUUUGAACUUGUAUACUUUCGUUUGGCAAAUACCAUGACCGUUUUACCAUUUCAAAACAUGAUACCUCUUCUGUUUGAAACUCAAAUAGUUAUUUACUCGUACCAAAAUAUAGAGGUAUUAGUUAGGGUUUUCUCGGCCACACGUGAACUACUUUCAAAUGAGGUUAAGUGUCCUCCUUUUCCAUAUGAUUUUCAUUAAGACCUUUACUUGAAUAUAUAUUGACUUUUAGCCACACAAACGAUUUAGAAAGAAUAUUUCCUUAGCCUAUCUAUUUGGAUUUUAAUUUGUCCUUGGUCAAAUGUUUCCGUUGGAAUUUUAUAACCCUUUUUAGUUUGAUUUUGCGUUUGGUUUAUGAAACCCUAGUUAUUCCCGUCCAUGAAUCCAAAUGUCCUCUUUUCACUUUAAAUCCAUCUUUAUACGUUUUACUCGUAAUUAGUUGGAUUUUCUUCGAUUUAACCUAAUUGGUUGUGCUAUAUUCUUUCUCAUUUAAUCAUAGGUUUUCUCGGUGACUAAAGGUAAUAUCCGGAAGGAUAUUUUGCUCCUUGUUUUGCGUAAAUAGGUGAGUGUUCCUUGUUUGCUAUAUUUUCUUGAUUUCAUGACUUGUAUUAUUGUUUGAUAACGUGUUAAGUCUUUUAAUGAUUUCCAAAAUGAGUUUUCUAAGCGAGUGUGUACUUUAUCGCACUGACCUAAAUAAAUGUGAAAUUUUCAAGGAUUUAAUGAUUGAAACGUUAGUUGCGCAUGAUGUAAGCCUUUUGGCUGAACUGGGCCCUGCCUUCGUUACCGAUCGACUCGAGCAGAAGCAGAUUCGGUCGGGCGAUAUGGUGACCUGGGUGAAUUUGGUAUACUCGAGUAUUACCUUGUAUUCUGGUGGAGCUGGCCAACAUCCAGGAGGGGGGGUGAAUGAAACGAAAGAAAGAACGAGGGUUUUAUUUAUAAAAAAAUGCAUUUUCCAAAUGAUUGGAGGAUAAGGGAAAUGACAGGAGAACGAACGAACGAACGUAUCCUUUUAAUGUAUGUGUUAAUAUCGCUUUAUAUUGUGAAUGUUUCAUGACUUGUUGUUUGAUUUAUGGCUUGAUUAUAUAUUCGGAACCUCACUGAGUUUUUAGCUUAUCCCUUUAGUUUUGUUUUCCUUAACAGGGGAAGGCAAGCCAGGACGAGAGCUUGGUAUAGACUAGCCUAGUCUAGUUCUUUGUUUUGUAAUGGUUCUCGCCCUAGCUUUGGCACGGGCUGAUGAUUGAAGAACUGAGAACCUUUGUACAUUGAAGUUGUAUUUCUUUUGAGAUAGCAAUGUAUAUAAGUUUCACUUUAAGUUUGGAUCAUUGUUAUACUCAUUCUUGUGGUUUAUUCCGAUGGUUGCUUGAAGUGAUCGACUGAGUCCGACGAGAGUUGGGUAGGCGGUCCGACGAACCCUUUGGUUCGCCUUAGGGGAGGUGGGGCUGUCACACACCAACCCAAAGGAGUCAAAGAAUAUAUUAAAGCUUCAAAGGUUGAUCAACACCCUAUUCUUGCUACAAAGAAGGAACAAUUAUUACUCUUCAUAUUCCAACUGAUUUUCCUUCCCCAUGGAAAGAACAGGGAUACACUCAUAUUCAUUUUGGAGCCAUCAGAAUAUCACUCUCCUUCAUGGAAGAAAAGGCUUCCAAUAGUGGCUCGAGUAGCUUUACUCGACAUAAGAUUUACAAAGUAUCAGUAUGCUUGCAUAGCAACUGUUGAAACAACUUUAAAUGCUGGAACAUCUUUGUGAUCCUUUUCCCUAAUUUUAACAUGUCUUUAGCAGAUCCUCAUUUGCUAGACACGUUAAAAGUAUAGGUACAAAUUGUUGGAGCAGAUCAGGUUUCUGAUGCAAUUGCAGCAACACUUCACUACCAAAUGGUUUAUCGAGUGCAAAAUCAUGCACUAGACCUUGUAGUCCCAGGUGGUGAAAAUGCUCUUCUUAUUCGGGUUGAUGAGAAGAACUCUGCAUGUUGCACCCAUGUACCUAGACAAAUCUCAAAGUCAGAUCCAAUCACACUCUUGCUUGAUAGUUGGAUCACUGAUUAUGAGUCUUUGCACACAAUCAAAUGAACCUUUAGAGUUUUCACUCUCAAGGAUCUCACAGACAAAAGAAGGGAGAACUUCAAUCGCUUUCGAUCAUUCACAUUAAAAUAAAAAAAUAAUACUUUAUCUAUUUUAUUUGCAGAAGUUUCUAUGAAAUCACCAAGAGAAGAAGCAAUUCACUUGGGAGCAUAUGAGGAAAAUUGCAAGAAAUCCUGCAUCCUUCAGGAUAUAAUUCAGUAUUUUGAUACAAAUAGAGAUGCAGUCUAUUACUUCCAAGAUCCUAUUUCUGGGCAUAUCUAUUUUGAUACAUGCAGAAAUUGUGAAGAAUGCUUGUUGGCAGAACAAUUGGAAUGUGAUGUUUUAGAUCUCUGUUCUAAAAAGAACAGAUCUAAAAGGUCGAAGCCAAUAGACCUAGUACCAUUUGAGCCAAGACCAUGCAAGCCAGAUCCAGAACCAAGACAACUAGAUGCCGAUGAUUUUACAUCAUCCAGAAGUAGCUUUGAUGGGUAUGAAAUUCCUACAUCAUGGGUUUAUCAAACCCCAAAACCCAGUAAGGUACUUCAUUCUUAUUAUCAGAAAUGUCUUGAAAUCUUGGAAAAGGAAGCAAGGGAACAAAGCAAGAAGAAACAGACCCAGGAAUGGAAACCUGUUCAAACCGUUCAAACCCAAAAAUUUUCAAUCCCUACGUUUGAACCCAUGGCUUCAGCCCAACCAACCGAAUGUUUCAUGUUUCAAGAAGCUGAUUUUCCUCCUUUAGAAUCAUUUGUAAAAAAUGAUUUUAAACAUACCCCAAAGAUUCAAACUCCAGCACCUGUCAUCCUUCCAACUGGAGAAACCCAGAGAACCAAUCUGCUGAUGAGGUUCUUAACUGGCAGAUAGAAAAUUCCUUGGUCCAGAAUAUUGCUCUCACCACAAUUCAUCAUAAUGUUUCUGAGGUACACAAAAAGGUGAAUCAUAUUGAUACUACUGUUAAUCAUAUUGAUACUACAGUUCAGUCUCAAAAAGAUCAAGUAUCACAUAUGAUUAAUGUUCUUGAAAAAAGACUUGAAAGUCUUAAAUAUAAUAUGCCUACUACCUCAUCAUCUUUAGCAAAUUUUGUUUUGAGCAGAGAAAAAGAAACUAAAUUCUUCAAAACCAAAUUGCUAAUUUGAAAGCAACGGGAGAAGUUCCAAAAUAUGAUAUUGGACCAUUUGAACUUACUCCCUAGGUAAGUUCAGUUUUGGUACCAUUCCUCUUAGGAAUUGGCCAACCCCUUUUAUUUUGGUAAUAUUACAACACCUAAUCCUUCAGUUUUCUUUCCAGAUCAACCACAACCAGCUUCUAAACCUUUUGACAUAGCUGCAGUUCUACGAGAAUAUCGUAGAAAUAAAAAAGAACAAGAAAGACAAGAAAAUGAGCAAUGAAAGAUUGAAGCUGAACAAAGAAAAGCAGAAGAAGACAAAAAACGCAAGGCUAAAGUAAUUGCUGAUCAACCAGUAGCUUCGUUAAUGUAUACAGUACAUACUAAUCCGAUUUUUUCUAUUGAAUAGGAACAGAAGGCAAAUGAAGCUACAAAGGUAUAUGAUAAUCCUCUUUCAUCUAUGUUAGAGGAUCUCCAACAAGAUUCAGUCCCUUAUAUUACUACAUAUACAAAGACAUCAGAUCCAGUAUCCCCAGAAUCAGAAUCUUCAGAAGAUAGUUCAGAUGACACAAAUUCUGAUUCAGAAAGCAGCCAAGAACAAACUUCAGAAUCCUCUGAAUCUUUUGAUCAGUCAAUAACUGUUCAUAAUGAAGAGGAAGAAAUUCCUUUUAUCAAUAUGAACACCAAAGUUGAAGUGUUGAACAGAUGAUGAAGCAGAAGGAGAAACUUCCCCAUUAAGGCCUCAAAGGACAGACUUUCCACAAGCAAAGGGAGUCCAACUUUUUACUAUUGAUGAUAUUCCUUCUGAAAAAUGGGAAGCAAGAUUCUAAGAUUUUCAUGCUUGGAUGAUUGCACAAAACUUGCAUGAAGAAUCUCAUUUUGAAAUUUUAUCUGUCUUUACUGGACAUUUUUCAGAAUCCUGAAAGAAUGGUGGAUAAGUCUGGGAGACACAGACAAGAUGACUUUCUUAACCAGGCAAGAUUUUUCAGAAAAUAUAAACAUCCUUCACUUGAUGUUAUAGGAGAUGUCAAAGAAAGCAGAGAAACCAAGAGAAAAAGUUUUUUCAAUGAAGUGUUUAUCUUAUGAUUGAAAAGAUCUCAAUAAACAUUUUAAGAAAAUGACUAAGCUUUUUUAUAUUCUUGGUGCAGAUAUAAAUCUGAAACAAACUUUUAUCAGUUCACUCCCCAAAUCUCUUGCUGAUGGUGCUAGAUGUAUGUACAUCCAUAACAAAUAUGGAUCCAUUUUGGCAUCACCUUUCAUUGAUAAUGAUGAUUUGGAAUGCAAAAGCCAGUUUUGUGCCUAUCAUCUAGGUGAAUUCCCAAUUGCCAAAAUCCAGAUUUCAAGUCAAAUUUUGAAAACCAUUUUGCUUUAGAAAUCUGAGAAAAAAGUGUAAACCUAUUGGGAAUUGGAAAUUGAUCAUCAAGAAGAAAAAGAUUAAGAGGCUGAUAAUUGAUUACCAGUCUCAUCUUUCCUCUUACCUGUUCUGAUCUUUUGUUGACAUAAAAAGCUUGGCACGCCCAUUGAGAAUCAGAUAUCUCAAUUAAUAAAUUUCAAGAGUUCUUGGCAUUCUUGUUCAGCAAGCUAAGUAUCAUCAGGAUUCAUUUCUAAAUGACUAGCUUUGUGGAUUUAUAUCCUCAUUCCUUUUGAAAGGAAGACGAUGUAAAAGUCAGAAUUUUUUCACAAUGGAUGGUCACAUUUCUGUAAAAACUCUUGAUGAUUGGAAGCACAUGACUCUUGAAUAAUUUUAUUAUGAAAUUCUUUGAGUCUUUCUUCCAAAGAAGGAUUUGUAUCAUCUAGUAAAUAAAGCUUCGGGAUAUCAAUGAAAGGUUUAAAAAAUGUUUUUGAUCUUAUCCCUUUAGCUGUGAUGAAAAACUUGUUUUCCUAUAGAUAUCAAAUCCAAGUAAAAGGUCUUUCCCAGACAUCAAAUUGGCUCCCAAAAACUGAGUUGUUAUGUAACAAUUAGGGAGAAGUUUGAGAGUAAUGGUAUAUUUUGUAAUUGAAGUAGUGUAAAAAGAAUUCCCAUCAGCUCCUUUAAACUCAUGAGUGUAAGUAGUCCAAUAUUUGUCUGAUAAAACAUCUUUUUUCAUAAUGGAAAGGGCUGCACCAGUGUUAAAAAAUGCAAUUAAGGGAAUAGGUGUUGAAUACUUAUCCAUAAGGAUAUGAACGAGUGAUUGAGGAUAAGUAACCCUUUCUUGUGGAUGAGUUGUCCUUAUUGUAAGGAUAUCAGGAACCUGUAAAGCCACAAGAGUGUUAUCAGUUAUUUCUUCCUGUUCAGAGAAUUCAGAUUCUAUAUCAGAGAAUUGUAAAUUAAAUUCAUUCUGAAUUUCUAAAUAAGGUUUACUCCCUUUUGGUUUCGAGGAUAGUUUUUUGCAAAAUGUCCUGGCUUUCCACAAAUAAAACAUUUGUUUCCUUUCCUGCCUUUGAAUGGUUUGCCUUUCCUUUUGAAGUAGCUCCACUUCUUUCUAAAAGGUCUCCUUGAGAAUUGCUUAUAGCUUUUGCUGAAACUUUUGAAUCUUUUGAACUUUUUCCUCUUUUUGUAUGGAACACAAGCUUGACACUUUCCUUUAAUAAUCAAUUCAGGCUUCUUGCAAGCUUGAUCGAGACAAGCAUCUCCUUUAAGAUAUUCACGAAUAACCUUCCUUUUGUUGCAAAGAUCAUCCAAUGCUAAUAAGACUACUUCCAAGAUCCUAUUUCUAGACAUAUCUAUUUUGAUACAUGCAUAAACUGUGAAGAAUGCUGGUUGGCAGAACAAUUGGAAUGUGAUGUUUUAGAUCUCUGUUCUAAAAAGAACAGAUCUAAAAGGUCUAAGCCAGUAGACCCAGUAUCAUUUGAGCCAAGACCAUGCAAGCCAGAUCCAGAACCAAGACAACCAGAUGCCGAUGAUUUUACAUCAUCCAAAAGUAGCUUUGAUGGGUAUAAAAUUCCUACAUCAUGGUUUAUCAAACCCCAAAACCCAGUAAGGUACUUCAUCCUUAUUAUCAGAAAUGUCUUGAAAUCCUGGAAAAGGAAGCAAGGGAACAAAGCAAGAAGAAACUCUCCUUUCAUUGAAGAAAAGGGCUUCCAAUAGUGGCUCUAGUAGCUUUACUCGACACUAGAUUUACAAAAUAUCAGCAUGCUUGCAUAGCAACUGUUGAAACAACUUUAAAUGUUGGAACUAUCUUUGUGACCCUUUUCCCUAAUUUUAACAUGUCUUUAGCAGAUCCUCAUUUGCUAGACACUUUAAGGGGUAGAUCAGUGAAUCAUUGAACUAGAACGGCAUAUGAAUUUUGUGACGGCCCCACCUUCCCCUAAGGCGAACCAAAGGGUUCGGCGGACCGCCUGCCCAACUCUCGCCAGGACUCACUCACGCACUCACUCAUAGCUCAAGCAAAAUAACGUGCAUCCAUAGAAAAUGAAUAACAUAUCCACUUCAACUUAAUAUAUACUCCCUUUUGGUUUCGAGGAUAGUUUUUUGCAAAAUGUCCUGGCUUUCCACAAAUAAAACAUUUGUUUCCUUUCCUGCCUUUGAAUGGUUUGCCUUUCCUUUUGAAGUAGCUCCACUUCUUUCUAAAAGGUCUCCUUGAGAAUUGCUUAUAGCUUUUGCUGAAACUUUUGAAUCUUUUGAACUUUUUCCUCUUUUUGUAUGGAACACAAGCUUGACACUUUCCUUUAAUAAUCAAUUCAGGCUUCUUGCAAGCUUGAUCGAGACAAGCAUCUCCUUUAAGAUAUUCACGAAUAACCUUCCUUUUGUUGCAAAGAUCAUCCAAUGCUAAUAAGACUACUUCCAAGAUCCUAUUUCUAGACAUAUCUAUUUUGAUACAUGCAUAAACUGUGAAGAAUGCUGGUUGGCAGAACAAUUGGAAUGUGAUGUUUUAGAUCUCUGUUCUAAAAAGAACAGAUCUAAAAGGUCUAAGCCAGUAGACCCAGUAUCAUUUGAGCCAAGACCAUGCAAGCCAGAUCCAGAACCAAGACAACCAGAUGCCGAUGAUUUUACAUCAUCCAAAAGUAGCUUUGAUGGGUAUAAAAUUCCUACAUCAUGGGUUUAUCAAACCCCAAAACCCAGUAAGGUACUUCAUCCUUAUUAUCAGAAAUGUCUUGAAAUCCUGGAAAAGGAAGCAAGGGAACAAAGCAAGAAGAAACUCUCCUUUCAUUGAAGAAAAGGGCUUCCAAUAGUGGCUCUAGUAGCUUUACUCGACACUAGAUUUACAAAAUAUCAGCAUGCUUGCAUAGCAACUGUUGAAACAACUUUAAAUGUUGGAACUAUCUUUGUGACCCUUUUCCCUAAUUUUAACAUGUCUUUAGCAGAUCCUCAUUUGCUAGACACUUUAAGGGGUAGAUCAGUGAAUCAUUGAACUAGAACGGCAUAUGAAUUUUGUGACGGCCCCACCUUCCCCUAAGGCGAACCAAAGGGUUCGGCGGACCGCCUGCCCAACUCUCGCCAGGACUCACUCACGCACUCACUCAUAGCUCAAGCAAAAUAACGUGCAUCCAUAGAAAAUGAAUAACAUAUCCACUUCAACUUAAUAUAUACAUUGAUGCUUAAAUCCAGAUUCAAAGUUUCUACACACCAAAAAAAAAAACUUCAAACUUACAUUUCGAGUGUACAUUCAACCCUAGUUGGGUACUAGCGUGAGUACAAAAGCAAAACUUAAAACAACUAGACUCCGCUAGUCUGUACAUGUCUCAUGCCUCGGUUGUACCCCCUGUAAGGAAAACAAAUGGCGUGGAAUGAGCUAAAAGCCCAGUGAGGUCCCAAAUAACAAAUUGACCAUUUUAAAAGUACGAAUAUCAACGUAGCAAGUUAAUGGGCAUCAAAAGUUCAUAAGAGUGAACAAUAACACUUCAAGUAGUAAAUUUCAAAAUGAGCGAGUGUAAAAGUUUUCCAGAAGAAUCAAUAAUCCAAUAAGCAAUAAACAUUCCAAGGUAUAAGGAUACGGAAGGCUCUCAGGAGCCAAAUUCCCAGUGCAUCACCAAAUCUCGAUCAAGGAAUAGUUGACAAUCCAUUAACCUUCAAGUAAGUAACCAAUCCUAUAGAGCACCACUUACACUACUCUCCGUCCACCAUUCACACCCCUACUAGGCCCAAAAUUCUCAAUAAACACGGGUGGUAAUACUCGAGUAUACCGAUUAGUCGAGGAGAUAUCACUCCACUCGACAAAACAAGAGACCUAGGGUUCGUUGCCCAGUCGACCAAGCCCUUGCCGGCUCGACUUGAGUAACUCGCCACAGGGUUUCUGGAAUUCCAGGAAGUGCGCACCUCAUAAACAAGUAUAUCAAAACAAUUGCAACAAUAAACAAGUAUAUAUCACGUAAGGGCAAGUGCGAUAAAGUACACUCUCGCCCUAACAAUUCACGUAUAUAACAUGUAAUCAUAUUGGUCACGUAUCAAAUACAAGUAUCAAGUUCACUUUGGUAUUUGAAAACACUCACCAAAAGAUAUAGUGCCUUUACUAGUCACUUUUAGGUUGUACUCUGGGUUCGGAGUCCAAAUCUGCGAUAAAACUCAGUUUGAGAACUUUGAAACAUGACUAAGAUUCGAAACUUAGACGUUUCGUUCAUUAAGAAUCAAGAAAUAGAAAUUCACUUGGAGAAUAUUCGUGAAACACUCGCUCGCUUUUCAAACUAUAUAACUUUGUAUCAUUUAUACUUGGAAAUGCCAUUUGAGUCGAAAGUACAAGGAAAACGUAUUCCUAGUAGUCAUGAUUGUAAUUCUCAAGGGUACAAGUUUGGCCAAAUCCUCACUGAUAUACCUCAAUAAAAGAAGAUGCAAAUAUUCUAGAUAGUUCAAGUAGUAAUCGCUCUUAACCCUUACUCAAGUCGCAAGUAUAUUUCUCUAGUCUCGAGCGAAAAUUUGGGCAGUAUGCCCUUUGUAUUUUCCUAUUUUCCAGCCAUUUAUGGCUUCAUUAUUUCCUCAAUCAAACCCAAAGUUACACACAACACAAAUCCAUUUCAAUAGCCGUUCAAUAGGCUCAAGACAUACAAGGACACAAAUCAAACUAACAACAAAUGCGGAUAUGAAGUUUACAAAAGAUAGAUUUGACGGGUUUUUGCGGAAAGAACACAUCCGAGGCUACGCUUAUCAGAUUGAGGUACACAUUAUACCGUUUCGAAGCUAAGAAAAAGGCCUACAACUUUCAUGAAGAUCACUUAGUCAAAUGUCCAGUGUAACCCAGUCAAAUUCCCAAUUUACAGAAUCAAAAUCCAACUAAUCGGCUAUUUAACCGUACUGCCUUCAAAUGGUCAUAUCUCAGGCUACCCAAGUCCGUUUAAGGCGUUCUUGGAGGCGUUAAAAGCUGAGUCAGAGUACUAAAACUUUCAUGUUUUGGCAAAUGGCUAAAUCAGCACGGAUCAUAGUGAAUAAACAAAGCCAAAUGGAUGAACUGUCUAACGGAUCACUGGAAAGCAUCCUAGGGCAGUGAGGAUAUUUUAGUCUUUUCACAGGCUACAUUACUCCGAUUGCCCUGAAAUUUUGUAGGCAACUAUAACAUAUCAUUAUCUACAACUUUCAUGUUUUAUACUAAGCCUAAUUAGGCCUCUAACAUCAUGAACUGGAACCGGACAGAACAGGGCUACAAUUUUCCAGAAAUCUGGAAUUUUCAGUUUCAAAGGAAACUUUCUUCAUUUCUUGCUUCAAUCACUACCAAAGCCCCUUAUAUAAUCUUAGAUACAACAUAUAUUAACCAUACAGCAAGUAUAGGCAGCAAUCCUUCAAACCCUAACUCAUAUAACUAAAAAAAAACAUACACUAUCUACCCAAAUCAUGAUAAUAGCUAUCAUUUACCACAAUUUUAAGGUGCUAAGCCAAUUUAAACAAGAUCAAGAGUAAGAAAUGGGGAAAUCAGCAUCAUUACCUUGCUAAAGUGACUACCAAGAGCAACCCUAGCUUUUCCUCUCAAAAUUUCACCAACACACCACUAGCUAAACACUCAAGGAAGGUUUUAAUCGGUUUAGUUUUUUGUUUCCUCACUUGGAUGAUUCAAUUUCAAGAUGAAAUGGUGAAGCUCUCCCUUGGGUUUUUCUCUCUCUCUCUCUCGGCCAAACAGCAGAAAAAAUGAGGAAGAAAGGUAGCCCAAGGUGAUAAGAAGGCAAGACAAGUUGUCUUGGUCAAGGCCCUUAGAUGGCCGACAAGUGUCCUCACCACCCUCCACUCAUUUUUUUGUUUCUUUUCCUUGCCAUUUUGGUCCAAAUUUUCGGUCAAAGCCAGCUGGAAUUGAGGAGAUAUUUUGCUCAAAAUUUUAAUGAGCUCAUAUGGUAAGAAAGUGGUGGUCAAGUGGUGCGUUCAAUCGAUAGUGCACGGUACCCGUCGGUGUGAACCGAUUUUUCUUAAAUCGAGUAUACUAGGGUUUUUAACUUCUAAUCACUAACUGGAUCCAAAUCGGUUGAUGGCAAUGGCAAAGAAUAAGUUAGUGAAUCAUAAGUUAAAACACUAGUACACGCGAGUUAAGGAAAAUCGGCUUGAACCGACGUGCACCGUUUGCUACCGAUUAAGUGCACCACUUGAACACUACUUUAUUACCUUAAUCUCCUUGCUUUUAUUUCAGCUAAUCACCCCCAAAAUAUCCUCUUAAGUGGCUGAAAUUGUUGACCAAAAGAAGAGGGGGAAAAGAAAAAAAAUAAGGAACCAUCUUGUAGUGACACUUGGCGGAAAUCAAACCAACUUUGACCAACCAAUUUCCUUCCUUCUUAUCCUUCAUUUUUGGUUCAUUUUCUCCAUUUCUUCACCUUGGUGCCCGAAACUAGGAGGGGGAAAAAGAGAGAAAACCAACUUCAUUUCCAACCUUGAAUCAAGCCUUGUUUGAGUGAAAUCAACAAAACCAAACCGAUUAAACUUACCUCUUGGUGCUUGGAAGGCUUGGUGUGCUGAAAUUUUGGGAAGAUAGUGGUUUGUUUCUCACUUGCAAGAAACUUUUGGAAGGUAUAAGGCUUGAACUUGCCUUUUUGUUGUUUAAUCUUGCUAAAGUUGGUAUAGAAGCUUUUAAUCUUGGCUUAUUAUGGUUGAAUGUUUAGUUUUGAUGGUGUAGUGGCAUGUUUAGCUAGGGUUUGCAAUUUUUCAGCUUUGAUUAUUGUUGUUUACCUAUUAAGUGAUGUUAUUGAGCUAGGAUAUGGAUUUGGUGAAGUGAUUAAUGGUUUGGUUGUGACAUUUUAGAGUUAAAGUUGAAUUUCCAGCAUUUGUAGUGAUUCUGCCCUGUUUUUGGAACCAACUUAACUGCAUAUUCGUCUAUGGUAAAGGCCAAAACAGUUCUUGCUCAAAACAUAAAAGUUGUAGGGAUUUGAGUGAUUUUUUCUACCCAGAAAAUUUCAGCUCAAUCGGAACACUAUAUCUUGUGGAAUGACUAAAAUACCCCUGACUACCCAAUGCCCUGUUUAACCGAGAGCUUUCUAUUUUCUCUGAGAUUUCAAUUUUUUACUCCGAAAAUGCGAGAACUGGGUGUCAAUGUCGCCAUAAGAAAUGUAGACCUAUGUUUUAGCUUCGAAACGCCAUAAGAUGUACCUCAAUCCGAUAUACUUAGCUGCAAUUAUGACCAAAACACCGAAGGAUGACAAAUCUGCCACUUAGACAUUCUUCUUUAAAACUAGUUUCCAGCUUUGAUUUUGAUGGUUGCAUUGCUAGAAUUGACUUGUAUUUGAAUGAUAUUGAGCCUAGUGGAAUAGCUAUCUUGUUAAGUUUGCUUAUAUGUGAAUUUGGGCUGAGUUGAGGAAAGAAAUGAAGCCCUAAGUGGAUGGAAAAUAGCUAAAUACAAAGGGCACGCUGCCCAAAUUUUCACUCGAGGGUUAGGCGUAUGUACUCGCGACUUGAGCGAAGAUUUGUGGUCGAAUUGGACUUGGAUCAUCUAUGGUAUUCAAGUUUUCUUUAAUAGAGGUAUAUAAGCUGAAAUUUUACUGGAACUCGUACCCUUGGAAAAGUGAAAGUAGUGACCCUUAAAAUACGAUUUUCCCGGUCUUUGAUACCAAAUGCAACUUCCAAAGUCUAAAUCACUUCUUGAUUAAAACUAAACGAGCGAGUUUGAAUUUUCUAGAGUUUGAUAAGUAACUUGAAUACUACUUAAACGCGUUCCAUUUACUUGAUUUUUUUUAAAAGCGAAACUCCUGUGUUUCAAACCCUAGUUGAUUUUAAACUCUUGCAUAAUAUUUUACCGCAAAUUUGGACUCCAUCCAAGGAGUUGCACCUGAGUGUGACCUUGAAAAGUACUAGAUCUUUGGUGAGUGCUUCCAAGUGCAUAUUUAUGCUUGAUACUUGCUUUUACAUGUUUUACUAAUGUGCUUAGACAAUAUUUGCUUGUUUGAACGGACAAGGGUAUACUUUAUCGCACUUGUCCUAAACAUGACUUGUUAUUGUGCCUUAAGGGCACAUGACUUGAUAUACUUGUCUAUGCAUGAACACUAUAGAAUUCCAGAAACCCUGAGGUUAGUUAAUCGAGUUGAGCCGACAAGGGCCUGGUCGAUUUGAUAACGAACCCUGGGUCUCUUGUUUUGUCGAGUAGAGUGAUACCUCCUCGACUAAUCGGUAACACGAGUAUUACCACGCGUGUUUCUCGUGGUGUUCGGGCCCGGUAAGGGGGUUGAAUGGUGGACAGAUUGACGUGAAGCGGGGCACUACUGGAUUGGUUACUUUACUUGAAAGUUGACGGAGAGUCAACUACUACUUGUAUCAAGCUAUGGUGGAGCUAUUUUGAAAUAGCGUGUGACGCCCCCACUUCUCUCUAAGGCGAACCAAAGGGUAUCCGUGGAACACCUGCCCAAUUCUCGCCAGAACUCGAUACAGGUCAAGUUUAAACUUAAAGGAUAACGACCAAAAUAAUAAAAGUCGAAAUGAAGAAAAGUCGUUUCUUUAAACAAAUUUUCAAAUCUUACAUCACAAGUUCUCCAAAGUACAUCAACUUUCCAAAAAAACAACCACUACAAGCCAACUAGUCAAAUAUAUCUCAAGGCCUUAAUCAAAAGUACUCAAGUCGGCUCCCCAAAAUUCUUCCCAAUCCGAUCUCCUGUUAAAAAAAACAAACUAAUGGGGUGAGUGAACGCUCAGUGAGGCCAAGAAACACACAUGCAACCACAUAGUCCAAGUAACAACAACAUUUAUACAGUAAGUAAAACUGUAAAGUUCGAGUAAUUAACAUUUCAAGUAGGAAAAGUAAGCAAAAAUAAUUCAAGAUACCGUAGCUCUCAGGAGCUAAAUUCCACGUAGUAGGGUCAAGGUCUUGAUCCAAUUCCAUAUUGACACUCCGUCAACAAGUAAGUAUCAAAUCUGUAGGAACUCCACUUUCCCUAGAUCCCGUUCACCGUUACACCCCCUUACCGGGCCCGCUCGUCAAGGUUUUGAUAUUACUCGAGUAUAUCAUGGCAAUACUAUGCAAGUAUGCCAAGCAAGAUCUCUCCAAUAGAUCAAUCGUCGUGUUUGGUCAUGGUUUACUAAGUCUCUCGACCAAACCCAUGCUGGCUCGAUUCGUAAAGUUAGCCAAUGAGGUUAGGCGUCCACCAUAAGUAAGAAUGGUCGACGAGACAACGCUCCAGUCGACAAUUAGAAGUAUAAGUCAAUGAGAUUCACUCCAAUCGACAAAAGUCAAACAUAAGCAUACUUUCAAGUAUGAGCAAGUCAAGUAUAAAAUCAAGUAAAAGAGAACGAGUGCGAUAAAGUACACACUCGACUCAAUAAAACCAAUUCAUAUAUUCAACUAGAAGUAAUUCAGGUAUUAUGCAACAAGCCAUGCACUUGACACUCAUCAAUUCAAAUAAGUGAGUAAGUGCAAAAAGAUCUUUAGUGGUCGGCUCCGAGAUUCUCUUCAAGAUCCUCUUGAGCGCCUGAAAAAAUAACAAUUAACUAUCACCCAAAAUACUUACAAACUCCUUGCCAAACAAGGAAGAAUGCACACUUGUUUAAUACUAAGACAAUGUCUUAAAAAGCUUUAAUAUCUCGAAAAUCGAGAUUCAAAAGUGAGGAUUUAAGGUCACAAGAGAAACUUGCAUCCUCCAUGAAAUUGAGUUUAAAACGGACAAUCAAUAUCGAAAGACAAUGAAAAAUUCUCAAAAACUCAUUUCCCAAGAAAUCAUGAAAUUUCAGCUUUGCGCGACAAAUUUGGUAAAAUCAGAUUUUGAGUUUGUAUGUUCAAAAAUGGAAAACUAUAUACCGUUGGAAUCUAGAUUCAAAGUACUAAAAGUUCCUAGAAGACACUCUUCCAAGAUUCCAAACAGAAAUCAUUCAUUUUUUAGCUCAAAGUUCCUGAUUCAAGAAGGUGAGACAGAAUCAGUUUUUGGUUUUCGGUGAAUUUGGAAAUUCGGCAAAAUUCACAGAAAGUGAAUCAGCCUUUUAAAUUUGUAACACAAUAAGAGUUCCAUACAAAAUUUCAAACACAACAAGCAAAACUAAAUUCGGAGUUUUGAGCAACAAGAUAUAACAGUUGGAAGUCAAUUGGUUUUUGUAAUCUGAUCAGUGAAUUUCCAGAUUUGAAGAGCAAUCUUUGGGGCAUUAUUUGAGUAUCGAAAUGGUAUUGAAAUCACACCAAAUUUGGUACACUUAAAAUUUCAUAUAGGGACUACUUAUCUACAAAUUUCAGGUAAAAAAUCGCCCAGAAAGGCAGUUAACGAAACGACUUUAAAUUUUCAAAGCUAAUCUGCCAACCGUAGUUCGCUUCCUUUCUCAAACGUUUUGUCCAACACAAUCAGCCCCAAUUCGCUCCAAUUUUGAAACCAAAGUUCUAGAAACAUUUAAUAAGUAAUCAAUGGUUAAAUGACACUAAAAUUUUCAAAAUAUAACAUCCCAAAACAGAAUUGACCAUUCGGUCAACAAGGAAGGGAAAAGUUUCCAAUUUCCAGCAUUGUCGCAUUUUCGAAACCAAACCAUAUCUAACUCUAUACAACUCUAAAUUGAGAUUGGUUUACAGUGUUGAAACUAGCUUCCAAAUGUUAGAAUUCAUCAGAAGACAUCAUUUUGAAAAUCCAUUUACAAAUGGGACAAAAUCGAGCCACAAGAUGCAGCUUCCAGUUUUAUUUGCAUAAACAGUCGAAACAGAACAGCCAACUUUGCCGACUCGCUACGGUUCACUCAAACGAACCAGUAGGGGAUUUUUAUACCGUUAAAAAGCUAUGAAUGUCUAUUUUUGAAUACCACAAAUGGCACUCUAUUUUGACUUUUGUACAAAGAGUUACAUUCGAACAAAGAAGCACUGUCUGAGUGCACUGUUAUACGUUUUCUAGAUUCGAACCUCUACCAAAAACUCAAGUUUUCCACAACCAUCCGAUACAAUUUUUGAAAGACACUUUGUACACACAAUAUACAACAUAUAUCCAUCAAUUUCACAGUCAACCAAGCAUCAAAAUUGUGAAACAAAAACAGAGCAACAUGACCAGAAAUUUCAGCCAGCUUGUAUUCUCAUUUUUUCCUUCGAUUUCUCUCCACUUUCUAACCAUAAUCAUCUCAUUCAUCACAUAAACAACCAUAAUCAAACAAUCAAGCCUCAAUCAGCUACCUAGAGGCCUCAUCAAGACAGCUAGCCUAUGAUUUAAAGCGAGAUAAAUGGUUCCUCAAGUCCGCUAGCCUACAAUGCGGUUAGGGUUUUAAACCCAUGAAGAUUAACCGCUAAACUUUGAAGAAAUGAAAGGAUUAAAGAGGUUGAGUGCUUACCCUUGAAACCCUUGAUAGAUAUCAGAUUUUUCCACCGAAAAUUCUCCAAGAAAAUCCACAAGAUUGCUUCUUGCUCCUAGCUAGAGUGGUACUCCAAGUUGUGAGUAAUUUGGUGGAGGAUUUGUGAGUGAAAUGGAGGCUAGAAUAUUGAAGUUUUCUUCCCCUUUUUCUUUCUUCUUGGUUGGCUGAAUGAAGGAGAGAGCUGAGGGUUUUUGUGUGAUGAAAACUUGGAGAGAAAGAAUGGAAAAGCUACUUUAAGAUGGUGUAUAAAGUCAACUCUUAAUAAUACGAAAUAGGGUUUCGUACUACCAAUUUCUCUCGGGUUUGAUACACUCAUGCACUAAUCCUCCAAUGUAAUUCCUUUAAUACUGUAAUUACUCACUCUUACUAGUCUAGUAUUAAUUUCUCAAAUUCCAAUUAAUCGGAACGGCAUGACUUACGAGAAACUUUCGACGCGCGCGCGAUAAAAGCAAAAAUUUGAACUCACUCACCUCUAAUUCCUCAAAUAACUUUUCUUAGUCUACUAUUAAUCAUUCUUAAUUCUCCAAAAUUAUUGCACUCUCGAAUCGAAUAUUGUCUCGAAAAACAUGUACUCGUUAUUCCUUACUAAACGAGUAGCAGAAAAAUUAAAUUUGCUCACGGGACAUUUUAAAAAUAUAAGUAAGGCAUUAUUCCAUGUAAAUGGAUUUAACAUGGUUGAAAUAAAUUAUUCGGAGAAAACAGUUGAAUAAAUAAUUAAAGCCAGUAAAAUAAGGUAAAAGUAAGUAAAUUUUCGGGUCCUCACAUAGCGGCUGUAUCCUUUUACUUGACAUGUUAAAUAUUCAUUGCUUGGCUCAUUUUCUUGAUUUUCAUAUGCUCGCUAUUUUGAUACUUGUGAUUUUAAAUCAUGGUCAACUUGUUAUUUGGGUCUGCAUGAAGAUUUGGAACCUCACUGAAUUUUAACUCAUUCUAUGAGAUUUGUUUUCCUUACAGGGGAUACAAGCAAGGGCGUGGGGACCGGUACAGGCUAGCAAAGUCUAGUUUCUUUUAUUUUUGCGAUUGUACUCGCGCUAGUGCUCGUUUAGGGUUGAAUGUAUCUGAACUCAAAUCUUUUGUUAUAUUUGGGAUCGUAUGAAUGUUUGAGAUGGGAAUGAAUGUAAUUGUACAUUCUAAGUUUGGGAACUGUUAUUUCAUUUACUCUUGAGGUCGUAACUUAUUUCCAUCGAAGUGAGUGAGUGAGUCCUGGCGAGAGCUGGACAGGCGGUCCGCUAAACCCUGGGGUACGUCCUAGGGGGAGAUGGGGUUGUCACAGUAAUGCUAGUGUUAUUGCCAAGCUUAAUACUGCUAAUUCAACUAAUUUUGGCACUUUUAUGAGCUCAACUACUGUUUUGGUAGGUUAUGCUAUAGCAUUGGCUACGCCAUAUGUUUUUAGAGGUACUUUGCUAUGUUGUAAUUGCUUAUCCUCGGCUUCAUACCUAUGAAUAAGAGUUUUGGAUUGUCUUUUUCUUUUAUUGAACUUUUACCAUAACUUGGUGUUGACACUAGAAUUUGAGAUCUUAUUUUCCUGCUGCCAUGAUUUUUUCUCGCGAAUUACGAACUGCAAUUUUCUCGAAGAUAGCAAUACGAAGCAUUCAUUCUGUUUCCAAGAGAGUAAUCACUUCUAUUUCUUCUUCCUUUCUCUUUUGUGCUUUGCCAGGAGAGAUAGCUAUGGAACUGUUAUUGGUUAAUUGAAGGGAAUUUUUUCUUUUCAUUUUUUAUUGUAGUUUGGAUUUACUUUUCUUCUUUGUUUGGUAUGUCGUUAAAAAGGUGCAUGUCACAAUGAAUCUAUUCAACUUUGAGCAUCUUAACUCAAUCUGUUUUUAUGUAACUCCAUCUCAUAGCAUUCUUAAUUAUUUGCAAAUGCUUAAAGUAAUGUUCACUAAUUGUCUGUGUUAAUAAAAUGGAGCUCUUUCUUGCGUUCAUACAUACUUGCUUGGUGUUUCUGGUGGAGUAAUGAAUUGUGAGAAAAGUUGCCUUUUCUAAUCCGGGUAUAGAUUGUGCAUUCUAGAUGUUAUGUGUACAUUGUAGACACCAAAAUUUUUAAAUAUUCUGUAUUUUAUUUAUUUUAUUUUAUUUUAUUUAUUUUUGUCCUAAUUUUAUUUCUUUGUUAUUUUAGUAAUAAUUCUUAUCUAAAUUCUUGAUUUUAGUUUUGGACUUUUGGUUUUUUUUAUGGUCUAUUAUUUUUAUUUUAGUUUUAUUUUGUAUUCGUUUUCACCCUUUUAACUAUUUAUUUUUAUUGUAAGAUUGUUUUUAGCAUAGAAUUUGUCAAAUGGAGAAAAAUUAUUCUUAAAAAUAUGUUUUAUUUCCUUUUCACUAUUUAAUUGAGAAAACGAGAAAAAAUGAAAAAAGAAAAUCAUUAAUCAAACAUGAAUUGUUAUUAGGCAUUUUAUUUCUAUCCUUUAUUCCGAGUUUUCUUCUUAUUAUCUGAUUUUUAUUUAAAAUAUUAUUAUUGUUUUAAAAAAAAAAAAAAGACGCGCAUGCAGCAGCGUAGAGGAUGAUAUUUUUUUUUUAGGUUUUCGGUUGAAUCGGAUGGCUGAGGAGAGGGGGGAACCAGCCCUUCAUCCUCACCUUUGAGGUGAGGGUUUAGGGGUAAUGGUUCCCCCUAUAAAAGAAAAGAAAGACAGCAAGAAAAGAGGGACGGCUAGAAAUCUGGGGACAGAGAAAGAAAACAAAAGCUACGAGGGUUCUGGGGAGAGAGCAAGAAACAGAGAACUGGGUAAGGCUGAGGGUGAAAAAGGAAAAGAGGAAUAGAGAGUUUGUGAGGGCAGAAAGGGCGUGAAGAUAGAGAAAGCAAGAAGGAUCCUCGGUUGGAAGUUGCAGAGGGGAUCAACUGGACCUUCAUUCAGCAUCAUUCGACAUUCCUUCGAGCAGCUGAAAGAAUCAUUUGAGUUUUUUCUGAAAGAGUCAUCCCACGUUCCUUUCCUUGAUUAAGGUAUUGUUGAAAGCUGCUUUCUUUCGCUGUUUGUUUGCAUUCUUUGGAUGUUUACUGGUUCUGUUUCGGUCAAUAUGACUGAUAGUUUUUAUUUGUGUAAUGAAAAAUCUGGGGCUUGGGUAAUGAAUCGGUGACUUGCAUGAUUUUGUCUUAGCCGAGAGAAAAUUGCAGAAAGUUUACAGCUUUGGCAGUUCUAUGCUUUCAUCAUGUAUAGAUCUAAAGUUGGUUUUUGAAAGGCAGAAAUCCAGGAUUUUCUUUAGGGGUUGGUUACUUUCAUUCUGCCAUCUUUCAUAUCAAAAUAAUGUUUGGCAUGUGUUUGUCAUAAGUUACCGAAGUUCUCUUGGACUGAGGAAAGAAAAGCUUCCGUUUUUUGUGCAUUGUUGAGUCAGUUUUUCAUGAACAUGUCGCCUGAAUUUUGUUUUGCCUCUACGCCAAAUUCUGGACAGAGCCCUCGCCUUCCUUUAGCUUAUUCUGGUUCAGGUUUUCAUUUGAAGUGUUGGGUUCCCUUUGUAGUUCAAUAGGUAUACCACCAAUGCAUUCAUCCCAAGCUGUUUUAUUGUUGUCCAGUCGUGUGGUUGUUUUUUUUUUUUUUUUUGGGUACAGGCUGUGUGUGUGUUAACAACAUGGGUUGGAAGUUUUGGCCUUGGGGUUUGGAGGAUAAGAAAUUGCCGAGAAACCUUGCUGCGUUUUCUUUCAUCGGUCGGUCAAUUCAAUUUCUUGGCUUGAAUCUUGUAACAAAAUCUGAUGUUUGAUUUAGUUGAUGGUUGAUAGUUAAGAUCUUGGUUUUUGAUGAAUUCGUUUGCCUGAUGAAAUGGACGGAAAGUUGUAGCUGAAGUUUGCAAAAAUAAACAAACGAAUGAAGAAGAAAGCUGUCGUGGAAACUUGCAUGCAGGAAUGGGUUUCAAGCAUUGCACUUUAAUCCCUGAAUCCUUAACUAAUUCUUCUAAGGCCCAGAAACUUUGAAAAUCAACCAAAUCUGACCUCUUUAAAUGUCAAUUUCCUUUGGUGGCAGCUUGUUUAGAAACUUUAAAAUGGAUUUUGAGGGUUUAAUGACUUUGAAUAACUUCCUAGUGUUUUUUUUAGUCGAACUUUAAUGCAUUUUUUUAGUAUUUUUUGUUGUUUCAUUUAUCUUUCGUGUUUUCGUCACUUGAUUGGUAGGUUCACCUUGAAUCCUUAACUUUAAUGUACCAUUCUAUUGGGUUCCUUAAUAGUUGCCAUUUUUGGGAAUUUGAUGGGUCAUUCCACUUUCUUGGUAAUUAAGCAUUUUUUUUAAUACAUUUAAGUCGCAAUUAGGGAAGAAUUUGGUCGUUUGUUGGUACCCCUUUUGAAGUUUCUAAGGUGUUCUGAGUUUCCUUUUUGCCUUUUAGUCUACUUAUCUUUAAAGUGGUGCAUUAAUCCCUUGCUUCGAUGGUUUUAACCCAAGUUAUCUCUUUCUUUGGUGACUCUAGCCCAAGUUAAGUCUUGUUCACUUUACUUACAUCACAAACGGGGAGGUAUAACUUCUUUUAUCCUUUUUUGUCUCUCCUCUAUGUGAUCCAACGUGCUAAGUGAGAAUUGCAUGUCUACUUUGCUUUCCUUGCCUUUCCUUAAUUCCUUUCAUUUAUUCAUUUACUUUUGCUUUUAUUAAGUUAUUCUUUUAUGGGGUAUGUGUACACCUCUUGGCUUGUAAUAGAUAGGACUUGGAGAGCAUUUUUUAUUCAUUUUUUUCCUUCCCCAUUUGUUUUAGCUAGCAAAUGUAAUAGAUUCAUUAGCUUGAUUACUUGCUUUUGUUGCUACGUGUUAAUUUGCUUUAUUAGGCCCUUGCAUUUAGUUAACCAUGCUAAGUGUUAUGUGCUACGUGUUUAUAGGUGAUUGGCAUGUCUACUUGCUUUCUAUAGUCAUAGAUGAAUGCGAUGGAUGAAUGCAUCACCGUGACUAAUCCAAUGCUGGUCAUGGUUUUUCCCCUCGAGCUCUCGCAAGUCCAAUGCUUGUGAGAAAAUUUUAGAAAAGGGCUAGUCCAAUGCUAGACCCAAUAGGUUGUCCCUCUCGUUAGUAGAUACUUGCAUGUCUCACUACAUUCAUGCAUUUUUUCUUAGUUUUCUAGCAUUUGGCAUGCCCCUCCAACCCUUUCCCUUUCAUUUCAGGCUUUUUGCAUCUCCAUGCUAGUUAUAGGGUACAUUUGCUUGAGAGUUACCCCUUAAAUAUAGGAUAUAGACGAGUGUGGCUUUUCUAAGUCUUAGCACGCUUGUAUUCCCUCUAUCAAAGGGAAAAUUAAAAUCACAAAGUUAGGAGUCAUUCCCGUACCCGACUUGAUGCAUUCCUCUAGGUUCAUACACUCUCAUUUUUAUCAUCCACAUUCUCUCACUACUUAUAUUUUUUCUUAAUCCACAUGCUAUGUUCACACAUUUCUCUUCUUUCCUUAUCACUUAUUUAUUUUCUACCUCACAAAUUGCACCCAGUUGCACUUAUAUGCAUUUAUUACUAUUAUACCAUAUUUUCAUCCACUUGCACACAAACACCUUUAUUUGCUCAAUUGGCACACAUGCACUUUUCUUACAUUUGCACACAUGCACUUUUCUUACAUUUGCACACUUGCACUUACAUUUGUAUUUUAUUUUUAUUUUAUUUUGCAUUCUUCUUACAUUUUUACACUUGCACUCAUAUUUUGGUCUUCAUUUGCAUUACCCGUGACCUCUAUGAGAGUUUUCCUUAUUGGCCAUCACAACUCAUGUGAUUGGGACCAAAAAGCCUCAUAAGAGACAUUUUAGAUUUAGGAUUGCAUUUUCUUUUUUUCGCAUCCAUUAGUCAUAUCCAACAUGCAACACAUACUUUGGUAGAAGAAUUAGGAAAAGAUGGGCUAAGUCACGCAACUGGCUUUGGCUAGGGUAAGGGAGUGCCUUAGGUUUUGCAUUUGCCUUCUCCCUUAUCAAAUGUGACCCCCGAUCCCUUUCUUUGGUUACGUAGACCUAAAAAAUUCUUUAAAAAUGGUUUGUUUACUUUUCUUUCCAAAAACAAAAAUCACUUUUUGGAUGACUUGGUACACCCUAACUCUAUACCAAGUGGCGACUCCUUUUCUAUCUAAAACCCUUUGUUUGGCCAAACGCAUUUCACAACCCACGGCUUUUAUUUUCACUUUCACACACGUUCACAUACAUAUCCUACACACUACUUUCACCACCUCAAAAGUGGGGCGCGACAUACAUCAAGUUGUCUCAUACAAUAACACUAAAUACUCAGAUUUGGAUACUUUCUUAACAUGGCUAGUUGGAAUAGUCUUUGUGCUUAAACCUGAAGUAUGUAAUUGCCUUGCUGUAAAAGUGUGUAAUAAUCUUUCGUGCUGGAUAUUAGUUGAACUCAGUGAUAAGUAGGAAAUAAACAUGGACAUCAUCUCAAAAGUUUGUAAUAUGAUCUAUGAACUCUGUUUGAUCUGUGGGUUUUGUUGCAUGAGUUUUAGUUACACAAGCAAUGUAAUCAUGUGACUUUCUAGACUUUAUUCUUAUGAAAUUUCAAAGUGGUUGUCGCAUGGGUGAAAACAAAUUUUGCAUAAAAGGAUGCCAUAAAAUGACCGGUCUGUAUCCUUCUAAUUGGAUGUCAUGGCUGAUUACUUGUGUAGGGGAAUUAUACGUUUUGCAUGGUGUGCUGAAUACUUUUUUCCAUCAAGACUGAAUUAGAGGUUCAGUGUAGUUGAUUAUCAUGCUCUUUUUAUUUCUAUGUGCAUUUAUUUCUGAAAUUUAAAAUAUUACGAACUUAUUUACUAUACUUGCUAUGUUACUCAUUAUGAGUACUACACCGGUACUUGGAUAUGGUUAUAGUCAUUCAUGCAUAAACGUUGUUUUGACAUUUGAUUGUUCUCACUUGAUAAUACAUUUUCAUUUUAGUAAUGCUUGUACUCCAAGCAUGUGUGGCCAGCCAUUGAAAUUAGUGAGUUUUUGAAGCCAAUCAGAAUAUUUCUAAUAUUAUAGUUGUUGGAGUUUGCUGCCAAUACUUGCUUUUAUCUUUACUAAGUUUUUUUAUUAGACUCCAGUUUCGUGGCAGAUAUGAUAAGCAAAGUUAUUUUGUUCUUUUAAAAUUUUGAUUUUCUCCUACUUAUUGUACUAUUUUACUGCAGAUAAAUGUUGUUCAUUCAAACUUUGUAAGAGAUCAGUAGCUAUUACAGGAGUGAAGAACAUGAGAGAUAAGGUUUUGACUAAAGGAUGUUGAAUAAAGCCCUUUUUUGCUAAUGCAGUGGUUCGGCUACCGUUUUCAUUUUUGCAAAUGCAGUAGUUCGGUUAAAUGUUCUUCGGUUUCUUGAACUCAAAUUCCUUUUGUAAAAGUACCUUACGUAGAUGUGAUAUUUGGGCACAGUGUUACUUUCGUAGAUAUUUGUUGGUUAACGUACACUUAAAUAUGACAUUUGAGUACUUCUACGUUAUCAAUUGUCUAGGUUUACUUCUUUUUAUUUAUUUUAAAUAAGUAAUUUACUGGCUAAAAUUGUGAGUUUAUUAAAAUAGUGACAAAGUUGAGAUCUCUAUUGACAAAAAUGAGUUGCACAGAAUAGAAAACAGAAACUCCUCAAUGACAAUGGAGCUUGUCACUAACUUCAAAUUCUAAUUGUGAUGAGAAAUGUUGUCUGUAAAUUGACUGUGUAAGUGAAAACUGUCGAUUUUUUUUAGUCAUGACUUUGACCAGGAAAUCUCUGACAAUAGGUAAGUCAUCGAUAAAAGUCUUUCAGAUUGUCGUCGCUAGAGACCACCAUUCACUGACGACAUGUUAUGUCGUCAUUGUAUACUUUUACCGACAGGCAUAUAGUGACAACUCUGUGAAAACACAAAAGUUAUCAAUAAAUGUCAUCUAUGACGACAUUUUGGUAUUCUGUGAUAACAUGGUGUUGCCACUGAUGACCAAUUUUCUUGUAGUAUAUGAACAUUUAUUUAGAUUUAUAGUUAAUGCUUUUUUAUCUAGAAAUUGGAGAAUUCUUCCCCUAUCUUACUCUAUUGCUCGUUUAGCAUGAGAAUAAAGUUCAGCAUCUUUCAUGAAGUGUAGAAACAUAGGAUGUGAUGAUUCGAAUAUAUCAUACGUCAUAGGAGAGAAAAAGUAUUGCUGAAAUAUAGAGCUACUUUAGUUGGAACUUGGGUAAUUCUUCUUUUAUCUCACUCCAUUUCUUGUUUAACAUGAGAUUCAAGUUCACUAUUUUUCAUGAAGUGUAGAAAAAUAGAGUAUGACCACAAGUAUAUAUUAUGCUUCACAGGACAAAAAAGGAAAAUAGUGAGCUAAAUAUGAAGGCAUCUUCAUUGUAAACAACAACAUUGAUCCAAUUGUGAUUAUAGAAGCUUGAAAAAAAAAGUGAUUGGAUUCUCAUAUUUAGUUGACCAUGAGUUAACUGAGCUAAACAGUGAAAUUAAUAUGCCAGAGCUACAAUCUUUGAAUUCCUCUUCGGUUGAAUCGGAUAACAACACAAGAGUUCUAAGAUUGUUGAAUAUAAAGGAAUAUCUCACUGGCGCAAAGAGUAUGGUCAACAAUCAGGCUGUAUCAAUUCUAGUGAAAAGUCCUUUAGCUCAUACCAAUGGUAUAGGUUAUAUACCCACUUGUAAGAAUUAUUGUUAGUGUCUUCUCAUUAAGUCUAGACAAGCUGGCCUGCUCAUGCAUGUCUACAGAUAUUUAAAAAAGUCAUAAACAUAAGUGAUUAUCAGUAUAGUAACCAAGGAAGGCAUGUUCCAAGUCGAAGCUCUUACCAUGAGGCUUGAGCAACCAGCUUAGUGCUUGUUAGCAUAGUCAAAGAGAGUAUCCAUGUAAUCAAAAUAUUUGAUUGUUAAUAAGGUAUUUUACUGCACUACAAAUUUUAAAACCUUAUUACCCUAUUUCAGCAAGUGCAUGGUUCAUUUAUUGAGUAUAAGAAUAAUAGAUAUCGAUCCCACGAGAAUUUAGAAUUUGGCAAUCACUUUAGUUUAUCACUUGCUUUAUUAUCUAGAUAAUCAAAGUUUAAGGAGGUAAAAAUAAAGAAAGUUAAUUAGGCAGUAAAACGGCCAUGAAUGAUAUUAGUUUAAGCAGUAUAACCGGCCAUAAAAAAUUAGAAGUUAGUUAGGCGGUACAACAAGCCAUAUAGCAUAAGCAAUAAAUAUAAAACUGGCCAUUAAGUGGUAGAACCAACCAUCUAGGUCAUAUAUUGCAAGAAAAUAAAUGAAAGUAAAGGUAACUUAGAGUAGAAUUGCUUAAAAAUGAGAUGAGAGGAUCCUAAGAAUUAGAAUCCCUUGUUAUGUCAAGAUUAAAAGUUAGUUAAGGUGAUUAUGCUUAUGCUUCCAUGAAUUGUUAAGGAAUAAUUUCCAAAUGUAUGUCCUUACUUUCGUCAAUGGACAUUCUUAAGAGAAACCGUCUUGGCUAAUUCCUCUACAAAUUGUUUUCACCAAUUUCUUUAACUCCUUGAAUCAUCCUUCACCUAUUUUCAUAGAGAAAAGGUAAGAAACAAGUUAAAUGAACUCAAUAAAGUUAUUAUAUGAAUUCAACCAACCGUUAGUCACUACAAUUGUGAGAAUAAGGCUAAUGUGUCGCCCCCAUUUUUAAAUGAAAAAUAAACGAAGUUUACAAAAAUGAAUUUUUGAUUAAAUUUUGAGUGAAAAAGAGGAAUUUUGGUUUUUAGAAAAAUGAUUAAAUGAAUUUUGAUUAAAAAAUGAUUUUUGAUUUUUGGAAAAUAAAUAAAGAAAAUGGGUCUAAAUGGGACUUAAAGUGCGACGAUUUUGACCCAAAAAUAAUAAUUUAAAAAGGGUUUUUAAUGAAAAAAUAGGAGUCACCACUUGGUAUUGAGUUAAGGUGUACCAAGUCAUCUAAAAUGAAUUUUUUAAAGAAAAAAUAGAGAAAACCCUUUUUAAACGACUCAAAGUCUUCAAAAAUCAGAGAAAAAGGAUCGGGAGUCAAAGUUGAAGAAAGGGAAGGCAAGGAUAAAAUCCAAAGCACCCUUUCAACCUAGCCAAGGCUAGUGUCGUGAUUUAGCCAAAAGUUUUCUUAAUUUAGCGUAAAAAUUUAUCACAUUUGGAUGUCACUAUAUGGAUGCAAACCUAACCAAGUGGUGGAUCGAGUUGGGCAAAAUAUCUCUUUGGGGUUUGAUCGGCAUCGAGCACAUUAAUUGUGACGGCCAAAAUUGACUUCUCGCAGAGAUCACAAAUAUGCAAAAAUAUAAGACUCGAAGGGAAGAAUCAUACGAAUAUACAUGACCUAAAGAAAUGCAUCAUAACGGGUGCGGGGCAGCUAAAAUUCGUGACUUUAAUUUUUCCUUUAAUAGAGGAAAUACAAGCGUGCUAAAGAUAGAAAGCUGUACUCGUCCAUAUCCCAUAUUUGAGGGGUAAUUUCGCUAAUCUAAUCAAGCAAAAUGUACUAACCUAGUUCUAAUUCUCAAAUGGAAUGCAAGUCUAAUGUCAUGUUUUUACAUACAGGGGUAAGGAAUGUACAUAUAGAUAAAAUAUGGGAUAAGAGAUAUACAUAUAAGGGAAAUGUUAUGCAAAAUGAUAAAAAAAACCCUAAAAAGUAGGAAAAAUAUGCAUGAAAAUGUAGUGAUUGCCACACAACAUGAUCUAGCGCGUGGAUGGCCCCUAAGGGUCUAGCGUUGGACUAGCCCAUGUCUAUAAGUUCUCACUAGCAUUGACUAGUGAGAAAUCGGAAAGGAGGGCCACAACUAGCGUUGGACUAGUGUGGUGAUGACAUGCAUUUAUUACAAUCAAUUAAAUCAUGUAAAAUAUAAUAAAGCAAAUGAACACAUAAAUCACAUAUAGCACAUAGCACAUAAGCAUGAUAUCUAGAUGCGAGACCCUAAGAAAGCGAAUAACACGUAAACACAUAAGCGUGCAAGACACACAAAGCAAAUAAAGCGAAUGAAGACCUAACUAUUACAUUUGGGCCCUAACUACAAUCCAAAAAGGGAGAGAAUGCAAUGAAAUAAAAUAAUAACCUAACUAUUAUAAUUUGGCAUUUAAAUGCCUCUCAAAUAACUAAAAAUGAAAUUAAAAUAAAUAUACAAAAUUAAAACAAAUGAAAUGAAUAAAUAAAUAGAGGAAAUAAAAACAUUCAAAAAAAGCAUGCAAUUACACACAUAAAGUCACAUAGGAGCACGUAGGAUCAAACAAAAUCAAAAUAAAGGAGUAGAGUGUAUCUCCCUUGAAUUGAUGACCUAAUGAAAUGAAAUUUUCUUAUAUACCCUCCAAAACAAAGAAAAAGGUCAAGGCAUAACUUUAAUUAACAAAUAAUCACAAGAAGUGGAAAUAAACACGAAAUUGAAUCAAUCAAAGCAUUCCAAGGAAAGUAAACUACUCAUAUUUAACAAAUUAAGACAAACAAAGACCCAAUUGGAAGGAUUAAAGAAAUUUAAGGGGUCAAAUUAUUAUUAUUACAAAUAUUAAGGAUCUAAGUGAAAAUAAUAGAAUUAAGGCUUGAGAUGAAUCCUAUCAAAACUAAAUGCUAAAAUUCACCAAAAAAUGAACGAAAACCCAUUUGCUAUAGUCAAACAACAAAAUUACCCAAAAUUCUACUAAAAUUCAAAUCAAGACUAUAAAUCUAUCAAAAAUCAUUAAACCAUCAAAGUUCAUUCUAAAAUUUACUAAAAACUAUCCAAAAACCACAUUAAAUCAUAUCAAAGAAAAUUAACAUUUUUAAAGGGAUAAAAUUGAUUAAUUUUCCAAUUUUCUGGACUGUUAGACCCGAUGACAACCUCUGUCCUAGGCGACCACACAAUGGAGCAAUUGAUGAGAAAGCACAAGUGCUUGUGAGUAGAAGAGAUAAACAAUUUAAAGAUCACAAAUGUAACAAUAAGUAAAGAUCACAAAUGUAGCAGAAAGGUGACAAUUUUUUUCGCUUCUUUCACGGCUCCUUUUUUUUUCCUUUUCUUGAAGCUUUUUUUCUUUCUUUUUUUUUUCCUUUUUUGUGUGAUUUGUGAGAAAGGAAGAGAGAGAGCCUAGAGUUAGGUGAGUUUUGUGUGUGUUAGUGUAUGUAGAGUGAAUAGAGAGAGUUUGUCUAUGUAUGCUAAUGGUAUGUGUUGUGUCUUUUUGAAAGAAAAGAAAGAGAUCGAGAGCGAGAAAGGAAUUGGUGGAGUGGGUGUAUGUAGUUGUUGUGUGAUGAUGAAUUUUGUACAAAAUAGAGAAAAAAGAGGGAUGAUAGGUGGAAUGUAAUGUUACGCUAAUAGUAUAUUGGUUGAAAGAGAAAUGAUUAGGGUGUGUAAGUUUUGUUAUGAAUUUUCUUUUCUUUCUUUUUUCUUUUUUUCUAAAAUUACUCAAAAAAAGAAAAAUCACGUUAGCAUAUAUGAAAAUAAUCAAUAAGCAAAUAAAUAUCUUAGCAAAAAAAUUGAGCAACAACAAAAAUUAAGAAUUUGAUGUCCACAACAUUCGUCAGCGGACAUUUGAUGACAUGACAGCAAGAGCCACUCAUCGAUAUGCAUAAAGAGUUCAGAGACUAUUUUGCUUGGGACUACAGUGAAAUGCUCGGACUGGAUUGUAGCCUGGUAGAGCAUAAGAUCCCUCUAAAAUUAGGGUAUCGGCCUUAUAAGCAACCCAAACAAAUUCGCUGAAGACAUAGUAUUGAAAGUCAAAGAAGAAAUCAAAUGGCUGCUCCUCGCCAAUUUUAUCGAAGUUUUAUCUACACAGAAUAGUUGUCCAACAUGAUGCCUGUUAUAAAGAAGAAUGGCAAAACUAGGGUAUGUAUCAACUUCAGGAAUUUUAACCUAGCAUUGCUAAGUGAUGAAUAUCUAAUGCCAAUUGCCGAUCUUCUCAUCGGUGCAUCGGUUGGUAACAAGAUGAUGACUUUUAUUGAUGGCAAUAUGGGUGCAACCAAAUAUAUAUAGCGAAAGAAGAUGUCCCUAAAAUGGUCGGGGUUUAUCAGUGGAAUGUGAUGCCAUUCGUCUCAAGAAUGUAGGGACAACAUAUCAGCGAGUCAUGAAUUAUAUGUUCUAUGACUACAUUGGUGAGUUUAUAGAAGUAGACAUAGAUAACAUAGUGAUCAAAUCGCAUAGUCUUGAGGAACACCUCGGGCACUUGCAAAGAUCCUUCGAACAAAUGCGGUGCCAUCAACUAAAGCUUAAUCCAUUAAAGUGCGUGUUUGAAGUACCAACAGGGAACUUCUUAGGGUUCUUUGUGCACAAGAAAGGAAUCAAAAUCGAUGAAAACAAAGCUAAAGCCAAUGUCGAGGCAUGGCUACCAAGAAGCAAAAAGGAGUUGCAACAAUUCAUGGGAAAGGUCAACUUCCUAGGAAAGUUUAUCUCUAAUUUGGUUGGCAAAGUCAAAGCAUUCUCCUGAUUUUUUUUGUCAAUCGUCAUCCCUAUUCCUACUCUUACUCUAUCUUACUCUAAUUACGAGGAGACUCAACUGGGCCUAUGAGAGACUGAUGGGGACAGAGCCACCACUGGACCAGACGGGUGCACCAAACACUCAUAUGGAUUUUUUGAAGAACACAAUUGUGGCAAAUUGGUGAGAGGCAAGGUUCGAACCCUUGCCUCCCACCCCACCAAAGCCUUCAACGCUUGGUGGUGGCCACCAGCCUAAGGCUGAUGGUUAAAGCAUUCUCCUAAUUGCUGAAAUUGAAGCAGUAUGAUGAACAUGUGUGGGGACUUGAACACAAAGCAGCAUUUGACUCUACCAACAAUAGUUGAUUAACCCACUCAUGAUGGCACCACUAGAUAGGGCCAAGUCUCUAAAGCUGUAUUUAUCAGCCACCAAAGAUACUAUUGGUUGUUUUCUGGCCCAAGAUGACCCAACAGGGAAGGAAAGAAUUGUGUACUAUUUAAUGUAAAUGUUAAUGCCAAUUACACACAAAUAUUGGCCUAUCAAGAAACUUUGUUUGGCUUUGUAUUAUGCUUCCCGCAAACUGAGACAUUACAUGCUUCCCGUAUUGGCGUAUGUAAUUUCUAAAGUCAAUCUAGUUAAAUAUAUGAUUUAUCAGCCCAUGUAAAGUGGUCGAUUAGGAAAGUGGACAUUGUAUUUGAUGGAGUAUCUAUUCCAACAUACACCCAAACUGCAGUAAAAGGUUUGAAAAAUCAUACCCAUAAAUGAGGCCCUCGUAAUUGGAUUAGAGAUACUAUCAAAGUUGAAUGCCGAUAACUUGGAGAUCUACGGAGAUUUGAUGUUGAUUAUUGGGUAGGUUACUGGCAAAUUCCAAUGUCGAAAUCCUAUCAUGGCUCAUAUGUGAGUGCGACUCGCAAAUUAAUUUAAGAAUUUGAGAGCGAAGACUUUCAUCAUGUUCGAAGAAGAAGCAAAUCAAGAGGCUAACGGAUUAGCCCAGCUAGCUUCAAGAGUCUCAAUGGCCAUGGGCCAAGGCAUGAUCGAUUUUUGGAUUCUCAAAAAGCAAUACCAGCAUAUCAGGAUAGAAUAGUUGCAAUCGAUAUCAAUGAAGUGACCAUCGAUGGCUCAGUAGAUCUCAGAGAUUGGAGAAACUCGAUUAUUGAAUACUUGAACGACCCGUCUCAUCAGUCCCCAGGAAUAUAUGGAUGAAGGCAGUGCAUUAUCAGCUAUUAUAUGGAUGUUUGUAUAAGAAGGAUCAGUCGAAAUUGUACCUGAAGUGCUUGGGGAAGUCUGAAGCAUACUUAACGAUGCUAGAAGUCCACGAAGGCAUAUGCAGAGGGCAUCAAAGUGGAAGGAAGAUGAUGAAGACACUAAGUAGGCAUGGAUUCUAUUGGCUAACAAUGAUGAAAGACUGCAUAGAGUUCGCAAAAGGUUCUUUAAAAGCCAAAUACACAUGCCAAUCCAGAGAGCCCCUACUAGAGACAUGGAGAUCAUAAUGAAACCUUGGCCAUUCCGAUGUUGGGGGAUUGAUAUGAUCGGUAAAAUAAUGCCUUCUUCUUCUAAAUAGCAUUCAUACAUUAUUAUGGCAAUGAAUUAUUUUAUGAAAUAGGUGGAGGCUGUACCACCAAAGAAAGCGACUAAAGAUCGGUAAUAAAUUUUGUUAAGGAAAACUUCAUAGCUUCGAGAUUCCAAAAUUGAUAGUCAUCGAUCAAGCCUUGCAUUUCUCAAGUGGGGAGUUUAAGAGUUUUGCAGAGAGUUACAAGUUUUGGAUUAUCCAUUUGUUGCCAACAAACUGAAUCCAUGAAUAAAGUACUUAAGAACAUUAUUUGCAAAAUGGUCAUUGAAAACUCCAAGAGAUGGCACAAACACCUAUCCGAAACACUGUAGGCAUAUUGAAUGUCUUUUAAGACGAGUAUCGGUGCAACCCAUUUACGUUGGUGUAUGACUAAAAUGCAGUCAUCCCAUCAAAAGUUGUAAUAGGGGCCUCAAGGCUAGCCAACAACACGGUCUACUAACCCGACGAACAUCACUAUGUGAUGCUAUUGGAAUUGGUAAGCUUGGAUGAGAAUAGAUUGUCGGCUUUUGACUACAUUGAAGCAACAAAAGAAGGGUUGCUGCUCUGUGUAAUAAGAAUGUUCAACACAAGAUUUUCAAGUAGGCGAACAAGUAAUGAAAGUGAUCCUUUCCAUCGGUCAAAAGGAAGAUCGAUAUGAAAAAUGGAGUCCAAAUUGGGAAGGUCCUUAAUCAUACAUAAGGUACUGGUUAAAUGGGCAUAUAGGUUGUCGGAUUAGGAUGGUCGAGUACACCUAACUCUAUCAACAGGGCUUAUCAAUAGAGUCCAAAUUGGGAAGGGCCUUAAAUUAUACAUAAGGUACUGGCUAAAGGGGCUUAUAGGUUGUCGGAUUUGGAUGACCGAGUACACCUUAUGCCUAUCAAGGGCAUGUUGAAAUCUUUUCAUUCAUCUACAUGGGAUAAGAUGUCAGUAAGUAAAAGACAAGCCAUUUAUUGCAAGGAUAGGGAUGGAUAUCGAGAUGGAUUAAUCGGCAAGAGCUGAUAGCCGAAUUAGUAGGCUGUACAAAUACAAAAAUAUGGACACAAACUAAUAAGUAAAAGCAUCUAGAUCAAACUGGUUGCACAUUGGUAAAGUUAUUACAAGACAUGAAAUUGUUUGAAGGUUGAAACAAAUUGGCUACCAUUACUUUAAAAGCAAGACAAGAAAAAUAUAGGAUUGAUCAGGCCAAAGGAAACCUUUGGAUGUUUCAAGGGAGAACUGUAGGGAGGAGGAAUCAUCUCUGACUUUGCUAUAGCUUGUCAGUGGAUUGGGAUCAGUUGAAUUGCCAUGCGAUUUCUUUGGAAGUGCUUAGUUUAAUAGCCCGACUAAUUUUGACAAUAGGAGCGGAUUUCAACAUCGGCAAGAUGGAUUAUAGGAUUGGCUUGAGAUUCAAAGGCAUUUUCCAAAGAGCCUUAUCAAUACUAGCAUUUUCUGUUUCAAAUCCAUGGAAUCAACUAGGGUGUUAAGGUCCUUCAGUUCUUCAAGGACCUUCUAAGAAAUGGCAAGGCAUGUCUAUUAGCAGCCUGUUCACUUGAUCUGCACAGAAUAUCCUUUAGAACCUUACGAGCGGCAGCUUUCAUCAGGAAGGUUUCUCAAAUGCUCAUUAGUCGUUUGGAGUCCUACAACUGACUGAUUGCAUUCCUUAGCCUUGCUAUCCUUGUCAGUUAUGUAUUUUUUGAAGUCCUAGAAGUCCGUCUGAAUUUGAGACAAGGCAUCUAUUCAGUGAGAGAGACCAGCAAGGAAGUGUUAGAUAUUUUCCUUCAUUGCAAGGGUGGGCUCAGGAUGGUUAGCUUGGAGGAGUGAUUCCAAUAAUGAUUUACAGUGAUCGGCUUGAAAGUCAAAGAGUUGAUCAAAAAUGCCUACCAAGAUGGUACUAAGGACAUGCUUGUUGCCGUCUACAUCAACCGAUCCUGGGAAAGGCGUCGAGGUGGAAGCUGAACUAGCAAUCAAGACUACUUUCAGAAUUCAACUCACAAGCAUAUCAACAGUUUCUGUUGUCGACGAAGGGGUUCCACUCCUAAGCACCUAAAAAUUAGGAAUCAGUCAAUCAAAAGCAUGUAGCAAAAAAAGGUAAUUGAUGAAUCUUACCUUUUUAGUAGUUUACUCCCAAGGGUCAUAGGAUGGGCUACAAUAGCAGGAGAUUCCUAGGGUUAAAGGAAUCCACAGUUGUGACAUUUAGUGGCGAGCUGGUGGCUUGAGAGCAAGAAGCCGAUUUCUUGGAAGUUCUAGUUUUCAAAGUUUCAACUUUAGCAACUUUGGAUUGACUCCUCUUUUGUUUAUGUUUCUUGGCUUACUGAUGAAGUGAAGCUUGAGUUUUUACACCUAGAGAGGCAAUGGCAUCUUUUUUAAGUUUCCUUUUGGGAACUUUUGAAGGUUGUUCCUAGAACUCAGCAGCUCUAUCAUCACUCGAACCGAUCUCCUCUAAGGAAACUGCAGCUAUUGUUUCUGCAGAAGGAUACAGUAAGUCAAUAUUUAGUAUAUUAAUAAGAACUAAAAUCAAUGGCCUCAUACAAGGACUUGGAAUGCCAUUAACAACCUUAACGACCCCUAGUAAAAGCGUCGAUCACAAGAGUAGUGGAGUAAGGGAUCCUAGUUACCAGAUCCGUUUGUAAGAUUGAAGGAACAUAGGGAUUAGCAAUGGCAAAAUCGACUGAAGGGAUUAGAGGAUACUGACAAGAGUGUGGUGGGUCGAAGGUUUCGAAAAAGGUGUUUGGAGAUUAUUAAAUUCAUACAGGUUAAAAUAUUAUCAAAGGUACCUAUCAUGCCGAUUCUCUUCUUUUUGGGUGUUGAUUUUAGCAAUGUUUUCAAACCCGGACCGGACCGGCCGGUUCGACCGCGACCCAGCCAUGUGUUCGGUCCGGUUCAUAGCCAAUGUUGACUUGGUCCAAGAACCGGUCAACCCCGUAAAAAUCGUUUAAAUCGGAAUGAACCGUGAACAGCGGUUUUUUAAUUUUUGGCAAAAUUGACUAAAUUUUGACCGAAUUAUCUAAACCUAAUCUCCGGUUCACUCUUCAAUCUUCACUCAGUCUUCUUCUUCGUUAUGCCGCUUCGCCGCUUCACCGCUUCGGUCUUCCCCACUUCCCCUACAAUUGCCAAAAUUGCCUGCCAUCCCUAAUCCCUUAUCCAAACUCCAAUCUUUGAUCCAGUGCUAUUUCCACACUUUCUCAUCGAUCAAUACCCAAUUUCUUCCCGUUAGAUUUUCCUCUAGGAAUUUGGGCGAUAACCAGUUCACUGACCUACCUCACUGUCAAAGAAGAACGGCUUAAAUUUAGUGUAAGCUUGCUCAAACUUUAAUCUCAUCCUUAUUUUGGUUCCAUUAUAUAGAGUUUUCUGUUAGAUGGAUAAACUGCUUGGUUAUAAAAGUUUAGAAACUUUUAGAGGUAAGUUUAGAGGUAAGCAACUUACCUCUGGAUUGCUGCUUGUCACUAGUAAGUUUAGAAAUCUUGCAUUUCUUUACAUGAUUUUUUUUUUUGGUUUUUAGUCUUAAUUUAAAAAAAAUUUGUGGGGUUUUGAGUCCUUGGUGGUGUUUAAUGAAUUGCCGUAAAAAAAAUUUGAAAGUAAUUUUAAUUGUUUCCUUUGUGUUAAAAUUUCAAGUUUCUUGUUGAUGAUAUAAUGCAGCGAUUGAGUUGUAAACUUGUGGGAUUCUGUGGAAAUAAUUGCAUCUCUAAUUUGAUGCCUUUUCUAAGGUCAAAUGGUUUUUGAUAAGCAAUUUGAUGGUUGUCUGAUGAGUAUUAGGUUACAUUAUAUGGAAUUCGUAUGGUUAAAUUUGGGUAGUUGUAGCAUAUCUUCUUAGGUCCAACAGCUACUGAUUGGCUUAGAAUGGAGGUGCUACUGACAAAUGUUGGAAGGAUGAAGAUAAAACAAUGGUUUUAACUUAAUUAAUGUAAAUGAGAUUUUACUUAACCUAAUGUAGAUGAGUCUGUUUUGUCUUAUGUUGGACGUGAGUUGAGUAUAUGGUUUCAAAGGGCUUCCAUAUUGACGUGCUAAUCCAAAGUAGCAGAUUUUUAACUCACCACAAUUAUUUAAAAGUAUAUUUGAUGUCUUUAAAUCUCUGUGCAAAACCCAGUUAUCGUGAAGAUACUUAACACCCUCAAGAAAUGCACAAGGCUUAGGGAAAUAACUUCACUCGUGCUAAAUGGUUGUUUCAUUGUCUCCAUUAACCCCUUUAGACCUUUUGGUGACAGUUUCAGUUCCCAAAUACAAAUAGUCUUAAGCAUCGUACAUCACUAGGUGUAUAUUUUAGUUUUGGCAAUUAUUACAAGACUAGGAUUAUAUUUUGCUAAGGUGUAUACCAGGUUCGUGUGUAUUAAUUAUUUGUUUAAGACUAAUUAUUUUUAAAUAUCUCAUUUUAGGAUGGACACCGGUAGCGGUAGUAACUCACAAUGUUCACUGAGGGGAGCAUUUAAUAGUGAGGAAUCUGCAAGUCAACCCCAAGGUCAUAGGCAGAAGACGGAUAUAGCAUGGGGAUAUGUUUCUCAUGGCAGAAAUGCACAAGGAAGAAAAACCAUGACAUGCACUUAUUGUUUUAAAGUAUUUCAUGGGGGUGGCAUCCACCGAAUGAAGCAACACUUAGCAGGAGUAACGGCAGUAUUACUUCAUGUGCACAUGUUGAUCCAGCAGUGAGGCUUGCAUUAUUAACAUCUUUGCAAGAGAAUGAUAAAAAAUCUAAAGAAAAAAGAGGAGAUUUUGGGGUCGAAAAUCCUUUUGGUCAACCAGUGCACAAAUUUGUUGGUGAUGAAGUGCAAGAGGUUCCACCUCCUCGAGUAAGGGAUAUUUCAAUGAAUGAGGCUGGUACAUCAUUAGGUAAAGGAAAGAGAAAAAUCACUGCGCCUACAGGUAUUCGUGCUUUCGUUAAGGGUAGACGUGAUAGUUCUCAACCUACUAUCAAAACUUGUUUGUAAAGUAAGGAUAAAUGGCAAAAUACUGAUAUAGCCAUUGCUCUUUGGUUCUAUGAUGCAUGUAUUCCCAUUAAUGCUGUUAAUUCUCCAUUUUUUCAAAAAGCUAUCGAUCAAAUAGCAUCAAUGGGUCAUGGUUAUAAAGCUUCAUCUUAUCAUUCUUUGCAAGUCACUUUGUUGCGAGAUGCUAAGAAAGAUGUGCAGUUAGUUGUUGAUUCAUUUCGAAAUACUUGGGCUAAAACUGGAUACACUAUAAUGGGUGAUGGAUGGAAAGAUAGUAGAUAAAGACCAUUGAUUAAUUUUCUGGUUUAUUGUCCUAAGGGUAUAUCUUUUAAGUCUAUAGAUGCAUCGGACAUUGUGACAAAUGCAGAAAAUUAGUGCAAUCUGUUUGUUGAAAUUGUUGAAAUGGUUGGUUCCAAAAAUGUGGUGCAUUUAGUCACUGAUAAUGCUAGCAAUUAUAAGGCUGCUGGAACUUUAUUAAAUGAAAGAUAUCCAACUAUUUGCUGGUCUCCAUGUGCUGCCCAUUGUAUCAAUUUGAUUUUGAAGGAUAUUGGUGAAAUGGGUACUGUUAAAUCUCUAGUGUCUCUUGCUUCUACAAUAACUGUUUUUGUGUAUAAUCAUAAAUAUGUUCUAAAUUGGUUCAGAAAAACUAAUGGGUGGAAGGAGAUUAUUCGUCCGGGGAAACUCGAUUUGCCACCACUUUUAUUGCACUAAAGAGCUUACAUGAUCACAAAGACAGCUUACAAGCUUUAGUCACUAGUGGAGAUUACAAAAAUUUCUUGAAAAUGAACAAAGGAAAAGAGGUCAAACAAAUUGUUUUGGAUGAUAGAUUUUGGAAUAAUUGUUUGAUUACAGUGAGAAUAAUGGGUCCUAUUAUUCGGUUGUUGAGAGUUUGUGACACUGAUGAAAGGCCUUCUUUGGGGUAUGUGUAUGAAGGUAUGUUUAGAGCAAUUACUAGAAUCAAGAAGUUGUUCAGGAAUAAUGAAAGGCUAUAUAAGCCUUACAUUGAUAUCAUCAAUGACCGAUGGGAUAGGAUGUUGAGGAAAAAUUUGCAUGCUACAGCAUAUUUUUUAAAUCCCGCUUUUCAAUAUGACACUGCCACAUUCUCUACACAUCCAGAAAUUACAAAUGGUUUGUUGGAUUACAUAGAAUCAAAGGUGGAUUGGUGAAGUGAGGAAAAUUUAACAAAAGAAAUUGGAAUGUAUCGAGAGCGGGAGGGAAGUUUUGGCAGAAAACUUGCUAUUCUUACUAGCAAGAAAGAUAGACCAGGUAAUUUAUAUUUUUCUAGCAUUUAAAUCUUUCUAAUAUAUAUAUCUAAUUUAUAAAUAUUUUUUUAUAUUUAAAUUUUGAAUAUGACAGAGAAUUGGUGGAAACUCUUUGGUUGUGAUGCUCCCAACUUACAAAAACUUGCAAUUCGGGUUUUGAGUCAAACAGCUUCUUCUUCAGGAUGUGAGCGUAAUUGGAGUGUUUUUGAACGUAUUCAUACUAAGAAAAGGAAUAGGUUGGAGCAUCAAAGGCUCAAUGAUCUUGUAUAUGUGCAUUACAAUUUGCGUUUGCAGUAUAGGUAUAUGUAAAUGGUUUAUUUUUAUAAAUGACAUUUCAUUCUUUUUAAGAAAAUAUUUUAGUACUAACUAAGUGUAUAUGUUGUAUAUAUACAUAUAUAUAUAGGCAUAAUCAGCAAAAGAGAUCGUAUGAUCCCGUUGAUUAUGAGUCAAUUGAUAAAACAGAAUUUUGGGUGGUUGAAGAAGAACAAGAAGGGGAGCUUGAUUAUGAGGAGUUAGAGGAAGAGCUUGAAGAACCUCCAAUUCAUGGUCAAUGUUCAAAUUCUGAACAACUUGAAGGUUAGUCUGACAUAAAUCAUUAGUUUGAUGCAAAAAUAAAGCUAGUAUGAUAUGAUAUUCAAUUGUUGAAUAUGUAUAUAAUUAAAUAUGCUGAUUUUUUAGAUGAUGAAGAUGAAGCAGAAGAUGUUGAUUUAGAAACAUUUCAGCGUCGAAACUUUUUUAAUGAUGAAGAUGAUGAUUGGCAUUAAAUAUUCAAAUGGUAAUUGGUAUAGAAUUAUUUGUACUCUUUUAUUUUUAUUUUUAAGAUUUGUAUCAGUUGGUGUGAUGAAACUAAUAUGAUUUUAUACUUUUAUCACUUGUCAGUGAUUCAUAUAAUGGUCUUGGAUGAUGAUGAUGACUUGUCAAGAUGGCUUUUUUUGAAGCUUUGUUGUCCAGAAUUAUGAAGAAGAUUAUAGAAGCCAAAAUUGGACUCGUUUGGACCUUUUGAUUGUUUUCUAGACUUGUAUUGUUUUUUGUUAAUUUAAUAUUUAGACAAUUGGACAUGUAAGUUUGAUAACUAUGUUAAUUGUGUGUGUUAAUUGUUGGAUAUUGCUCUUAUAUUUAUUGUGGUUCAGCAUUUAUAUCUUAUUCUGUGCAUAGGUGUGUGUGUCUAUAUAUAUUAAUAUAUUUAUUUAUUUAUUUAUUGAACCGAGUUGAACCGGUCCGACCGGUUGAACGUCGACCCUUUCACCUCACCGGUUCGAUUGACGGUCCGGGUUUUAAAACAUUGGAUUUUAGUUAUCUCUCUAAGGAUCCCUAAACCCAUACACAAACCGGGUCCCUCACCAUAGAAUUCCCCCCCUGCUCACAGACAGACUCAGAGAACCUUGGAAAUUCAUUCUGAUUGCAAAACCUCUAGGAUGAAGCACUGGUUUCAAAUACUUCGACCUUAAAAUUCGUCAAAUCUGGAAACCUAUUGGCGAAAUAGCAAUCCUAGAUCUGGGUAGGGAUUUCUUUGCAAUUAGAUUCAAAAACCCAGAAGAUCACCUAAGAAUCUUAACGGGCGUCCAUGGUUUAUCAAUAAAUCUCUUAUUUCUAUUCGCAACUGGUGUCCAUAUUUUAAUGCCUUCGAAGCGAAAGCAUCCACAACAGCUGUUUGGAUCAGACUACCAGGACUCCCCCUAGAAUUUUAUGAUCAAGAAGCACUCUCUCUCAUUGGGAAUAGAAUCGGGAAGCUCAUCAGCAUUGAUGCAAGGACGGCCAAUACAAAACGAGGAAGAUUCGCUAGGUUGUGCAUCGAAUUAGACAUAACACGUCCACUGCCAACCUCAAUCCAACUAGAUGGACAUCAUCAACUAAUGGCAGUAGAAGCUAUGACCUUCUAUCCAAAUUGUGGUAUGUUGGGACACGACCAACCUUACUGCCCUAAACCCACCUCCGAUGAACAAAUGGAAGCACAGCCAGGAGGAGAGACGUGGAGACGUGUUCAGGCAUUCACCGGCCAACCGUUCUCUAUGUCAGGAAAGCGACCUCUCCUUCGUAAGCCCAAUGGUCAGCAAAUUUCAAUUUCAAAGUCAAUUCCAGACCAUCCCGAACCAUAAGGCUUCAUGGCCCAGGUGUUGGUCAACUCAAAGCCCAACCCUCUAACCGGGUCCCUAUAGCCAUUGGCACAGAUAUCCCAAUUAGUAAUAAUUUUGACCUGCUAUCUGAUGUUGACUCUGUGCUUCCUAACUGCGCCAAAAUUGCUGAGCCUCUCAGACCUGCCACUGAACAUCAGUCCCAAAAUCCCCUUCCUAGUGCUCUUUCUCUUACAUCAAAACUUCUUAGCAAACAGUCGGGAGAAACUUUGCCUGCAUAUGGAAAUUUCAAAUUCCAACCUCCCUCACCUCCUAAAUCCAAAAAUGACCCGCCGAAAGCCAGUUUCGAUUACCUACCUUCGAAAGACAGGCAUAGCCCUCCCGCUAACAGCUACUUAUCCAAAACCAGAGAAGUUCCUCCACCCACCCCAACCUCAGAAAAAUCCUACGCUACUCUCACCAAAAUCUUCCCAGCUCAGUAUGAAUCGCCAACAAGCCUCAUCUGUGACGACUCCACCUCCCCAUAAGGCGUACCAAAGGGUUCGACGGACUGCCUGCCCAACUCUCGCCAGGACUCACUCACUCGUUCGUAUCACGUGCAUACAUCCAUGCACAAUCAAGAUACAAAGCCUCAAUAUACCCAAACUGGUUUAAAGUGUAUACAAUCCAAAUACAAAAUAUUUUAUUCGAGGGAUAAUGCGAGUACAAGUCAAAAGUCAAAACAACUAGACUACGCUAGUCUUUACACGUCUCAUGCCUCGCUCGUACCCCCUGUAAGGAAAACAAACUAAUGGAGUGAGCCAAAUCCCAGUGAAGUUUCAAAUAUCAAAUUGACCAUUUUAAAGGGUACGCAUAUCAACGUAGCAAGUUAAUGGCAUCAAAAGUUCAUAAGAGUGAAUAAUAAUUCUUCAAGUAGAAAAUCUCAAAGUAAGCGAGUGUAAAAGUUUUUCAGAAGAAUCAAUAAUCCAAUAAGCAAUAAUCAUUCCAAAGUAUAAGGAUACGGAGGGCUCUCAGGAGCCAAAUUCCCAUUGUAUCACCAGGAGCUUGAUCACGUAAUAGUUGACACUCCGUCAACUUUCAAGUAAAUAACCAAUCCAGUAGAGCACCACUUACACUACUCUCCGUCCACCAUUCACACCCCCUACUGGGCCCAAAAUCCUCAAUAAACACGGUGGUAAUACUCGAGUAUACUGAUUAGUCGAGGAGAUAUCACUCUACUCGACAAAACAAGAGACCCAGGGUUUGUUACCCAAUCGACCAAGCCCUUGCCGACUCGACUUGAGUAACUCGCCACAGGGUUUCUGGAAUUCUAGGAGGUGCGCACAUCAUAGACAAGUAUAUCAAAUCAAUUGCAAUAAUAAACAAGUAUAUCUCAUAUUAGGGCAAGUGCGAUAAAGUACACUCUCGCCCUAACAAUUCACGUAUAUAACAGGUAAUCACAUUGGUCACGUAUCAAAUACAAGUAUCAAAUUCAAUUCGGUAUUUGAAAACACUCACCAAAAGAUAUAGUGCCUUUACUGGUCACUUUCAGGUUGUACUCCUGGUUUUGAGUCCAAAUCUGCGAUAAAACUCAGUUUAAGAACUUUGAAACAUGGCUAAGAUUCCAAACUUAGACGUUUCGUUCAAUAAGAAUCAAGAAAUGGGAAUUCACUUGGAGAAUAUUUGUGAAACACUCGCUCGCUUUUCAAACUAUAUAACUUUGUAACAUUUAUACUUGAAAAUACCAUUUGAGUCGAAAAUACAAGGAAAACAUACUCCGAGCAGUCAUUAUUUUAUUUCUCAAGGGUACAAGUUCGGCCAAGUCCUUACUUAUAUAUCUCGAUAAAAGAAGAUGCAAAUAUCCUAGAUGGUUCAAGUGGUAAUCGCUCUUAACCCUUACUCAAGUUGCAAGUAUGGCUACCUAGCCCUUGAGCGUAAAUUUAGGCAGCACGCCCUUUAUAUUUUCCUAUUUUCUAGCCAUUUAUGGCUUCAUUUUUUCUCAAUCAAACCCAAAGUUACACACAAGACAAUCUCAUUUCAAUAGCCGUUCAAUAGGCUCAAGGUAAUACAAGUACAAAAUCAAGCUAACGACAUGUGGAAAUGAGGUUUAGCAAAAGACAAAUUUGACAUGAUUUUACAUAACGGGCACAACCGAAUCUACGCUUAUCGGAUUGGGAUGAAAUUUAUGCCGUUUCGAAACUAAGACAAAGGGCUACAAUUUUUAUGAAAAUUACUUAGUCCAAAUUCCAGGGUAACCCAGUCAAAUUCCCAAUUCACAGAACCAAAUUCCAACUAAUAGACCAGUUAACUGCACUACCUUCAAAUGGCCAUAUCUCAAGCUACCAAAGUCCGUUUAAGAUGUUCUUGGAGGCGUUGAAAAGCUAAGACAAAUUACUAAACUUUCAUGUUUUGGAAAAUGGCUAAAUCAGCACGGAUCAUAGUGAAUAAACACGGUCAAUUGGAUGAACGUUUUAAACUGAUCACUGGAUACAUCCUAGGGCAGUGAGGGUAUUUUGGUCUUUCACAGGCUACGUUGCUCAAUUGAGUUGAAAUUUGUAGAAAACUAUAAACAUCAUUGUAUAAAACUUUCAUGUUUUAUGCGCUUAAUUCAGCCUCUAACAUCACGAACUGGAACCGGACAGAACUAAACUACAGUUUUCCAGAAAUCUGAAAUUUUACGGUUUCAAAGGAAACUUUCUUCAUUUCUUGCUUCAAUCACUAUCAACCUCUUAUAUAAGUUUAGAUACAACAUAUCUAUCCAUACAGCAAGUAUAGGUAGAAUCAUUCAAACCCUAACUCAUGUAACUCAGACAUACACUAUAAUAGCUAUCAUCCACCACAAAUGUAAGGUGCUAUGCAAAUUAAGCAAGAUUAAGAGUAAGAAAUGGUAAAUCAGCAAUUAUUACUUAAAGUUACUUCCAAGAGUAGCCCUAGCUUUUCCUUCCAACUUUAACCAACACACACUAGCUAAACACUCGAAGAAAGUUUUAAUCGGAUUAGUUUCUUGUUUCCUCACCUAAGUGACUCAAACUCAAGAUGGAUUGGUGUAUCUCUCCCUUGGUUUUCUCUCCCUCUCUCUCGGCCAAAGAAAGCAGAAAAUGAUGAAGAAAGGAAGCUAAAUGGUGAUAAGAAGGCAAGACAAUUUGGUCUUGGUCAAGGCCCUAGAUGGCCAACAAGUGGCAUUACCAAUUUCCACUCAUUUUUUUUUCUUUCCUUGCAAAUUUGGUCAACAUUUUCGGCCAAAGCUAGCUGAGAAUGAGAGGAUAUUUUGCACAAAUAUUAAUGAGCUUAUAUGGUAAGAAAGUGGUGUGUUCAAUCGGUAGUGCACGGUACACGUCGGUUCGCACCGUUUUUUUCUUAAAUCACACGUACUAGGGUUUUUACUUCCUAUUCACUAAUUUAUUAUUAUCACUUCUAAUCAUAUAAUAUUUCCUCAUCCAAAAGUCACUCUUACCCACCAAAUUUGAUCCUCACUCCGUACCGAAUAGCCACACUACGAAAAAACGUGAAAACCCUAAUUCGCUCUAACUUGAAAACGGACAACGAAAACCCUUACUUCUAUAUUCAUUUACAUUUAUUGUGGGGUGAUUGGGUGGUAGGGCUAUUAUAAAAUCAUAAGUUCCAAAUAAAAUGGGAUUUUUAAGAAAAACGUAAGGGGUUUUACAAUUCCAUAAAUUGAAUUUAGGGUUUCGGUUAAAAUAUGAGAAAUUUGAGAAAACGGUCAGUCACAAGUGAAACUAGGGUUUUGAUUAGACUUUUAGGGUUUCUAAUCUUUUCAAAUAAAACAAGAUUUUAAAUCGAACCCAAAGAAAUAACUUUAGUUUCUUCUUUAAAACAAAAUAAUGGUUUAGAAUAAAAAUAAACUAAAGAAACCGUAAUAUCCUCUUUGAGACUAAACAAAAGAUGAUCCUAAAAGUUGGGGUAUCACAUCAUCAAUGUUCCGGAGGACGAGAACCAACCCGAGAAACUCCCACCCCUUGUACCAAACUCACCAAGUUUGGAACCUCUACUCCCAUCACAGAUCGGAAGAAAACUCCCAAGCACCACAACUCAACCACAUGUUCAGGGAAGAGGAGUGGGUACUGAUAUGCUCCCACAGAGUGGUAGACCUACUCCUAUUCGUGAACCCACAUCUCUCCUUGGAAGAGAUCCGUCAAAUCUAGGACCAAUACAGUUUGGGAAGAAUACAGAUUUGGGCAACUCAGACCAGGAUAGAUUUUAUCACAAACCUGGACCCAGAAGACCAGCUGACAUCAAGGAACAGGGAGGUGAGGAGAAUCAGAGCAGGGAGACUUGCAUACGAACAACACCACCAAAGGCCAAACCGCUCUCACAACCGGUCACAACAGUCCGGCCAGGAAGGGAGUACCCGGAACCAAGGAGACACCCAAACCGCCACUAUCGUUGGACCCCUUCAUGGAGGAGGACUCAAAAUCGUCCAGCGACAGCUCAGGGGACUUCUCAGAGGACAGAUGCCCGGGAACUCACGGGCUCAAACCCCGUUCGAGAACUCGAAACAAUGCCACAACUAAACGUCUGGCAAGAAGUACUCUCCAUAUCUCCACUUUCAGUCACUGCCAGAGACUCUCAAAGCUCUGUCACAAUUAUCACGUCGAUAAAAAGAAAUAUUAGCCAUAAAAAUAUUCAUGACGGCCAUCGAACUGCUAGGCGUAGACUCCAGAGACCACUACUUAACACUACACCCAAGAUUCAGUCGAGAAUUUCACUUUCCCGACAAUAUCUACGACGGAAAUCCCAGCUCUCAAGUGAGGCCUCAGAGCCCACCAGAGCCGAUGAUGCCCAACCCAUUUCCUGACUCUAUGAAGAUCUUAUUCUGGAAUGUCAAGGGUACCGGACACCCGGGUUUCAAAAUCACUUCCUUCAACUACUCCAGCUUCAUAAUCCCGCCAUUGCUAUACUAGUAGAAACUAAACUUCACGGAGACUGAGCACGCGAAAUCUGUAGUCAACUCCCGUUUGACAAUUUCUCAGUGGUUGACUCUUCCGGGUUCAAAAAUAGAAUGUGGCUACUGUGGAACAAGGCAGAAGUUCACAUAGAUCCUAUCUCCAACCUAUCGCAGGUCAUCCACACUUCAAUCCAGGUAACCCCCUACUCACCCCCUCGGUUUCUUUAUGGAAUUUAUGCUAGUCCACGAUUUCAGGAAAGACUACAAUUAUGGAAUAUUUUGUGUUUCUCUAAUAAGCCUAAUCUCCCUUGUGUUUGGAUGGGGGACUUUAAUGAGAUUUUAAUGAAUUCGGACAAGAAAGGGGGAAACCCGAUUAGUCUAAAUAGAGCCAGUUUUUUCAAAGAGUAUUUGGACUCUUGUAACAUGUUAGACUUAGGUUUCAAUGGACCUUGUUAUACCUGGCAGUGUUUUAGAAAGGACCUAGGUCACAUUUAUGAACGACUGGACCACGCCUUUUGUAACCCUGAAUGGAAUAACCUUUAUCCUGAGGCACAAAUACACCAUCUUGCAAGAACUCACUUAGAUCAUUGUCCAAUUCUUUUAGACCUCAAGCCGGCUAUUAGUAAUUCCUUCAACAGACCUUUUAGACUGGAGAAAUUCUGGAUGUCACACCCGGAGUUCCCUCAACUCUUCCAUCAAUCUUGGUCUGGGCCUCCCGCUUCUAUUUCCAAUUCUAUCGAAAACCUCACUUCUAACAUCCUUUCCUGGAGUAAAAAGACCUUUGUGAAUAUUUUCUUUAGAAAAAAAAAGAUCCUAGCCAGACUCCAAGGUGCUCAAAAAACGUUGCAAUCUCACCAUUCUCAAUUCCUAGAGUCUUUAGAAAACAGUUGCUUUUGAGUAUGAUGAAAUCCUUCAUCAGGAAAAAUCCCUCUGGAUUAUGAAAUCUAGAUUGGACUAUUCUAUCUCAGAUGACCUCAAUACCAAACUUCUACCCUCUGUAGAAGGAAACGGACUAAAAUUGUAUCUUUGAGAGAUAAUGUAAGUCAAUGGCUGACCAAUAGUGAUGUUGUAAAAAAUCAUAUCCUUAAUUUCUUUUCUUCCCUAUUUACUUCUCACCACUCUCAGUCAUCCUUAUAUCCAUAGAAUUUCCCUUUUCAGAAAUCUAAUCUGGAGGAAGAAACCAAAAUAUCCCUAGUCACCCUCCCAACCGUCCAAGAAAUAAAAAAGGUUGUGUUUGAUAUGAAACCUCUCAAAUGUCCUGGGCCAGAUGGCUUCCACCCAAUUUUCUACCAGAAAUUUUAGAAUUUCCUUGCUCCUUCAGUCACCCAAUUCAUUCAUGAUGCUUUCAAUCUUAAACCCCUUCCAUCUGGGACUAACGAUACCUUAAUCUGCUUGAUCCCCAAACUCGACAACCCAGAUAUCAUUCAGCAGUUUAGACCCAUAGGUCUCUGCAAUACACUUAUAAAAUACUAGCCAAGAUCAUUGUCAAUAAAUUAGACCCAUCCUUCCAACCAGCAUCUCCCCUUUCCAAUCCAGUUUUAUCUCUGGUAGAAGUGGAACAGAUAACAUCAUGCUUGUCCAAGAAGCCAUUCACAGACUAAAAAAUAAAAAGGGCAAAUAUGGGCUGUGUGCCAUCAAGCUUGAUCUUCAUAAGGCUUAUGAUAGUCUUGAAUGGUCUUUUAUUUAUCAAACCCUCACUUUCUUUGACAUUUCCCCAUCCCUCAUCAACCUCAUUCUUCAUUGCAUUACAUCUACCAAUUUGGCCAUACUCAUAAAUGGAUCCCAACAAAUUAUUUUUCCCCUUCUAGAGGCAUUCGACAAGGAGACCCUUUAUCUCCAUACAUCUUCAUUAUUUGCAUGGAAUAUCUGUCAAUGGCUAUCACCAAAGAAGUGGAUGUAACAACUGACCCCUCUCAAAUUUGGGAGAUCUAGACAUUGUCUAUCACAUUGUCUUUUUGCAGAUGACAUUAUCCUUUUCUCGAGGAUAGAUGAUACCUCCAUAACCACUAUCCACAAUAUUCUGAGCAAUUUGGGACCUCUCUAGUCUCCGUAUUAAUCACUCCAAGUCAAGGAUACUAUUUUCGAAAUCACCAAAAAACUCUAUCACCAGGACACUAACAUCCAGGGUACUCGAGACCUAGGAAAAUAUCUUGGCUUUCCCUUAGUGUUAAAAAAGCAACAGCUAAAACCUUCCACUUCCUAUUGGAAAAAUUCAGACCAACCUCCAAGGCUGGAAAGCAAACCUUUUGUCCUUUGCUGGAGAAAGACAAUUAUCAACAAUGUAUCUCUUCCAUCCCUACCUAUUCUUCCAAGCAGCACAUAUCCCAAAAAAAAUCUGUGAUGCCAUUGAUAGAGAACAGAAAAAUUUCCUUUGGGGAUCCACAGAGGGGAAGAAAAAACUUCACUUGAUUAAGUGGGAAAUUGUUACCCCCCCAAAAGGAAGGAGGAUUGGGAUUGAGACAAUCAGCCCUUUGAACCAAAGCUAGUUUGGCCAAACUCAAUUUGGCAGAUGAUGAAAACACACAUCGCCCUUGGGUUCAAAUACUUUUAGAUCUCUACAUACAUAGAAACUAACCAUUGAAGGAAUCCCCUCUUAGCUUCAGCAAAUCUAGUGGUUCCAUAAACCUUAGGAAUAUCAUAAACGGUAACAACAUCUUCAACCAAGGGCUGGGUUUGAACAUAGGAGAUGGUAAAUCAAUUAAAGUGUGGUCUGGGAAAUGGUUCUCAGCAAACACCCUCAGUUCCUUAAUUGAAGGACCACUCCUACCAGAGGAAGAUCAGCUACUACUAGCAGAUCUCUUUGACAGCAAUGGUAAUUGGAACUUCAACAAAAUUUCCUUCCAUCUACCUCCUUUCAUUCUGGACUUGUUAAAAGCCAUUCCUAGACCUCACCACUCUAAACAAACAGACAACCUUAUAUGGAGGAAUUCUCCAGAUGGGGAAUUUCGUCUCAAUUCAGCAUAUGAGAUUGUUCGUAUGCUAUAUAUUAAGACCAAAUACACUGAUCAAACACCCCACCCUCCAAGCCAUUCUUUCACUUGGAUUUGGACUACUCACACACCUCAUCGAACCAAAUUAUUCCUCUGGUUAGCUUCACAAGACAAACUUGCUACAAGAUAUCUCCUUCAUAAGAGAAACAUCCUCCCUGACAAUAUCUGCCCUUUCUGCCCAGGACAGAUAGAGGAUACUAAUCAUGUCUUGCAUAAAUGUGUCCACGCCCAAGCUAUUUGGAUGGAACUCAAUCCCAACUAUUAUCUAUCCACUUUACACAUUCUUUUUCAUAUCUGGAUUAGGGAAGGAUGUAAAAUUUCCACACCAUCCCCUUACUACAAUAUUCCUUGGGGCACACUCUUUGCCUUUACUUGCUCCACCAUUUGGAAAUCCAGGAAUAAAAAGAUAUUUGAGCCCAGCAGAUCACAACCUCCACCAACCAAAACCAGCAUUAAGUUGGCUAUUGAGUUCUACUCCCUUGGCCCAAAAUCUGACCAUCCCCCUCGCAAAAAAUCCCAAAUUCUUAUCAGAUGGAUUCCCCCAAUCCUUCAUUGGUUCAAGCUCAACUCAAACGGAUCAACCUUAGGAAAUCCAAGUCCAGCGGGAGCUGGAGGUGUAAUCAGAGACGCCUCUAGAUGUUGGAUUAAAGGAUACUGCAGAAACUUAGGCUCUACAAACAACAUGCUGGCAGAAUGUUGGGGUAUCCGAGAUGGACUAGAACUAGCCCUUUCCUUAAAAAUUUCUCAACUUGAAGUUGAAGUUGACUGCGAAGCUAUUGUUACUUUGUUAAAAGCUGUUACCAAUCCUAAUCACCUUUUGAACUCUAUCAUUUUGGAUUGCAGAUUUCUCCUUUCGCAGCUGCGGCAUGUUAAGAUAUCCCACAUAUACCGGGAGACAAAUAGAUGCGCGGACGCACUCGCAAGAAUGGGAGGCAGAUUACAAUCCAACUUUGUAACUUUUGCUAAUUGUCCUCAAGAACUCGCUUUUGUCUAUGAUGAGAACUUGAAAGGGAUCUAUUUUUCCCGCACUAUCUCUUUUGCAAUGUAAUAAAUAGGGCGAAACUCUGUUAUUUAUUAAUGUUUAAUCCCUAUUUUCACCAAAAAAAAAAAAUCUCGUUGGCCGGGAUUCUAUUUCAAGUGGUAAUACUAUUCAAAAGCUAAAAUGUCGGCCCUUUGUUUACCUUUGGAUGAAGCUACCCUAAAAGGAAACACACGAGAGAACAUGAAGGAGACUAUCAAUUGGUUCAAGCCAACAUUAGUUAUAAAAUCGAGCCACCAAAGAUUAAAUUCAAUGGAAGUCUGAAUUUGUAAGUCAAAAUGAACGAUCUUAAAUUUACCAGCCGAUGUUUUGUUCAUGAUGUUUGAAUUCAUUCAACUCAUCAGCAUCCUCAGAAAAGGUAUGAGCAGAAUUGGCAGAGUUAAUUGGGUGCUGAAGGAAGGCCAUGAUGCCCUUGCUAAUACCAAAAUUGAUGAACAGCAAAUUGAGGUGAGUAAAUUUCAGCACCAACUUUAGCAGCCUUCGUGGAGUAGAGAGGAAGUUGUGCGUAGCCAUAAUCCAAAUGCCUAUUGAUCAGAUAAGAGGCCCACACCUCAUUGCGCAUCCAUCUUUCUUCUUUAAACAAAUCGGAUUUGUUGGGAGUCAAGGCAAACCAAGAAGGAGAAAGGUCAUGGCCCCAAACUACAUCAGGGCACGGCUCAACAGUGAGAGUUAUGUCAUAAAAGAUUCAUACGUAAUCGGCAAAGGUUAAAGAAUUGAGGGGUUGAUUAACAAAAGUGGUCCCAAGAAUGCCUAUUUUUUCCAAAAAAAGGAAGUUAGCAGGCCUGACGGAAGGAAAAUAGCACUUGAACCAUGUCCGCAAAAAUCACAUCUGCCUUUGAACGUGUUGACCUUGCUAAUACUCAAAAAAAGCUUUUGAUAGAUGUGAUAAAGGAUGACGGAAGCUAAGGUCAGAGUCUUCAUUUUCGAAAGAGCAAGUGCUACAUGGUAAAAUUCUUGAGUGAUUUGGAAUGUUGAUGUACCAAAAAUUUAUCGAUAGAGCCAAAUAGUGAGAAAAUUGAUGUGUUCUUUCUCUAUGACAUCUGAUUUAGGACUCGAGAAAGGGGAAAACUUUAAGAAAGGGCCAUAAGAUUUUGUCUCUCAACCACUGGGGCCAAAAUCUUUACGAAUGAUGGUUUCUUUGACGUUAAAAUUGAUGACUGUAUCAUGAGGAGGCAAGCCAGUAAUAGCGUCAAUGUCUAUCACCGUAGGAGUCAUCGGCCCAUCAGAGAAGAGGAACACGUUGAUUGAGAUGCUGCAGAAGCAUCGUGCAGUAGCCAGAAGCUAAAAGUUAGCCAGUAUAGGCUACUUGCAAAGUUGCAAGGCAUCAAAGAUCCCAGUAGCCCGCCAUGCUUGCUCGAAGUGGGAUUGAAACCUUUCUGCCCAAGCGUUUUUUGGCUCACUCCAAGGCCAAGUAUGGAGGGCAACAAUUCUGCUAUUAAAGCAAUCGGUCUCGUGAAACGUUAGGAUUUCAUGAGAGCGAAGGGAUUCUUGGGGAUAGGUACAGAGAGCACCAACUUUGAACUGUAUUGGUCAAAGCAUAGGCCUAGAGUUAAAAUAGGGAAGUAAAGGCUAGAUAUUAGUACUUGGCCGAUCACCCGAGGAGAAACAUCGGAAGUCUCAGCUGCAGCCUUGUUGGAAGAUUGGUCACCAUGAGCUAUGUUUUCAGAACCGCGACCGGAUAGCGACUCGGCCGAGGUCAGGGGUCAGGGGUCAAUGGGUUCGACCGGGGGUCGAUAGGGGUCGAACCGGAUGACGUCAUAAAUAAAAAUUAUUUUAAAAUUAAAAUGUUAUAUAUAUAAUAUCUAAUAAUAUAUUGAUAUUAAUAAAGGCAUAUUCAUAUAUAUUUGAUGUUUCAAAUAUAUUUAACAAGAAAAUACAAAGAAAUUAGAACAAUCAAGUAGCAAUUUAUAUUAUUUAAUAAAUAUUAACAAGUUUAGAAUUAAAAUUAUGAAUUUAAUUGAAAAAUAACAUCAAAUUUUAGGACAAUAUUUAUAAAGUAUCAAAUAUUUGAGGUAUAUCAAUAAGUUUUAACAAUUUAGGGGGUCAAAACAUAAUAUUAAAAAGUUUGAAUUUUUUUUUUAAAAAAUACUGUUGAACCGGAAAAACCGGUUUUUUUCCCGGUCAAACCCGGUCAAACCCGGUUUUUGACCGGCUUUGACCGCGGUUUUAAAUUUCCGGUUUUCUAAUGUGACUCGGACCGGCUAUCUGGCCGGUUCCCGGUUCAACCGGUUCGACCGCCGGUCCGGUCCGAGUUUGAAAACAGAGACCAUGAGACGCCAUGAAGAAAGGAGAAAAAGCUUGAUCCAUGGAUAGAGAAAAAGCUUUGAGAAUCUACUAGCACAGAGUAAGAUUUAAAGAAAGGAAUAGAAAAAGAUGGAAGUAGCAUAACCAAGUAACCAACAAAGUAAGUGAGUGAUUUGAAAAUCAAACUUUAUGCCUUAUUAUGAAAAGGUGUGCGUGCUGAUAGGAGUGUAGAUAAUGAUCAAGGCUAACUAAAAGCUACACACCAAGGAAAAGAAGUUUUUUGAAAUUUGAGAAAACCUCGGGAAGGAAAAGGUUUUGACACGUGGAAUGAACAUGAAAUCUUUAGCUGUCACCACACCAGAGACAGAAUCCAAGGACAGCAUGACUAGGCAAGAAUCAAACAUUUAAUGAGUUGAUUAGCCACCGAUCAAAUGUUUGAGAAGGGCAGAUUUUGGUGCACUAUUGAUAGUUCAAUAGUGUGACUCAUCAAGCAAGGUAUUGUAUAGAGAAUUAUGGUCAGAGAGGUCGACAAAGCAAGAAAGGGUUGACAGUCCGUUCAAGUCGGGUGUUGAUUUUUUUUUUUUUUUUUGGAGAUGGUAAAUUUAAUUUAUCAUAUACUAAGGGGAAGGGGGUGGACCUAAGGAGAUUCAAAAUAAAUCGGAGGGGACUGAACCACUACCGAAUCAGACGACUGCACAGCACACUCAUCUAAAUUUUUUGAAGACAAGCUAAAGAAAUAUCGCAUUUUUGGUGGGAGGCAAGGGUUCGACCCUUACCUCCCACCUCAUCAAGUAAGUGGUGGCCACUGAGCCCGAACCCUUGCCUCCCCACUGAGCCAAAGGCCCAGUGAUUAAGUUGGGUGUUGACUAGUCAUGCCGUUAAAAUAGAUCUUCCAACAUACGCCCUACAUACAUCUUAGGAUGGUGGUUACCUUAUCUCUAGGAUGUAAGGAGAAGUAGUUAUCAGCCAAUAAUCAAAACCGCAAAGUGGGACAUGAUAUCCCCAUGUCCCAAGAAAAAUAGGAAUGUUAGCCAUGAAGGGAGGAAAAGUGGCUCACGACCUUAGCGGAAUUAGACUGAUUAAUCGCCAUACUUUGGAGGAAAACCUUGGCUAUAAAUACCCGCAGAUGAUUUAGGAAAAACGAACGUACAUCACACACAAAAAAAUAGUAUCUUAGAGUCAUGCUCAUGCCCUCUCCCAAAGUAGUUCUUUAGUAAUGUUUUCUUUCCAUUUAGAAUUCUUAGGCUAUCAUUAGGGUUUUUUAUUCCUUUUAAUAGCUCUUUUAUGUCAGUUUCAUGUUCAUUUUCGCUGUUCUAGUUAAAGUCAUGUAUAUGUUAUUAGGAUUGUUAAUGGAAUUCCAUGUUAGUCCCAUACUGCUUUUUGAGCCUUCUUGUUAAUUUCCAAUAAAUGUUCAUCAGUCCUUUAGUUAAUCAGUUCAUUUUCAUUUGUCAAACGUCCUUCUUUCUUCUUUUACCGAUUGCUUCUGGCAUGAAUUUUAAGUCCUUGAGGUCUCUCAAGGCAUACGAAUAGCAAUCAAUCUAGACGUCAGGCUUUCAUCAGUGCAUGUUUUCUUUUCUUUCUCUCAUUAAAUGCGAGUGGCACACCAUUAAAAUAUUAAUCGCUGAAGUGGACAUAUACGAUAUCAGCGUCGAUUUAUCAGCCGCAAAAAAUCAGCUCUAUAACAGAUAAGAUUCUUCAUCAAAUUGUAGUUAAUGGAUACAAAAAGAAAUAUAGUUUCUUAUUUUGCAAUGGACGUGGUUUAGUCAACUGGUGCAAAUUGUGAGCUAUAUAUGGUGUUAAGGCUGGUUUAGGCUACACCAUUGAUGGACAAUGAGUGAUUAUAAUGAAUGAAUAGCUUGCUGAGAUAAUUGAAAGAUAAAAUCAACUUAAAAAAUUUACUUGACAUUGGGUUGUUGAAUUUGAGCAACAAAGAAUUGCAGUUAGUAAUUUUAUUGAUUUGAUUUUGAAUAUGCAACAUGUCGUAGGUGGACCAAGGCAAUUUAGAUGUAUAACGUGCAAUGGCAGAGCAUUUUAGGAUCCAAAUUUAAAAAACCUGUAGCAAAUAGUUCACGUGUUUCAAAAUCUAACUUAAAGCUAAAGGGAACAAUUUUGGGAACUUCAUCAUUAUUCAUUAUACUACUAACAAUAAAUAUCCAAGAAAAAAGUGUAAAUUAAAAGCAUAUAAAGUUAAUCUAAUUUCUCAACUGGGGAAUAUACUUCUAUCUUUUUGUGAUGUUAAUAGGCUAAAACUAAAUGAUGAGGCAUCCAUAAUAGGUGCAGCAAGAAUAUUUUUCUUGUGUACCCAAUUGACAAACCUUUGGCUUUGUAUGGAUUAUAUAUUGUGAGGCUAUUUAAAAAUUUUACCGUAGUGAUAUGUGAAAACUUUUUACAGUUUUGUUCUAAAUGGUUAGGAGCUUUCAAGAUGUUUUUGGGGAUAUGUUUUGAAGUGUUUUUAGAAUUAAAAAUUUUUGAGAUAUAUUUUUAAAAAGGGUAAAAUACAAGGAAUCCCUUGUGAUUUCGCGAAAAGACACCUUACCCCCUAUUAUUUAAAAACCUCUACAUAAAUACCCUAAAUUUCAUAACUAAAGUGGAAAUUACCUUCUGAACUAGCUGAGUUAUGGGCAGCAGGUUAAAUACCGUCAUCUAACUUUAUAUUGUAGACAUCAACUUUCAACCACUAUAUGAUCUUUGACAUCAUUUUCUCGGAGGAAACAAUAUUCUGAAAUUUACUUUAAGAAAGAAUGACACUUUAUAUGCAUAAAGUCCAUCAUUUACAUCUUUAAAUCAUCAACAAUUUCGUAACAAUCCAAUCACACAAAUGCUUUGGAACAAAUCACAGUAUAAGAACCACCAAAUUAUUUGCCAGGGACAAAGUUUGUUGUAUAUGCCCAGGCAUUGUUUUCACUGGAUCAGCAAGGUGAUCAGCUAGGUUCUCCAAAGGUCCUUUUCCAGUUACAAUAGCUUGAACAAAGAAACCAAACAUGGAAAACAUAGCGAACCUACCAUUCUUGAUUUCCUUGACUUUAAGCUCAACAAAAGCCUCAGGAUCAUCUGCCAAUCCAAGAGGACCAAAGCUCCCUCCAGGAUAAAUAGGAUCAGUCACCUCCCCAAGCAGUCCUCCGGCAAUUCUGAAGCCCUCCACAACCCCCAUUAAGACAACUUGUGAAGCCAAGAUCGCUAAAAUACUCUAUGCAUGAAUUAAGCUUGGGUUACCUAAAUAAUCAAAGCCCACUUUCGCUGAAAAUUUGUGAACCAGCUUUGAACCAAACUGCUUCUCCAAACUUGAUACCAUUUCUUGAUAAAAGCUCAGGAAAAACACAACCAAGUGCUCCAAGCAUAGCCCAUCUUGAAUGAAUAACUUCUGAUCCGUCAAACCUCCUCCAAAAUUUGCAGAAGUGGACAUGGCGACUUUCGAUUCUCCCUAAGAUUCGUCAAUCGUCCUACAUUUUUUUCUCUUCAUUCUUCUCCCUUUUUCCUUUCACUCUUUGAUGGCUUCAAAUGUCUUCUACCCUAAUAUGUCACUUCAAUAUAGCAAUUGAAGGGUAGUUUUGGAAUGAAACUCAAGGUCUUUUCAAAGGAACCUCGCAUACCCAUCGUCACUAGGUCGCACGCUCGGUUACAGGUCAAUUUCCACUUUAGUUAUAAAGUUUAUGAUAUUUAUGUGGAGGUUUCUAAACGAUAGGGGAUAAGGUGUCUUUUCGCGAAACUACAAGGGAGUUCCUUGUAUUUUAUCCUUUUAAAAAUUAAAAAUAACACCACCCACCACUAUCACCACCACUACGACCCCCUCUCUCUUCCUCUUUCUCUUCCUUCCCUGCCUUCCUUCCUUCUCAUUCCCUUUGUCCUUCCUUCUCUCCCCUCUCCUCCCCUCCCAUCUCUUCCCCCAAGCCACCCAUCUCAGAUCCACCAGAUCUCGCGAGCAGAGGAUUACGACUAAAUUUGAGAUCUAGUAUUGACCAAUCGCGACUAGAUUUGAGAUCUUGUGGUGACCUCUGACUAGAGGGCUACUUGCGAGAUUUGGUGGAUUUCAAAUGGAAGGGGGAAGGGGGUAGUUAGGGGGAAGGAAGGGGAGGGGAGGGAAAGGGAGGAAGAGGAAGUGAGAGAAAGAGGAGGAAGGAAGGUUGAUAGUGGUAGUGGCGAUAGAGGAGGGAGGAGGGAGUGGUGAUGAUGGUGGUGUAUGGUGGGUGGAAGAAGAAAAUAUGAUAGGAUUUUUUUUAAAUAUAUUUUUAUAAGUUGUAUUUCAGAUUUUGUGUAUUUUAAGAGUUGUUUUUGAAACUACUAUUAUAGCCUCAACAAAUGAACAUAAUUUUUUUUUUUUUUUAAAAAGGCCAAUCCAUACAGAGCUUGGUCUUCUUCGCUGUAGCGGAGGAGGCGAAUUUUGCAAAUGCCUAUCCAACGUUGUUGUUCCUCCUAAUCUUCUUCGCUGCAACAGUGGAGUUGAAUUUGACAAAUGCCUAUCCGAGGUUAUGGUUCCUCCUACCAAAGCUAAGGUUUUGGAGGUACAAGAUGUUAGAAGCCUUGGAGGAACUUGGCAUCUCAGAAUCAUCAAAGAAAAUGUAAUCUUUCCCCUGUGAUAAGAAUUGGUUCGUUAUAUGAGUGGUAAGGCCUUAUUAAUUUCUCUUGAGAUUAAGAUUGAAACGCAUUCUUGAAAUUUCACGGUCAGAUACAUGAUGUAAUCGAGUUGGACUGACGAAUUAUUCCUUGUAACUAAUACUCUAAGAGUCUAUUUGAUAACAUAAAAAAUUGCUGAAAUUGAACUCUUUCAAACAUUUAGAUGUUUUGGAUAUUUGAUAAAUAAAAAUUCAUCCACUGAACUUGUUAAGUGGUGCUGAAUUCGUAUAUAUUUUUUUCGGUACAAAAAUCGUAACUGAAUGUUUAAUUCUGAUAAAAAUCAACAGAUUUACUUCAACUAUCUUAUCUUAUCUACCAAAUUUACCCUUAUUUGUUAAUUACGUUGAAAAUUCUUAUAUAAUUAAACAACCUAAUAUUCUCUAUUCAGAAUCCUUAUCUAAUUAAUCAACCUGAUAUUCUCUGUCUAACGGCUUUUUACUUUUAUUUUCUCUCUAUUUAAUGACUUUCACAAUUUCUCCAUACUCCUCACCUUUUUCUACUCCUUAUCCUUUUCCAUCUUUCUACUCUUUCAUAAUUUUGUUAUUUUUUCCUCCCAAUUGUUUUAGUGCUACCGUACUCACCGAUCUCAAAUUCAUUUUUUUCAAGGCCAGUGACAUUGAUUAUUUGUUGUUUUGCUUCACUAUUUUUCCAUCGAUGUAAUUAAAUUUCUAUAUAAUUUGGUGUGAAUUUAAAACUUGUUUAUUGCAGCUUACUUUUGCUUAUAUUUUUGUUGGACUUUUCUUAUCAAAAUCCGAAGAGAGACCAUCAUGAAUUUCUGAGCUUAAACAGGUACCAUCACUAGUUCUAUCAUUAUUAUUUUAUUUUGGGAGUGGGACGUGUAUUGCAACUAUAGUAUAACCUUGGAUUACCAAUGCUUUGGUGUCACUUUACAGGGUAAAUGUCAAAAAAAUGAGCUCUAUAAGUCUGUACACACACAUAAAUAUAUAUGGCUUAAAUAUUUAUGCUAACACCAAAAAGUAGUUCCUUAAAGCCGAAUCAUUAAUAUGCCUAUGAGUUAAUAGGACUACAACUAGGAAAAUUUUAGUGGGUGCCCGGCACACUAUUUGACUACAUAUAUAGUCAUAUUGCUUUGCCAUCAAUUUGCUCUUUUUGGAUAGGCAAAUUGAUUCCCAGAAUUUUUAGUUUGAUGUCCCAAUUCAGUACUAGUAUAGAUAAUAGCAUAAUGGAGAUAUAUAUGUAUCCGAAUUGGUAAUUGAUGAUGAUACAUUUCAAAAUUUCUCAAGGCAGGACCAUUUAAUGCAAACUGACUUGUUUAUUACAAUUUAUUUUAUAAUUUAAUUUAAGAUUCUAGAUUCUUUAAUUUAACUUGCAUUAGUGGUAUGAUCAUUUGAUUAAACUUUUGUGACGCCCCCACUUCUCCCUAAGGCGAGCCAGAGGGUUUCUGCGGGACGUCUGCCCAACUCUCGCCAGGACUCAAGCAGUAUCCAUUCAAGUUUAAAGCAAAAUCAUUCAAUAACACUAGAUAAGUAAGAAAGUGCGGAAACUUCCAAACUUAAUAAUAUACAUAACGCUUAUCCAAUCAUUACAUUAAAUUCUCAAAAGUACAUCAAUACCCAAAAUAUACUACAUCCGGGUACAUCAAAUAUUCAAACCAUAUAUUAGGUUUCCGAAAUACAACUAGUAAGAGGUCUAACUCAAAAUAUAUUAAAACCCUAAGCCAAAAGUGUAUCAAAAGAGUUCCUCCAAGUACCAUUCCAUGCCAAAUCCUGUUAAGGAAAACAAAUAUACAGGGUGAGCAAAACGCUCGUGAGGCCAAGGACACACAUGCAAUCACAUAAUCCAAAUAACAAGCCCAAUUAACAGGUCAAAUAAUAAAAUACAAGUAAUUGCCAAUUCAAAUGGAAUAUAACCAGAAACAAUUCAAGGAUAUGGUAGCUCUCAGGAGCUAAGUUCCACUUGCAUUGCCAGGGUCAUUCGUAUACCUUCCCGCGAUGACUCUCCGUCAACCGGUUGGUAUUUCCAAUCCGUAGUUCUCCACUUACUUCCCUCCAUCCAUCAUUUCACCCCCUCGGAUCCGUAACCAACAGGCAUGUAAAGGCGAUACUAUACCAGUAUGCCAAGCAAGAUCUCAAAAGAUCAAGCUUCAGGUCCCAAGAUUUACCAAGUUCUCCCGACCAAGACCUCACGAUUGGCUGCGAGAUUACGAGGUAUAACCAUUGGGUUUUGGGCGUCCCCACAAGUCAGGUUUUCAGAAACAAACCAAGUUUUUGUCGAUGAGUUUUUCUCUGCUUCCGACUUUAGGUCAUGUACAUGUAAUUCAUGUAGCAAGUCAUGUAUUGAUCCAAGUAAAGGAGAUAAAGUGCGGUAAAGUACACACUUUCCCCAACAAGUACAGUUCAAGUAACAACAGGUUCAAGUAGAGCUCAUGUAGGCAACAAAUCUCAAGCGAAGUGCAAGUAGACAUGCACUUGACACUCACCCAGUCAAUCAAGGAGAAAUGUUACUUGGAGUUCAAGCGCCUAUCGUAGGAUCCUCUUGAAGGUCCUCAUGCGAGCCUGAGCAAUUAAUAGUGAAAAUCACUUAGAAACCCCAUUUAUCAAGGAAGUUUGCACCCUUGUGCAAUUCUAGAAAAUUUUACUAAAAAUGAGUCUAAAUUACUCACAAAUUAAGGCUCAAAUGUGGAGUUUUAAAGUACAAGCGAAAUCAAGUUUUCAUCUUUAAAAUCAAGUAUAAAACGUUUAGGUAAUAUCAAAGGAAUAAGGAGUACUUUUAAAAACUCCAUUUCCUUGGAAUUUGAAAAUUUUCAGUUUUGAUAUGAUACAUUAGAAAAAUCGUAUCUCACGUUUUACAAGUCAAAAAUUGGAAAACUUGGUACCGUUGGAAACCUCUUCCAAGGUACUAAAAGUUUCUAGAAUACACGUUUCUAAGAUUCCAAAUGGAAAACAUUCAAAAAUAAGCUCAAAGUUUCUGUUUUGGUUUCUAAGGCAAUUUAGAUUGGUUUUUGGCCAACUUUGAAAAUUUGGCAAACUUCACUUGAUUUGAACUACCUCUUGAAAUUUGGAACACUUUUAGAGUCGCAAUCCAAGUUUACAACAAAACAAGCGGAAUGGGAAACGGAGCUUUGAGUACAAAGAUAUGGCAACUCAAAGUUACCAAAAUUUCCUUGUGAAACAUGGGUUUUUCAAACUCAAGUCAUGAACUUUGGUAAUUUAUCUGAGCCAUGAAACGGCCUCGAAAUAACACCAUAAUUAGCAGUAUAAUACUACCAUAUAAGGGUUGUCCCUCUACCAAAUUUCAUGGAGAAAUAACUUCGGAAUGGUAGUCCACCAAACAACCAAAGUUUCAAAAAUCCUAAGGCAAAACUGUCUUGAGCUUUUUGUUUUCCAUUCCAACCAUUUGGCCAAGGAAAAUCCUUCAAACGUGGUUCAUUUGUAUAGAAAAAGCCUAAGAAACACUCAUGGUACAUUUGGUAGAUGUUUUAACUCCAAAAACUCAAUUGGCAAGUCCAUACCAAGUCUAACAUUAAUUCUGUCCAAGAUUAAGGGUUUUCAAAGACAGAGCAGGUUUCGUAUUUUGAUCACAAAUCACUCAAUUCAACUCGGAAUUGAGCAUGGUUGGUGGCGUUGGAAAAUACAUUCAUAAAGUUAUAAUUUCACAGAAGAAAUCAUUUUGAAAUUCAGCACACAACUAGCUCAAAUUUGAGCCUCAAGUUGUAGCUUCUGAACUUCAUUCCAGGAAAACAGAGAAACAGGACAGUUAUCUUUAAACGGUUGGUACGGGGUACUUGGGUGGAAUUAGGGGUUGAAUUUUAUACCAAAUGAAAUCUGGGAAUGUCUAGUUUCCAGUGCUGCAAACGGUACUUGAUUCCGACAUCGGAGCGAUGAAAUAUAGCCGAAACAAACUGGCUGUCUAGUAGUGACGGGAAUCAUUUCCCAGUUUUGGUAGAUUCUAAAACUCAACAUGCACUCACCCAAAUCACGUAAAAUUUUGAGGAAACCUUAAACACAACCUAUAUUUCAUAUUUUCAUCAGAAUCAAGUCAAUUGGACUUCAAGAAAAUACACUAAAAUGCAUGAAAUUAGCAGGCAGAAUCGGCAACAUCACAUGCAGCUCCUCAUUUGACUUCCUUUUCAUUUUUGCCACUUAACUCUACUAAAUUAGCACUCAAUCAACACAAUCAGCAUCCAAUCCUAGCUAAUCAGAUCAUCCAAGUCAUUGUGGGAUUUCAUAGAGCCCACUCACCAAUUUCUCAACAAUUUAAAGCUGCCCAUGAGAAUUCAAGAGCUCAUGAGUGUAAUUUAGCUUCCAUAAACCAAGAAUUAAGUAGUGGAUCAUUACUUACUUUCUUAGAGAGCCAAGGCAGAGAAUUUCGGUCACUUUGAGCUGGAGGAAAACCAUGUGAGUUAGCUCUAUUCCUAGCUUAUCUUGAUCACCAAAUGAUUUGAGGGUUGCAUGUGAAAUUUGGAGGAAAUUGAGCAAGGAAUUGAGGAGAGAGGGUGGAGGAAUUUUCUGGUUUAGCUCUCCCUUGGCUGCUCGGCUGUUUGUGCGUAGGAGAGGAAUGAAAUGCAGAUGAUAUGAGCUUCUAAUGGUAAGCUUAUACGUGUGGCUCAAUUGCACUUAAGCUGUCCACUAACUUAGUGCACAUCCGCGUGCGUUUCGGCUCGAUUCCUCGCGAGUUUAUUGCACUAGUGAACUAAAAUGCACUUGCAUUCAUAUUAUUAUUAUUCACUCUUAAUAGUCCCAAAAUAAUGGCCUAAGGUUCCUCAAUUACUCGCGUACGUAAAAACGCGUAUUUCCAAUUUAAGCGCGAGAUAAUGAAAUUUCUAAGAAAUCCUAUAACGGUAAUAUAACUAACUAACCUUUGAACACUUAAAUAUAAAAAUACCUAUUUUGAGACUAAUGUGCAAGUCUCCAAGUUUCCAAGUUUAUUGUAUUUCCAAAUCAACUAAAAUCCCCAAUCGCGUAAUCACUAUUUUCACUUAACGAGCUUCCAAAAAUUAAAUUUUGACACAAGUCACUUUAAAAAUAUAACGAAGCUAUAGACCCAUGUAAUUAGGUCUAAAGAGGUUAGAAAAUAAUAUUCGGAAUAAAUGGGCAAUUAAAUAUUCAAAUGAGCUCGAAAUAGGAAUUUAAAAUAAUAAAUUUUGCGAGUCCUCACAGGAGUCUAGUAUUAAUUCCUCGAUUAACCUUUCUUAAUCUACUAUUGAUCAUUUUUAAUUCUCCAAUAUUAAUACACUCCUGAUUCAAGUAUAGCCUCGAAAACGUGUACUUGUUAUUCUGAACUAAAUGAAUUUUUGAAAAGUGAAUUUUCCAACAAAAUGUUUUAAAAUAUAAAAGAGGCGUUGUUCCAUAUAAAUGGAUUUUAAAUGGUCGAAAUGAAUAACUCGGAGAAAAUGAGUAAAUAAAUAUUUAAGUAAACUUGUAAUAUCCGAUAAAUAAGAAAAUUUUUGGGUCCUCACAUCCUCCCCUCCUUAAAAGGAAUUUUGUCCUCGAAAUUCACAUCUAGAACAUUAUCAUUCUCUUAAUAGUUAAGUCUACCAGAUUAAUCACUAACUUAUAUUUUCCAACUUAUACUUCACAAUUUCUAUUCAUUCAACUAGUAAUCAAAACUUGAUUUAAAAUUUUUUUUUUCCAAUAGGCAUUUUAACUUCCGAAUCAUAGGGCAACUUCAUCGCCCUCAUGUCUACCUUACAUAGGUAAUGUCCUCACUUCUUUAAUGCCAUUAUUACAGCCACUAACUCCAAAUCAUGAGUUGGUUACUUUCUCUCGUAAUAUCUUAACUUUCCAGAGGCAUGCACAAUCACCUCGUCAUGUAUCAGUAGUAUACAUUGUAAACCAUCAUUUGAAACAUCUAUAUAAAUCACAAAACUGCCUCCUCAGCUUGGUAGGGCUAACACAAGUGCAUCGAUUAAACAUUUUUCACUUUCAAAAUUCUUCCUAACAUUUAAAAUCCCAAAUAACUUGUCAAGUCUUGUACUCUUAGAAAAUUCCUUGACCAAACCAAAGGAAAGGUUUGACUACCAUCAAGAACUCCAAAUUUCGGUAGGAUUUUCUAGUCGUUUCCUCUUAAACAACUUCCACUGUAGUUGAGUCAACAACAAUUCCUUCCUUAGAUAUUGUAUAACCUAGAAAGGCUAUUUCCUUCCAAUCGAACUCACAUUUGUCGAACUUAACGAAAGUUGGUGCAUUCUUGGGCUUUGUAAAACAUUUCCAAGUAUCUUUCAUGAUCUUCUCAAACCUUAGAGUAUACCGAUAUAUCAUCAAUAAAUGCCACCUCAGAUUAAUCCAAUUACGAUCUAAAACCCCAAUGCAUUCAGGUCAUAGUUGCUACUAGUGCAUUGGUCAACCCAACGGCGUAAUUGAAAGUUCAAAGUGUCUCUAUCUUGAAUUGGAAGUGAUUUUAAACACAUCAGUUUCUAGGGUCCUCAACUGGUAAUAGCUCUACUUUAAAUUCAACUUGAAUAAUAUCACGGCUCCUUGCCAUUGGUCGAAAUUUCCGACUAUGUGAGACAACGGAGCAUUUGCUCUUAGUGGUCACAUCGUUCAAGUCUCGAUAAUGUGUAUAUAUAUAUAUAUAUACCCUCAAGCUUCCAUUCCAAAUGUGAUAUCUGACUCCUCAAUCAUUAUGCUCAGGAAAUCUACCAAAGAUUUUCUUUCACUAACCCAAGUCUCACAGUAUUAAUAUAUUAAAUUGGUAACCAAACAUUGGAUUCCAACUUCAACACUAAGCUCUCGAUUUGGUCACGAUCCCUAGUCGCCUCCAAGACCUUAGGGUGGUCUAUAUUCUCAAGCACAAUCUCGACUAUGUCUAACACCGUUCGUGUCUUAUUAUAAGUCUAAAAGUGUGGGGCAAGAUUUUGAAUAUACAUAUAAGUCGUAAAACCAAUCAAAAGCGGAGUAAAGUUUCAUAUGUCAUAAGAAUCAUAAUAGGUACAUCAAGUUGGAAUAGAUUUAUCAAAUCAUUUCAAAAGGAAAAAGGGAAACAACAAGAUCGUAACAAAACGUGCCAAAUUGCCAAGAUACAAACAACAAAGACUUUUUCCCUUUUUCACAAGGUUAAAUUUCCAAAAGUGCUAGUCUAGUCUAGGGUACUACAACCCCUAUCCUCGAGUGUAGUCAAAACAUCCUCACUCGUAAAACUUCCACUACUAGUGUAGACACCAAAUUUUUGGUUUCGAAUUUUAUUUUUAAAAUUAGUUUAAUUUUGGAUUUAUUUGUCUCAAUUUUAGAUUUAUUUUGGUUGAUUCCUGUUUCGUGUCUCUUAUUGUAUUUUAAUUGGUUUACAAGCAUUUAUUUUAUCUUCUAAUUGAUCGAAAAAAGGAAAGGAAAAAAAGAAGAAUUAUGACUUAGAUUAGCAUUUUUGUUUUAUUUUUCUAUUUUAGUCAAUUUUACUUAAUUUGUUUUUUUUAAUUAUUAUUAUUAGUUUUGUUUAUUAAUCGUUUGGUUCAUUUGGAAAUGAAAAGAAAAGAAGAAGAACGAUGAAAACUGGAAAAUGAAAAAAUAAAAAAAAAGGAAAAUGGAAAUUGCACUUUGUUGCUUCUAGUUUAUUUAGUUUUAUCAAAUGUUAAUUAAAUUGUUUUUGUUAUUUAUUUUUAUUAUCAAUUUUGUUUUAAUUAAUUUCAAAAAAAAAAAAGAAAAAAAGAAAAAAGAAGGAUACGCGGCAUGCAAGCUGCAUAUUUUUGCAGCUUGCAAAGGACAGAUGCAUGCCCAUCGGAUGGCCAAGAAAAAGGGUUUGAGAACAGAUGAUUUCUAGCCAUUGAAUGGAGGGUUUUGGGGCUACUAGCCUGGUAUAAAUACAAAAAAAGAGCAGCAGCCGUAGGGGAGGAGUUCUUUUGGAGUGAACGGCUAAGAAAAACUGAGAAACGGGAAAGAGCGAGAGAAAGCAAGGUUGGAAAAAGGGAGUGACGGCCGCAAAUCUGGAGGAGAGAAAAAAAAAAGAAAACAGCGACAGAGUAGAGAGUUUUUGGGGAGAGGUUUUUGGAGGAUAUCGAAUGACGGCUGGAGAGAUUGGGAACGGCAAAAAGAAAAACCCAGAAGAGAGAAAGGGCGGCGGGGAUUUUUGAGAGUGAGGCUGAGAGCUGUGACGACGAGGGUAGAGAAGGAGAAAAACCGCAGCCAAGGAAAGGAGGUUUUCAGGCUAAACAAAACAGAGGGAGCAUACGGCUGGGGUUUGAGCAAGAACUGAAAACAACUGAGAGAGAGCCGAAAGCGAGCGAGAGCUUGAGGGCUGAGAAAAGAGAGACCGGAAGGGAAAAAGGAAGAAAACCGGCAAGCAGGUUUUCGGCUGUGAAGGCAAGGGAGGAGAACGGCUGAUGAAGGUUGGCGGCUGAAAGAAGCAGAGCAGCGAACCUCGGCAGUGACGGGGAAGAGAGCUUCGGUAGUAGCGACCGGAAGGAAAAGGAAAACACAGAGCAGCCGCAACCCCAGAGGAUCUUAUCGUCGACAUUGGCUGAAGUGGUGGCGCAGUCAUUUCUGCUGCUACUCUCCUUCUACUGCCGUGCACUCCAUCACUACCGGCAAAAUCUUCACCAAGGUAUUCCAGUCAUGAUUUCCUGCAAAGUUUGGAUUUUUCUAUUUGUUCUUGUUUGAUUUAUGGUUAAGGAAUGCAUGGGGAUUAGACCUAAGUUUCAGGGAUGGUAGUUUGGGGAUAUAUGAUGAAUCCAUGAAGCUUUCAUUCGAUGUUUAUGGCUGAUUUUGGUGCAUUUGAACAAGUAAAUCCAGAAAAUGGCGUAAAACUUUGGGCAAUUCUGAUUGCUGUUUCUUCUAGCUGUGUACGUGUGGCAGUACCUUGUUGCUGUUUGCUUGCUGUUCUCCUUUCCAUUUUAUUCUUAGCACCUUGCUUGCUGUUAUGUUUGGGCCUUAUAAUGUUUUUUGAAGUUCUGAGUUAUGGGUCAGUGAACGUUUAUAUUUCCUUGCGCUGUUGUUGAAUCUCAAUUGGGGUUGGAUGAAUCUGUUCAUGUUGCUUUGUUGCAUUUUCAUGUCCCAUUCCCUUAUUAGAAUUUCCGGGGGAUAAACCUUUGCAUUUGGGUAGUGAUUAACAAUCUGGGUAGGAGGCUAUAGCAUUGAGGUUUGGGUGGACAAGUCACUAAGCAUUCAUUCCAUUGCUUCGCAUGAUCAUCUUUCGCUUUGCAGCAGAAAAUUUGCUUCGUUACUUCGCAGGCUCCUGUUGCUUGGUUGUUUCUUUUGUUGCAUUGUAAAGCAAGUAGAUUAGGUGGUGGCUUGUUGUUUUGUGCGAAUUACAUUCGGUUUGGGAUUGUCAAAUGCGUAGAGUUUGUUUGAGUUUUCACACACAAGCAUAUCUAGGCUGAAGUAGAAAAAGCUGCUACAUGUUUCUGUGAUGUUUUCUUCUCCGUGACUGGUUUGUUGAGCUUUCAUACAUAACUUGCAUGCUUGAUCUUAUGCCGAAGGUAAGAAAAGGAAAGAUUAGUGCUGAGUUUGCAUAUUUGGGUCUAAAAAUAUUGAAUCACGCUUGAAAACUUGCUAAACAUGAACCAUCGAAGCUGCCGAAUCAUUUGUGCAAGUUUUCCAGAAUUUUGUAUGGUAUCUUUCUGAGUUUCCUGCUUGUCUGGAUCAUGGUGGUGGUAUAGUUAGUGGCUUGGUUUAAGGUUGUGAUGUUGGGUUUAAAAACAUCUAAUCAAGGUUGUGAUAAAAAUCUGAGUUUGUAAGAAAAUUGCAGCAAAGUUGUUUGGCCGAAAACGUUGCAGAAGCUGAAACCUUUUGUCGUUGCCUGCAUGUUAUUUCAGAACUUAAUAUGAUAUUUUUCUGAGUUGUUUGCUUGCUUGGAUCAUGGUUGCUCAAGCCAAAGUUGUUAGUUGCUUAAUCUUAGUCGAAGUUAUGUAUUUGAACCAGAAAAUCCGAGUCAGUUUGCAAGCAAAGUGCAACAGUUUCCUUCUCGGUUGUUUGAAGCUUAAUGGAAAAUCGUUGCAGAAGCUUUUUGUCUUUCGUUGCAUGCAUGAAAUAUUUCCAAUAAUUCCAUUAUGACCUCUUGAUUAUUGUUUAACUCUAUCACGGCCCGAAGAAUUGGACAAGUUAAUCAUUUUGGUCCCUUUAAAGAUCAAUUUGUUCUUGAUUUGAUUUUAUAUGAUUUUUGAGUUGAUCAUUGGUGAAUUUAUAAUGCAUUUUUGAAGUUUAAUAAAUUUCGAUAGAUCCAUGGUUUCGACUUGGAGUUUAAUAAAACUUGGGAAAUUUUCAUUGUUUCAUCGUAGUAAAUUAGUUAUCACUUAUGUUUGUGAAUUUUAGUCUUUGAUUCGUAGAUCUCACCGUGAGCCUUUGAUUUUUAUCUAGUUGCUUGUGGGACCCGUAAUAUUUGAAAUAAUGAUGCCUCCAAUUUCUUUUACUUCUUUUAAUUGGGUCCCCGUUUAUUUCAAUUUGAUGAAUAAGGGUUGUGUAACUUAGUUGAAUGUGCUAAUUAAUUCAAUUUUCAUGAUUUAUCUAUCUUUUAUGAUUGCUUAUCAAUUAAAGUGGUACCUUGACCCUUUUAUUAUUUUGGAGGGUAAAUUAGUAGUUUCGCCUCGUUAGGGCAUCGAUUCAAGGGAGGUACACUCUAUCCCUUAUUUGCACUUCAUUUGACCCUACGUGCUCCUACGUGUUAUGUGAAUAUGCAUGUCUACUUCGCUUUCCUUGCCUUUCCUUAAUUCCUUGCAUUUAUUUCAUUUACUUUUGCUUUUAUUUAAGUUAUUCAUUAUGGGGUAUGUGUACACCUCUUGGCUUGUAAUAGAUAGGGCUUGGUGAGCAUUCUUGUCCAUUCUUCCCCUUCUGUUUUAGUUAGCGAAUGUAAUAGGUUCAUUAGCUUGGUUGCAUGCCUAUGUGUUAUGUGUUACUUGCUUUAUGGUUCUUGCAUCUAGUCGAGCAUGCUAAAGUGUUAUGUGCUAUGUGUUUAUGAGUGUUUGGCAUGUCUACUUGCUUUCUAUAGUCGUAGAUGAAUGUGAUUGAUGAAUGUACGUCACCACACUAGUCCAACGCUAGUUGUGGCUCCUUAUUCUGUUUUCCACUAGUCCAAUGCUAGUAGGAAUUCCUAGAUAUGGGCUAGUCCAACGCUAGACCCUUAGGUAUCCUUUCGUUAGUGCAUAUUUGCAUGUUCACUACAUUUCAUACAUUUUUCUUAGUUUUUCUAGCAUUUGGCACGCCCCUCCUACCCUUUCCCUUUCAUUUUAGACUUUUGCAUCUUCAUGCUAGUUAUAGGGUACAUUUGCUUGAGAGUCCCCUUUCGAUAAGGGGAACGAGCGAGUUUGGUUACAAAAUAGCCUUAGCACGCUAGUUCUUCCUUCUAAUCCAAGGGAAAAUCAAAGUCGUAAAGUUAGGAGUCCUUCCCGUGCCCGACCUGAUGCAUUCCCUUAAGGUCAUACACUUGCAUUCUUUUUAUACCACAUCCACACUCUUUUAGCCACAUUUUCUCACUAUUUAGAGUUUUUCUCAAUUUACACUUUCUCACCACUUUCUUCCUAUCACUUAUUUAUUUUUCUAUCUCACAAAUGGUACCCAAUUGCACUUAUAUGUAUCUACUAUCCUAUUUUCAUUCAUUUGCACACAAAAACACCUUUGUUUUCUCACACUUGCACACUUGCACUUAAAUCCUCACUUGUAUUAAUCACGACUUCCUUGAGAGCUUUCCUUAUUGGCCACCACAAUUCAUGUGGUUGGGACCUAAAAGCCUCAUGAGAAAUAUUUUAGAUUUAGGAUUGCAUUUUUCUUUCCUUUUCGCAUCCAUUAGUCAUAUCCAACAUGCGAUACAUACCUUGGGUAGAAAAAUUAGGAAAAGUGGGGCUAAGUCACGCAACUAGCUUUGGCUAGGGUGAGGGAGUGCCUUAGGCUUUGCCUUUGCCUUCUCCCUUAUCAAACGUGACCCCCGAUCCCUUUCUUUGGUUAUGUAGACCUAAAAGUUCUUUAAAAAGGGUUUAUUUACUUUUUUCGAAAAAUCACUUUUUGGGUGAUUUGGUACAUCCUAACUUUAUACCAAGUGGUGACUCCAUUUUUCAUUCAAAAACCCUUUUUGAACUUCGUUUGGCCAAAUCGUCGCAAUUUCAAGUCCCAUGGCCUUGUAUUUUCAUUUUACACACGUUCACAUACAUAUUCCACACUACUCACAACACCACAUCAAAAAGUGGGGCGCGACAACUAGAACCCCCUUCAUAACCAUUAGUACUAAUUACUUCCAUCUGGCACUUGAUUGCUUUGUAGCGGCCUAACUGGCUGCUGAGUAUUUCCUCUUUUUGAUAGGGCUCGAAAACUUAUGCUCGGUACUACCGCACUUAAAAUAUUUUUCUUGCUUUCUCCAGCACCCGGCUUCAGUGUGGUUAAUCUUGCCACAGUAUCCACUAGUUACAUGAGAAGUGACAGCCUGACUAGUUUGAGAAUUUUCUUUGUGUUUCUUCUCCAGUUCUACGUUCUGGCGUAGUAACUCAGUUUUCUCUGCAUAUUCUUGUUUCCACCAUCCUUCCCAGUACUCAGCUAGUUUUCUUUGAAAUUCUACCUCAUUUCGAAGAAUAUCCAUUUUCUUACGCAUUUCUUCCAAGGUUGUCAUCUUACCAGUUGGCUUAACUCAAAUGCUAGCCUGUCAGGUAGAUCAGAGGAUCAAAAUAAGUAACUAUUCAUAAUGGAAGCUCGAGUCAUAAUACUCUUUCAUUCUUUUGCUUAUAGGUUACCCCAGAAUACAAAUCUUAACUAUUCUCUGCUUAAUACGGCGAGUUCUUAAGUCUCCAAGAGAUUAUUAUCAUUACUUACAAACAUAACCAGAUGCAGGGACCCUAUUCCUUAAUAUAAAAUUUUCAAGUCUUAGUUCACUCUCCAAUACUUACUUAUAAGUUACUCGAGAAGAAACUCUAAUAUCUUGUUUUCACUAGUACCUUAUUUGAUUCCCUUAAAUCGGUCCUACUAUUUCGAGAUUAGAUUCUCCGUGAAACUUAGAUGGAGCGAAUUUCAAGAAUUGCUCAACUCCUCAACCUUACUUGGUUCUUAGGUUGGUUGAUUGGUUUAGGGCUUUAGUGCUCCACUAAUCGUGCUAGGGCAUCAAUCGUCUAGUUAAUAGCAAUAACUACGCGAUUAUUUUCAUUCAUUUCUAGGGUUUUGAUUCAGUUCAGCAGUCGUUCUAUAAUCGUCCCUUGAGCUUGGGGUUGCUUAACCCCUCGCCCUCAAUCCUUUUCACUCUUUUGGUCACCAUAAAUUUAACAUAUUUAAAGGCAUGACAUAAAGUGAGUGCAUAUAAACAGAGUUUGAAAAGUGAUACCUUUAUCACGCCAAACAAAUACAAGAAUAAAAAGGGAAGAUACCAAAUAAUCGCAAAUGGGUACAACCCAAUCAUGGAUUUGAAAUCAUGAAACAGUAAAGUCAAGCAUGCCAUGCGUAACGUUUAAUUGCCUCAAAAGGUAGGAAACGUUGUGAAACAAGAUACAAAAUGCAAUGGCCUUUAAGCGAGUGCCACCCCUUCUAUCUUUGGCAAAAACUAUUAAAAUAGUUUAAAUCACUAACUUAGUGGUUGGCGGACCCAAAAGUCUUAAUUACCUCCGUAGGAUCAUUUUCAUUUCCAGCACUAGGAGUUUUAAAUCUCAUGUCCCUUAUCGAAUAUCUUGUCAUUCUCCACUUGUUCAACCAAGAUAAUGCACCCAGCCAUCGACUUAUCCAUCAUGUCUUUAAUUUCGGACACUACCCCAACAAGUCUGUCGCGCCCCACUUUUUGAGGUGUGAAAGUAGUGUGUGGGAUAUGUAUGUGAACGUGUGUGAAAGUGAAAAUAAAAGGCCGUGGGAUUGUGAAAUGCGACGGUUUGGCCAAACAAAGGGUUUUAGAUAGAAAAGGCGUCGCCACUUGGUAUAGAAUUAGGGUGUACCAAGCCACCCAAAAGUGAUUUUUGGAAAAGAAAAGUAAACAAACCCUUUUUAAAGAAUUUUUAGAUCUACGUAACCAAAGAAAAGGAUCGGGGGUCACAUUUGAUAAAGGAGAAGGCAAAGGCAAAGCCUAAGGCACUCCCUUACCCUAGCCAAAGCUAGUUGCGUGACUUAGCCCUUCUUUUCCUAAUUCUUCUACCCAAAGUAUGUGUUGCAUGUUGGAUAUGACUAAUGGAUGCGAAAAAAAAUGCAAUCCUAAAUCUAAAAUGUCUCUUAUGAGGCUUUUUGGUCCCAACCACAUGAGUUGUGAUGGCCAAUAAGGAAAACUCUCAUAGAGGUUACGGGUGAUGCAAAUGAAGAUCCAAAUAUGAGUGCAAGUGUGAAAAUGUAAGAGGUGAGCCUAGUGAUAGUCCUUUGGGCGAGAGACCUCGUGGAGCACUCCCAGUGAUACCAUACCAGAUACGGCCAGGAGGGGCCGUCGUGCGUUGGAGCCCGUCUAACCGCUUUAGACGGUGCGAGUGUCGACAUAAGUAUGCCUACCCUAACGCUCUAGUAUUUGCGGAGGACGAGGAGCGUAAGGAGUUGGUCGGAGAGAAUGCGAGACUUGAGGCCGAGGUGACCCAGCUUAGGGCGGCCAAUGAGAGACAGACUGAGCGCAUUGAGGGUCUGAAGUACGAUGUGCUUGAGGCAGAGGAUAGGGUUGAUGACCUCUGCACUCAGCUUAGGGAAGCCCAAGAGCGCGAGACCAAGCUCGCUCGCAAGGUUAAGGCUCGAGCCGCCUCGAUCCUGAACCUUUGCGCGGAUGUGGCCGAGGGCGUGAGUGACGAGGACUCAUGUGUAGGGCCUGAGACUGGGGUUGGAUCCACUCUGUCGGGUGGGUCUCAUAGCUCGUCGUCGGUCUAGGUCCUGACUUCUAGGGUUUGUUUUGGAUAGUUUUGGUUUUGUACAUAGGGCGGAUAGGGAGAAGGGCCUUAGCUAAUCAUUUUGUACGGCUAGAUUAGCUAUGUGUAUAUUUCUUUUGUUGAGGCCAUUCCCUUGGGGAUUGUCCAUGUUUUGUACUCGACUUGACUAAACUUGACUUGACUGCUUGUAUAUAUGUGUGUUGUUUGCCUUGUUUGGAAUGUAUAUAUUUGUUUGGAAAAGUUUUGGGUUACUUACAUGCAUUGUUUUAUAUUGGUUUAGUACCAUGGCCUAGAUCAAGUAAAGUUAUGGAAGGAACACGUAGUGGACGGGGACGUGGGCGCGGAAAUAGACAACCCACACCGGAUAGGGUACUGGGGAAACCGUGUGGUUGAAUUAGUGAAGUUUUCUAUUUAUUGGUGUUUUUUCUGUUUUAAUAUGAACAUAAUUGUGUGACUAUCUAUGAUGAUUGGAAAUGGUAUGUAAUGACUCUAGGAGGUGGAAAAAGUGAUUAAUUGCAACCAAUUUCUGUUUGGAAGAAAAAUUGACAAGUUAGGGUUUUUGUGAAGAACAUUCUGCCCGGUUUUAUAGCUCCUAGUUAGAGGCCGAAUUGGGCUUAGCUUAAAACAUAAACGUUGUAGGGAAUGACAUUUUAGAGGUGCCUACAAAAUUUCAGGUCAAUCGGAGUAGUGUAUAAUGAGAAAAGUCUAAAUUACCCUUGCUGUCCUGGUUUUAUCCGAAUGUAAGAAUUACGCCUGUAAUUGGUUGUUUUAGCUGGAAUUGCUUUGGAAUUGGUUGUUGAGGUCUUCUGAUGAAAUGUAGCCCUAUUUCUAAGCUUUCGAGUGGCUUUGGAAUUUCUGGAUUUGGACUUGUGUAGGCUGAGUUAUGAUGUUUACACCAGAAUGCAUUUUGUGAAUCUGUUUUUACGGUUUUGAUGUAGUAUCUUGCAUUUUUGACCUGGUUGCACUCAAAACUGGGUUGAGUGACCUUCUGUAAUGUUGUAGCCCUGUCUUUUAGCUUCGAAACGGUGUAUCGUACACCUUCAUCCGGUAAUAGUGGUGCCUUUGGUGCCAUUACCGUAAAAAGAGGUCAAAAACUGUUUUUUUUCCGGGCCAAAGCUAAUUGCAUUUCCGAAUUUUCUGGUUUCCUCUAAUGUGUGUGUAUGCUUAUGGAACCCUAUUGGGGUCAUAUUUGGCAUUGGAUUAUGACUCAUUAUCGAGUCUCAUUGUGCUUGUUUGCAUGUUUUAGGGCGUGACGGUGGUUCACGACGUUCUUGUGACGGAAGUGCAUGAAACCGCAUUUGCAAGCUUGGUGAGUGUACUACUCACUUGUGUGUUAAUAUAUGGCUUUGAUACAUGAACUUGGUUGCUUAAGUGAUAGUAUCUCACUGGGCAAUUAGCUCACACCGUUCCUUUUGUUUUCCUUACAGGAAUAUGACUCUUUUUGGAAUGAAUCUUGAUAGAUGGUUGCUGAAUGAACUAGAUGAAUAUCUCUUUUGUAUUGUAUAUGAAGUGGGACCCUAAAUGUAUCUUUUGGGCCGUUUUCACUUUAAUUUGGCAAACCAAACAUAUAGUAACUUUUGGAUUACUUUUGUAUGCCAUUGUGGCUUGUAAUUGCAAAAUGUCAAGUGUAUAUGUGUUUUAACAUUUGGUUGGGUUCUGACGGGUCGGUUACUAUUCAUGGCCGACUCCGGAUUUCAUUUUUUUUUAUUUUGGGUUAUUUUGCAAUUUUGACUUGGUUACGCACGUUUGUAAGUUCCGGAACGCAAUAAAUCGCUCGAAACUGCACCGUUAGUCCUGGCGAGAGCUGGGUAGGCAGUCCGCUAACCCCUUUGGUUCGCCUUUGGGGAAGGUGGGGCUGUCACAGGUGGUAUCAAAGCCUAGGUUUGAAUUAGCCUGGGUGUAAUAGAAAUGCUCGAUGUGAGGGUUCUUUAUUUAUGGCCUUUAAGCUUAUUUAUGGUUAAUUACUCUUUUGGUGUAGGAUGGCCGGACAGGGUGAGCCUAGUGAUAGUCCUUUAGGCGAGAGACCUCGUGGAGCACUCCCAGUGAUACCAUACCAGAUACGGCCAGGAGGGGCCGUCGUGCGUUGGAGCCCGUCUAACCGCUUUAGACGGUGCGAGUGUCGACAUAAGUAUGCCUACCCUAACGCUCUAGUGUUUGCGGUGGACGAGGAGCGUAAGGAGUUGGCCGGAGAGAAUGCGAGACUUGAGGCCGAGGUGACCCAGCUUAGGGCGGCCAAUGAGAGACAGACUGAGCGCAUUGAGGGUCUGAAGUACGAUGUGCUUGAGGCAGAGGAUAGGGUUGAUGACCUCUGCACUCAGCUUAGGGAAGCCCAAGAGCGCGAGACCAAGCUCGCUCGCAAGGUUAAGGCUCGAGCCGCCUCAAUCCUGAACCUUUGCGCGGAUGUGGCCGAGGGCGUGAGUGACGAGGACUCAUGUGUAGGGCCUGAGACUGGGGUUGGAUCCACUCUGUCGGGUGGGUCUCAUAGCUCGUCGUCGGUCUAGGUCCUGACUUCUAGGGUUUGUUUUGGUUAGUUUUGGUUUUGUACAUAGGGCGGAUAGGGAGAAGGGCCUUAGCUAAUCAUUUUGUACGGGUAGAUUAGCUAUGUGUAUAUAUCUUUUGUUGAGGCCAUUCCCUUGGGGAUUGUCCAUGUUUUGUACUCGACUUGACUAAACUUGACUUGACUGCUUGUAUAUAUGUGUGUUGUUUGCCUUGUUUGGAAUGUAUAUAUUUGUUUGGAAAAGUUUUGGGUUACUUACAUGCAUUGUUUUAUAUUGGUUUAGUACCAUGGCCUAGAUCAAGUAAAGUUAUGGAAGGAACACGUAGUGGACGGGGAUGUGGGCGCGGAAAUAGACAACCCACACCGGAUAGGGUACUGGGGAAACCGUGUGGUUGAAUUAGUGAAUUUUCUAUUUAUUGGUGUUUUUUCUGUUUUAAUAUGAACAUAAUUGUGUGACUAUCUAUGAUGAUUGGAAAUGGUAUGUAAUGACUCUAGGAGGUGGAAAAAGUGAUUAAUUGCAACCAAUUUCUGUUUGGAAGAAAAAUUGACAAGUUAGGGUUUUUGUGAAGAACAUUCUGCCCGGUUUUGUAGCUCCUAGUUAGAGGCUGAAUUGGCCUUAGCUUAAAACAUAAAUAUUGUAGGGAAUGACAUUUUAGAGGUGUCUACAAAAUUUCAGGUCAAUCGGAGUAGUGUAUAAUGAGAAAAGUCGAAAUUACCCUUGCUGUCCUGGUUUUAUCCGAAUGUAAGAAUUACGCCUGUAAUUGGUUGUUUUGGCUGGAAUUGCUUUGGAAUUGGUUGUUGAGGUCUUCUCAUGAAAUGUAACCCUAUUUCUAAGCUUUCGAGUGGCUUUGGAAUUUCUGGAUUUGGACUUGUGUAGGCUGAGUUAUGAUGUUUACACCAGAAUGCAUUUUGUGAAUCUGUUUUUACGGUUUUGAUGUAGUAUCUUGCAUUGUUGACCUGGUUGCACUCAAAACUGGGUUGAGUGACCUUCUGUAAUGUUGUAGCCCUGUAUUUUAGCUUCGAAAUGGUGUAUCGUACACCUUCAUCCGGUAAUCGUGGUGCCUUUGGUGCCAUUACCGUAAAAAGAGGUCAAAAACUGUUUUUUUUCAGGGCCAAAGCUAAUUGCAUUUCCGAAUUUUCUGGUUUCCUCUAAUGUGUGUGUAUGCUUAUGGAACCCUAUUGGGGUCAUAUUUGGCAUUGGAUUAUGACUCGUUAUCGAGUCUCAUUGUGCUUGUUUGCAUGUUUUAGGGCGUGACGGUGGUUCACGACGUUCUUGUGACGGAAGUGCAUGAAACCGCAUUUGCAAGCUUGGUGAGUGUACUACUCACUUGUGUGUUAAUAUAUGGCUUUGAUACAUGAACUUGGUUGCUUAAGUGAUAGUAUCUCACUGGGCAAUUAGCUCACACCGUUCCUUUUGUUUUCCUUACAGGAAUAUGACUCUUUUUGGAAUGAAUCUUGAUAGAUGGUUGCUGAAUGAACUAGAUGAAUAUCUCUUUUGUAUUGUAUAUGAAGUGGGACCCUAAAUGUAUCUUUAGGGCCGUUUUCACUUUAAUUUGGCAAACCAAACAUAUAGUAUGCCAUUGUGGCUUGUAAUUGCAAAAUGUCAAGUGUAUGUGUGUUUUAACGUUUGGUUGGGUUCUGACGGGUCGGUUACUAUUCAUGGCCGACUCCGGAUUUCAUUUUUUUUUUAUUUUGGGUUAUUUUACCAUUUUGACUUGGUUACGCACGUUUGUAAGUUCCGGAACGCAAUAGAUCGCUCGAAACUGCACCGUUAGUCCUGGCGAGAGCUGGGUAGGCAGUCCGCUAACCCCUUUGGUUCGCCUUUGGGGAAGGUGGGGCUGUCACAGGUGGUAUCAAAGCCUAGGUUUGAAUUAGCCUGGGUGUAAUAGAAAUGCUCGAUGUGAGGGUUCUUUAUUUAUGGCCUUUAAGCAUAUUCAUGGUUAAUUACUCUUUUGGUGUAGGAUGGCCGGACAGGGUGAGCCUAGUGAUAGUCCUUUGGGCGAGAGACCUCGUGGAGCACUCCCAGUGAUACCAUACCAGAUACGGCCAGGAGGGGCCGUCGUGCGUUGGAGCCCGUCUAACCGCUUUAGACGGUGCGAGUGUCGACAUAAGUAUGCCUACCCUAACGCUCUAGUGUUUGCGGUGGACGAGGAGCGUAAGGAGUUGGCCGGAGAGAAUGCGAGACUUGAGGCCGAGGUGACCCAGCUUAGGGCGGCCAAUGAGAGACAGACUGAGCGCAUUGAGGGUCUGAAGUACGAUGUGCUUGAGGCAGAGGAUAGGGUUGAUGACCUCUGCACUCAGCUUAGGGAAGCCCAAGAGCGCGAGACCAAGCUCGCUCGCAAGGUUAAGGCUCGAGCCGCCUCGAUCCUGAACCUUUGCGCGGAUGUGGCCGAGGGCGUGAGUGACGAGGACUCAUGUGUAGGGCCUGAGACUGGGGUUGGAUCCACUCUGUCGGGUGGGUCUCAUAGCUCGUCGUCGGUCUAGGUCCUGACUUCUAGGGUUUGUUUUGGAUAGUUUUGGUUUUGUACAUAGGGCGGAUAGGGAGAAGGGCCUUAGCUAAUCAUUUUGUACGGCUAGAUUAGCUAUGUGUAUAUUUCUUUUGUUGAGGCCAUUCCCUUGGGGAUUGUCCAUGUUUUGUACUCGACUUGACUAAACUUGACUUGACUGCUUGUAUAUAUGUGUGUUGUUUGCCUUGUUUGGAAUGUAUACAUUUGUUUGGAAAAGUUUUGGGUUACUUACAUGCAUUGUUUUAUAUUGGUUUAGUACCAUGGCCUAGAUCAAGUAAAGUUAUGGAAGGAACACGUAGUGGACGGGGACGUGGGCGCGGAAAUAGACAACCCACACCGGAUAGGGGUACUGGGGAAACCGUGUGGUUGAAUUAGUGAAGUUUUCUAUUUAUUGGUGUUUUUUCUGUUUUAAUAGGAACAUAAUUGUAUGACUAUCUAUGAUGAUUGUAAAUGGUAUGUAAUGACUCUAGGAGGUGGAAAAAGUGAUUAAUUGCAACCAAUUUCUGUUUGGAAGAAAAAUUGACAAGUUAGGGUUUUUGUGAAGAACAUUCUGCCCGGUUUUGUAGCUCCUAGUUAGAGGCCGAAUUGGCCUUAGCUUAAAACAUAAAUGUUGUAGGGAAUGACAUUUUAGAGGUGCCUACAAAAUUUCAGGUCAAUCGGAGUAGUGUAUAAUGAUAAAAGUCGAAAUUACCCUUGCUGUCCUGGUUUUAUCCGAAUGUAAGAAUUACGCCUGUAAUUGGUUGUUUUGGCUGGAAUUGCUUUGGAAUUGGUUGUUGCGGUCUUCUCAUGAAAUGUAACCCUAUUUCUAAGCUUUCGAGUGGCUUUGGAAUUUCUGGAUUUGGACUUGUGUAGGCUGAGUUAUGAUGUUUACACCAGAAUGCAUUUUGUGAAUCUGUUUUUACGGUUUUGAUGUAGUAUCUUGCAUUUUUGACCUGGUUGCACUCAAAACUGGGUUGAGUGACCUUCUGUAAUGUUGUAGCCCUGUAUUUUAGCUUCGAAACGGUGUAUCGUACACCUUCAUCCGGUAAUCGUGGUGCCUUUGGUGCCAUUACCGUAAAAAGAGGUCAAAAACUGUUUUUUUUCAGGGCCAAAGCUAAUUGCAUUUCCGAAUUUUCUGGUUUCCUCUAAUGUGUGUGUAUGCUUAUGGAACCCUAUUGGGGUCAUAUUUGGCAUUGGAUUAUGACUCUUUAUCGAGUCUCAUUGUGCUUGUUUGCAUGUUUUUGGGCGUCACGGUGGUUCACGACGUUCUUGUGACGGAAGUGCAUGAAACCGCAUUUGCAAGCUUGGUGAGUGUACUACUCACUUGUGUGUUAAUAUAUGGCUUUGAUACAUGAACUUGGUUGCUUAAGUGAUAGUAUCUCACUGGGCAAUUAGCUCACACCGUUCCUUUUGUUUUCCUUACAGGAAUAUGACUCUUUUUGGAAUGAAUCUUGAUAGAUGGUUGCUGAAUGAACUAGAUGAAUAUCUCUUUUGUAUUGUAUAUGAAGUGGGACCCUAAAUGUAUCUUUAGGGCCGUUUUCACUUUAAUUUGGCAAACCAAACAUAUAGUAACUUUUGGAUUACUUUUGUAUGCCAUUGUGGCUUGUAAUUGCAAAAUGUCAAGUGUAUAUGUGUUUUAACGUUUGGUUGGGUUCUGGCGGGUCGGUUACUAUUCAUGGCCGACUCCGGAUUUCAUUUUUUUUUUAUUUUGGGUUAUUUUGCCAUUUUGACUUGGUUACGCACGUUUGUAAGUUCCGGAACGCAAUAGAUCGCUCGAAACUGCACCGUUAGUCCUGGCGAGAGCUGGGUAGGCAGUCCGCUAACCCCUUUGGUUCGCCUUUGGGGAAGGUGGGGCUGUCACAGGUGGUAUCAAAGCCUAGGUUUGAAUUAGCCUGGGUGUAAUAGAAAUGCUUGAUUUGAGGGUUCUUUAUUUAUGGCCUUUAAGCUUAUUUAUGGUUAAUUACUCUUUUGUGUAGGAUGGCCGGACAGGGUGAUGUAGACACCAAAUUUUUGGUGUUUUAUUAUUUAUUUAUUUAUUUGCUAUUCGUUUUAUUUGUUCUAUUUUAUUUGUCACAUUAGUUUUAUUCACUUUUAGUGUUAGUUAUUUUAGCCAUUUUAGCAUAGAAUUAAAAGAAAAAUCAUGAAAAAGGAAAAGUAGAAAUUUUGUUUUGGCUUUAUUUAUCUAUUUUAGUCAUUUCUACUUAAUUUAUCUUCUAUUUGGUUCAUUUGGAAAAAAGAGAAAAUGAGAAAAAUGAAAAAAAAUGAAAAAAGGAAAAUGAGAAAAGUUGCAUUUUUGUUUAUUUAUUUUUAUUUUUAUCCAACGUUAAUUAAGUUGUUUUUGUUAUUAUUAUUAUUAUUAUUUUUAAUUAAUUAGUUGUCAAGUCAAAAAAAAAAAAAAAAGAGAGAAAAUGUCGCGGCAUGCAAAGCUACAAUUUUUGGCAGUUUGCAAGGGCAUCACCUAUGCUCAUCGAAGGGCUGGAAGGCUAGGGCAGAAUUGAACCUUCCAUCCUCACCCUUGAGGUGAGGGUUGGCCGGGUAUAAAAAGAGAAAGGGGAGAAAGCCGCAAGGGGGAGGAUUUUUCGAGAGGAGGAUAUUAAAGUGACGGCGGACGUUUGAAAGGAGAGAUCAUCAGAGAGAUUGAGAGUGGUGGGGGCUGAGUGAAAAGCUGGGAUUGGAGAAGGGGAGGAAAUAGAAGGAACGGCUAAAAGAAAAACUGAGAGCUGAGAGAUUGAGAGUGGGGACAGCGAGAGAAAAACUGAAAGAGAGAGCUGGGGUUAGGAGUGAUAGGAAGAAAAAGGGCUUAGAAGAUCCAAGAAAACGAGAGAGGGAAUCGGGGAGGCAAAGGGGACGGCUGAGAAGAAAAAUCUGGAGCGGGUAAGAGGGAAGAAAGGAUACGGCGGAGAGCAAGGAGGAACUGCCAACCCUCACGCCAUUUAGCAGCUGCGGACCUUCAUCAAGAAAAGCUCGCGUACCGUAAGUGGUUCUUCUUUCCUUUAUUUCAGUAUCUUGAAGCUUUCAAGCAUGAAUUUGUACGUGGGUUAUUAUGUGUAUUCUGAAUAUGUGUGAUGGAAAACCUAUGACUCCAAAAAGCUGUUAACUUUCAUGUUUUUCUUUCCUCCGUAAGCAGCAUGCCCAUGAUCCGUGAGUUGCAAAUUCAUUCCUAGUGUCUUGUUUUUUUUACGAUUUGGGUUUAGGAAGAUUAACAAGGGUCUGCCGCAACAGGCCUUGACUUUGUUUUGUUUUGUUGCAGCGGUUUUUAAGAAGACAACCUCUUCGGUCUGCUGAAUUUUUUCUGGAGUAGAUUAAAUUGUCUCUUGGGUGUUUGUUUGUUGUUAGAUAGUAUCCCAUGUGUGUUAGCUACCAUUGUUUAAAUAGCAAAGUGUGGAGUAUUUUUGGAUUGCCACAAGUAGCUAAAAGCUGUUGCAGCCGUGACUUUCCCCCCUGCUUGAUUAAGUUUUGCUCUGUUGGGAUUUGGAUACUAUGACAGCAGACCGUAACCUGCCAUUUGCUGCUUUGCCUGUCACUGCAUCUUGAUACAUUAGCCGAAGUGUGGUGUUGUCUUUUCUACGUUUUUUUUGGUUCCUUCACUGCUAAAACAGAUAUCUGAAAAUAUGUGUGCAUUCGCUGAAUAAAUGGUUGGGUUUAAUCGAAUGUUUUGGCAUUUUAACUUACACGAGCUUUGUAGCUGCGAAAUCUCUUAGCAAAACAAAAAGAAGUUGCAUUUUUCUGUUCUGUUUUUCUGUCUCGUGGUUGCUCCCCGAGUCUUUGCACCUAAGUUGCAUGUUUAAUUUGUGUUAAGGACAAGGAAUGGAAUGAUUCAGUGCUGGUUUGGGGUGUUUGAAGUCUAAAAAACACUUGCAUCGCAUUCCCUGCUUGCUGGAAAAUAAACCAUCAGGUCACUGAGCCAUUUUGCAUGCAUUUUUCCAGAUUUCUGCAUUAGUUCUUUCCAUGCCUGAGUUCCCUCCCAUGUCCUUGCUUGAUUGGGAUAUCCAAUUCAUGUCUUGCUUGUUUGUUUACUUGGGUUAAUGCAUAUGCUUGGCAUGAAUCUGGUUGGUCGAAAGUUUCUUGAAGUUGCGGCAAUAUUGCAGUCUAGAAAAUGCAGAAAUGUUUGUUGCAGAAAUGUUUUGAAAGCUUGGCAUGAAGUUGCUUGAGUUGUUCAGAUUUGCAUCUACAAGUUUCAUGAUGCAAAGUGAGAGGAUUGUGUGAUUGUUUGCUUGGAUUUAAUUGUGUUUGAAAGCUGUUUUUUUGGUGAAGUGCUGAUUGCAGAAGCCUUGUCUAAAUAAAAUUGCAGAAGCUUAAACCAUUACGUAUGCAUGCAUGAAAGCUUUCAAAAAUUACACUUUGGCCCCCCAAGUCUCCCCUUGUCCUACUAUGGCCCAAUCAAUUGAAUGAUUUCCUCAAUUUGGUCCUUGGUAGCUUUUAAUUUUACAACUUCAUUGCUUGUUUGUUUCAAUUGACUACCAUGCUUUGUUUCAAUUGCACUUAAUUCAUGACUUUAGGGGCUUUAUGACCAAGUGAGCUUGUGUUUGCCUAUUUUCUUUAAUUUUCCCAAAUAAAUUGGUACCUUGACCAUUUCUUUUAUUUUGGAGGAUAAAUAAGUGAUUUCACUCCAUUUAGGGCAUCAACUCAAGGGAGGUAUAAUUUCUUUUAUCUUUUUGUCUCUCCCCUAUGUGAUUCUACGUGUUAUGUGAAUAUGCAUGUCUACUUCGCUUUCCUUGCCUUUCCUUAAUUCCUUGCAUUUAUUUCAUUUACUUUUGCUUUUAUUUAAGUUAUUCAUUGUGGGGUAUGUGUACACCUCUUGGCUUGUAAUAGAUAGGGCUUGGCGAGCAAUUCGGUCCAUUUCCCCUUCCCCUUUUGUUGCCUUUCUUUAAUUCCUUUCAUUUAUUUCAUUCACUUUUGCUUUUUAUUUAAGUUAUUCAUUAUGGGGUAUGUGUACACCUCUUGGCUUGUAAUAGAUAGGGCUCGGAGAGCAUCUGGUCCAUUUCCCCCUCCCCUUGGUUGCUUGCUUUUGUUGCUACAUGUUUAAGUGCUUUAUUAGGCUCUUGCAUCUAGUCGAGCAUGCUAAGUGUUAUGUGCUACGUGUUUAUAAGUGAUUUGCAUGUCUACUCGUUUUUUUAUAGUGUGGCUGAAUGGAAUGGAUGAAUGUACGUCACCACACUAGUCCAACGCUAGUUGUGGCUUCUUUUGUCGUUUCCACUAGUCUAGUUGUGGAAUUCAUAGAAAGGGCUAGUCCAACGCUAGACCCAAUAGGAUUUUUCCUUUGUUUUUCAUUAAUGCAUUAUUUGCCUGUUCACUACAUAUCAUGCAUUUUUCCUUAGUUUUAUCAUCUGGCAUGCUCCUCGAUUCCCCUUUCCCCUCACUUUAGGUCUUGCAUCUCAUGCUAGUUAGGGUACAUUUGCCUGAAGAGUCCCCUUAAAUAUGGGAUAUAGACGAGUGUGGCUUUUUCUAAGCCUUAGCACGCUUAUAUUCCCUCUAUCAAAGGAAAAAUCAAGUCACAAAGUUAAGAGUCCCCGUACCCGUCUUGAUGCAUUCCUAUAGGAUUCAUGCAUUUCAUUCAUUCACUAUCACUUACUUUAUAUUCCAUUCCUCUUUCUACCUUCUCACUUCACACUACUUUCAUUUUACACGUUUUAUUCAACUACUUACACUCUAUACCAUAUCACUCGCACACAUGCACCUUAUGGCAUUUUUCACCUUAUUAUUCUUUACUUACCUUACCUUGUAAAGACAUUUGCACACCUCCACUUAUAUCUUAUUACUUUUAUCAUUUUUCUCACUUCACACAAACUCACACUUUCACAUGGCAUGCAUUCCACUCAUUUUUACGUCAUUUAGGAUUACGUGUGACCUCUCCAAAGGAUCAUUAUUGGGCUUCACAAUUAAUGUGAUUGGCACCACUCAACCUUUGAAGAGAAAUUUCCCCCAUGUCCCCCUAGGUCUAGGUUUUUUGCAUUCAUAUAGACAUAUCCAACACGCGAUACAUACCUUGGGUAGAAAAUUUAGGGAAAAUUGGUUUAAGUCACGCAACUAGCCUUGGCUAGGUCGAAGGGGUGCCUUGGAUUUUUAUCCUUGCCUUCCCCUUCGUCAAAUGUGACCCCCGAUCCCUCUUUUGGUUACGUAGACCCAAAAGUUCUCUAAAAGGGUUUAUUUACUUUUCAAAAACAAAAAUCAUUUUUGGGUGACUUGGUACACCCUAACUCUAUACCAAGUGGCGACUCCAUUUUUGAUACAAAAAACCCUUUUUGAACUUUAUAUGGCCAAACCGUCGCAUUAUUAAGUCCCAUGGCCUUUAUUUUCAUUUUGCACACGUUCACACACACUACACACUCACAUCUCACACCACACAUCAACACUAUCACAUUCGAAAAGUGGGGCGCGACAGUUGGCGACUCCACUGGGGACUUCCUAAGUGGGUCCAGGCAUUUGACUUAGCCAUUCGUUUCCCUUUUCUACCCUUUUUAUGUAUAGCAUGUGGAUAUUAGGGUUGCAUUUUCCCUUUUUAGGACUUUUUGUCUCACGUACGUCUCAAACUACUCCCUCGCUCACGAAUGUAUGAUUGGUUGAUUGGAUGUAUGUUUACUUGUUUAUCUCGCGCUUGCAUUGCAUUUGGGGGGGGUGUGUGUCACCUUUAGAGCCUCACGUUGGUUCUCAACCCUUUCCCUCAAAAUAGGGAACACUUCAUACGUGCACGUUUACUUACUGUUAUCCCAUUUUAUUUUAUUUUUCGUGGGCUCUUUCCCACACCGCCUUGUAGGACUAGGAAUGAUUUCUCUGGGUAUGUGGAUGGUGUGCCUUGCGCCCAUAGCAAUACCUAGGGGAUCGCUCGAGCCACCGACCGAGGGUCUUGGGAUUGACGACCCAUUCCCUUAGGUCUGAAGGCUUGGGGACCUUUUAAGCCUUAUCGAGUCUAGUCACAUUAGUGAACCCCAACCUCAUGCAUCCAUGUUAGCAUUUCCCUAGGAUAGAGUCAGCCUCACCCUCUUUUAAGCAUAUUAGGCACGAGGGAAGGGGUUCCACCCCUUUUACUUGUUUUAUUGUACCUCUUUUCUUAAUUGCUCCCAAUGUGUUAUGUGUACUAUCAAUUGCACUAACCAUUUCUUUGUUUUCUUGGCCUGCAUUCAUGUGCCGUAGCAAUAAGAGGCCUCUUUGGCACUCUUUUAGUGACUUACCCACUAGAUAACUCACAUGUUUAAAUUUCAGUUAUUGCACUUAAUUUUCAAUAAGUACAUUUCAUUUUAGACCUUUUCCCCCCGAUGCAUUAUUUAUGUCCUUUAGGCCAUAAUUGUCACAUAUUUACAUCGCUUUAAUAACUGGCAUCAUGCAUAAACCAUAGAAAGGGAAUGCCACAUAGGGGAUCCCGUGUUUAGGAAUAAACCACCUUGUGUCUCGGAUACUUAAUCCAGUGAGACUUGCACGUUUACAUUUUGUACCAUCCAAAGGGGUAGUGCACAAGGUAAGGUAGGAUCCGAUCAUUUUCGUAGAGUGAUCUUUGGAAUAUGAGCAUCUAAUAAUCACUUUUUGGCCAUUUUAUCAAAAAUUGGUAAAAAUCCCUUGCGUGAAGGACAUUAAUUUGAAGAAAUUCACAAAUGAUUCCUCCUAUUGAGACGAUAAAUAAAUUGAGGCCAAAAUUUGAUUUUUAGAAGCUCAUAGACUAAUGCAUCUCAAUAAUUUUGAAAUCACCAAUGGCCGGACAAUUCAACCAAUCCAUUUUUGCCAAUUCAUUCAAUAAAUCAUCAAUUCAUUUGACCAAUUUACCCUUUUCAGGGUCACCUGGUCGAUUUUGAAUAAAUCGUUAAUUCAUUUGACCGAUUUACCCUUUUAGGGGCAUUCGGCCGAUUUUUGAAUAGAUCGUCAAUUCAUUUGACCAAUUUACCCCUUUUAGGGUCAUCCGGUCGAUUUUGAAUAAAUCGUCAAUUCAUUUGACCAUUUUACCCUUUUUAGGAUCAUUCAAUUUCAUUCAUUUGGCCAAUGUACCCAUUUUUAGGGCAGCCGAGCCGAUUUUGAAUAAAUCAAGUUUCGUUCAAUCUAUUUGAUCAAUUUACCCUUUUAGGGUGAUCUGAUUAAUUUUGGAUAAAUUAAAUUCCAUUCAAUUCAUUUGACCUAAUCCGGUCGAUUUUUAAUAAAUUGUCAAUUUCAUUUGACCAAUUAGGAUUUCAAUGUCGAAUUUCAAAAUGGAAAACCUGGUCGAUUUUGAGAAAAACAUCCAUUGCAUCCAGCCAUUUGAUCAGUUGGAGUUUUGACCCGUGCUUCACUGAGAAAAGUUGUCAAAACGAAUUCCAAUCUCUUCGAUAGGAAGUUCGUCAAGAUCAAACCCGUGCGUAUUUGCUAGUUCUUGUAUCGAUCAAAAGUGAUCAAUCCCUUCGGACGAGGUCCUCAUUUUGACAAACGUCUCUUCUCAUUCCAAUGGGCCAAAUUUUUCAAAUCAUUUUUCACUCAAUCAAGUGAUCGGAUUCAUCAGGUAUUGUAUAGUGCCUGCUCUGGAGGAUUGCAUUCUCAUUCUAGGCCUACCCUUGGCACAAAAAGGGUCCCCCAUAGGACAUGCAUACCGAUUUUUUAUUCUUACUUACUGACUCUGGGUAUUUUCCUUUUUGUUUUUCCCCUCCCCUGCAUUCAUAAAAAUAUUUCAAUAAGGUGAAAAUAUCUUGUCAUAUCUAAUAACAAUGUGAAUUUGAAAAUUCAUUUGAAAGCGCUCGUGCAAAGCAUCUAAGGGAUUUCAUUGAAAAAGGGGACAUUAAGAGAGAAAAUGUGUAUACAUGUGCAAAGAAAUUUUGUAGAAUUUUUCUCGUAUGUAUUGCUUUUAAAUUUUUCAAACAUCGGCAAUAAUGAAGCUUUUAUUCAGCCAAUUAUUUGUUUGUAUAAUACUCGUGUACAUUUCAUUUUUUUUAUUGAGCUCAUUAAGAGAUUUCAUGAUGAAUUGUAAGAAAUAAGACCGAAUUGAGAGUUUUUCAACCUCCAGCCUGAAAAUUCGCAAGUGUAUGCUUUUUUAAAAUCCUUGUGUACACUAGAUUGCUGAUCCGAGCUACACAAUAAGAGUAUUCAAAAAUUAAAAAGGGUCACUCAAAAGGCCCAAUGAGAUACCUUUCUCCUUCACUUAAUCCCAAAAUAAAGUCAGUCACAUUGAUUGACAAAUUGGGGCAACUUUUGCUUGAAAAUGUUCAAGGUGUCUAAUCUAGAUUCAAUUCACAUCUAAGUGAAAGCAAAAAUGUGCAUUAUUCUUGUUUGUUUUUAAAAAUUUGGAAUGAUACUUCAAGCAUUCUUUUCUCCACCUAUACACAUUUUAUCAUUUGCUCUCCCAUUUGAGCCUUUAAAAGAAUAAUUUCGUUUCAAAUAAGUGCCUAAUGAUCAUUACCCUAUAUUGGGAAGAUUUUCAAAAGGGAAUGAUUUCUCAACGAGCAAUUUGUUUACUUGGUUGUCAUGAGGCGUAAGAAUGAUGCUUUGGCCGUCGUUUCUACAACCUAAACACUGAUCAUCCCUUGCAUCCUCAUUUGAGCUAAAAUUGGUGGUUCUUUUCGAGUGCACAUAUGAUCGCACCCCACUUUGGGGAGGGAGAUUGGAGAAUUUUCCAAAAAAGGGAAAAGCAAAAAUGCUAGAAUAAAGAGAACCGCAAUUUGGGGAAAUUUGAUUCCACUUGGGUUUCAAUUUUGAAAGAAAAGAAAAAGAAAGAGAUUUUGUCCACACGGAUCACUUAUGUCUCAUAGAUACGAAUGAGCAAGGGUCUUCCUCAGUCAAUUAAUUCAGAUACAUGCACGAAAUUUCGCAUUAAUGAAAGUUUCCUUUCAGAGUUAUUGUAAGGAACGGAAUAAAGGUCAGGCCCUCUUCUUUUCCGAUCAAGCAUCUAUCCCUAGUUAUCCUUUUUGAGCCUUCAGAAUGAAAUACUUCGUUUGGCAACCCCUGAGAAUCGCAAACCCCACACUGGGGCAAGUAGAGUUGAAAAAGGAAAAUUUCAAGAAGGGGAAAAAGUGAAAAAGCCACGAAAUCAAAAGCAAAAGAAGAAAAGAGAACCUCAGUUCAAAAAUAAACUGAGGCAAAUUUUGUGAAAGUUCAAAAGAAUGGCAAAAGGCCGAAAAAUCAAAGAAAAUGAAAGUGAAAAGCCUCAAGUGAGCAUAAACUGGGGCAAAUCCUGAUUUAACCCUAAAAUAGGGUUGACGCAACAAUGCGAUCUCAGAUUUUUCAAACCCCUUUUGAAAUUCGCUUUCAAGCCUUAACUUUUCUAAGCACUCCACCUGACCCCAUCACAAAAGCCGAAAGUCCUGACUUCUGUUCUUUGCAAUGGCCCUGUCAAGGAAAUUUCUGAUGCCGGAAGUUUUAGCUGUAUUUCUGAAUUGUUUGAGUAUGGGGUUGGCGCUACUCACCAUGUGAAAAUCCACCAAGAAAAGAAAAGGGAAAAGAGAGCGAAUGCAAAAGAAAAAUGCAAAAAGAUUUGAUGCUGAAAGUCUCUGGUGAAUGUUGAGAAAAUGCAAACAAAUUCUGAGAUCUUUGAGUUCAAAAUAAGGGCAAUAUUGAAAAAUGCGAUCUUCGGUGCAAUGUCCUUGAAAAUUAUUUCUUUAACUAUCGUCUUCAAGCCACAUUACAAGCUAAUAAAGUCCAUCGUUGACUUAUUCCUUCAUGACAACCCAAAGUGAGGAUUAUGCUCAUAAAAAUCCAUCGAUCACUCAUGAUCAUAAGGGUAUAACCAGAUUUCACAUGUUUAGCUAUCGUUUCUACCCAAAAUUUUGCAAGCCCAUGAAGCUUAUACGUUGACUAAGUUUUCUUAAGAAAUAAGGGUGACAAACUCUUUGUUUUCACUAAGAUGUGGUAUUGAAGGGAUUACAUACCAUCUGAGCACAUGAAUAAGACAAAUCUUGACUUCCCAUUUCCAAAUCAGAAAUAACGCCCAUUACCCAAAGCUUCGAUGCUAAGGUAAGGAAGAAAUCUCUUGUAAUUUGGCAUUAUUUUGAGGAAUUCAUCAUGAAAUUUUCUGUAUGGUUUUAAGCAAGACGUUCAGUUUCUUACUUUGUUCAAGCAAAUGGAAAGGCAUCCAACCCAAUUUUUUGCAAUCAAAUGGGCCCAUACUGGGGCAAAAUUUUUAUUUGCAAGUCUUCACAAAAUAAGCCCACACUGGGGCAAAUUUUUAUAGUCCAUUUGAGAAUUUCGUCAAAGACUCAAGCAAGACUUUCAAAUCAAUCACGCUACCUUUUUCUUGACAAUUUGAGUGCAUGUAAGCCCCCUGUGCAGGUAUUCACAGUUGAAGUCGACGAAAAGCUUCUGAGUUGUGGAAGGCCGAUGCUGAAGAAAGAGAAGAAAGAAGGGAAAAGGGCCCUACACUGGGGCAAAUUAUUUUUGGAAAAAGAUUCUCUCGGAAAAUCAGAAAAAUUCAAAAGUCAAAAGUCAAAAAUCAAGUUCAAAUUCUUGUCUCUUGGAAAAUCAAAUUCAAUUUUUUGACCAAUUGGAUGGCAGGACUGGGUCUUAUCCCACUGACCAUUCACAAACAUUCCAAAGAUCAUGUUGGGCCUGGAUUUUGGGCCGCCAACAUUUCAAAGAUCCUGUUGGGCCUGAGCUUUGUGCCGCCAACAUUCUAAAGAUCACGUUGGGCCUGGACUUGGUGCCGCCAACAUCACUUUAUCACGUUGGGCUUGGUUUUCGUGCCACCAACUUCACUUUAUCACGUUGGGCUUGGUUUUCGUGCCACCAACUUCACUUUAUCACGUUGGGCCUGGAUUUCGUGCCGCCAACAUCUCAAAGACCAUGUUGGGCCUGGACUUGGUGCCGCCAACAUCUCAAAGGUCUCGUUGGGCCUGGACUUCGUGCCGCCAACAUCAUCAAGUUGGGCCUGGAUUUCGUGCCGCCAACAUUCUCAAAAAUCUCGUUGGGCCUGGAUUCGGUGCCGCCAACAUCCCAAAGAUCAAGUUGGGCCUGGACUCGGUGCCGCCAACAUCUCAAAAAACUCGUUGGGCCUGGACUUCGUACCGCCAACAUCACUUUAUCACGUUGGGCCUGGAUUUCGUGUCGCCAACAUUCACAAGAUCCCGUGGGUCUAUCCCAAUUUUACAUUUCUGUCCGGGUCUAUCCCGUGGGUCUAUCCCAAUUUUAAGUUUCUGUCCGAGUCUAUCCCGUGGGUCUAUCCCAAUUUUAAAUUUUUGUCCGGGUCUAUCCCGUGGGUCUAUCCCAAUUUUACAUUUCUGUUCGGGUCUAUCCCGUGGGUCUAUCCCAAUUUUACAUUUCUGUCCGGGUCUAUCCCGUGGGUCUAUCCCAUUUAAAUUUCUGUCCGGGUCUAUCCCGUGGGUCUAUCCCAAUUUUACAUUUCUGUCCGGGUCUAUCCCGUGGGUCUAUCCCAAUUUUAAAUUCUUGUUCGGGUCAGUCCCGUUUACAUUCCUGUUCGGGUCAGUCCCGUUUCAAUUCCUGUUCGGGUCAGUCCCGUUUAAAUUCUGUUCGGGUCAGUCCCGUUUAAAUUUCCUGUCAGGGGUCAGUCCCCAUCGUUUGAGUAAUUCGCAACCGAAUAACACAGGUAAGUAUUUGGUGUCUACUUCUUUGUCUCAAGUUUUUUCAAAACUCAGACAAAGAGGGGCAAACUGUAGACACCAAAUUUUUGGUGUUUUAUUAUUUAUUUAUUUAUUUGCUAUUCGUUUUAUUUGUUCUAUUUUAUUUGUCACAUUAGUUUUAUUCACUUUUAGUGUUAGUUAUUUUAGCCAUUUUAGCAUAGAAUUAAAAGAAAAAUCAUGAAAAAGGAAAAGUAGAAAUUUUGUUUUGGCUUUAUUUAUCUAUUUUAGUCAUUUCUACUUAAUUUAUCUUCUAUUUGGUUCAUUUGGAAAAAAGAGAAAAUGUGAAAAAUGAGAAAAAAUGAAAAAAGGAAAAUGAGAAAAGUUGCAUUUUUGUUUUUUUAUUUUUAUUUUUAUCCAACGUUAAUUAAGUUGUUUUUGUUAUUAUUAUUAUUAUUAUUUUUAAUUAAUUAGUUGUCAAGUCAAAAAAAAAAAAAAAAGAGAGAAAAUGUCGCGGCAUGCAAAGCUACAAUUUUUGGCAGUUUGCAAGGGCAUCACCUAUGCUCAUCGAAGGGCUGGAAGGCUAGGGCAGAAUUGAACCUUCCAUCCUCACCCUUGAGGUGAGGGUUGGCCGGGUAUAAAAAGAGAAAGGGGAGAAAGCCGCAAGGGGGAGGAUUUUUCGAGAGGAGGAUAUUAAAGUGACGGCGGACGUUUGAAAGGAGAGAUCAUCAGAGAGAUUGAGAGUGGUGGGGGCUGAGUGAAAAGCUGGGAUUGGAGAAGGGGAGGAAAUAGAAGGAACGGCUAAAAGAAAAACUGAGAGCUGAGAGAUUGAGAGUGGGGACAGCGAGAGAAAAACUGAAAGAGAGAGCUGGGGUUAGGAGUGAUAGGAAGAAAAAGGGCUUAGAAGAUCCAAGAAAACGAGAGAGGGAAUCGGGGAGGCAAAGGGGACGGCUGAGAAGAAAAAUCUGGAGCGGGUAAGAGGGAAGAAAGGAUACGGCGGAGAGCAAGGAGGAACUGCCAACCCUCACGCCAUUUAGCAGCUGCGGACCUUCAUCAAGAAAAGCUCGCGUACCGUAAGUGGUUCUUCUUUCCUUUAUUUCAGUAUCUUGAAGCUUUCAAGCAUGAAUUUGUACGUGGGUUAUUAUGUGUAUUCUGAAUAUGUGUGAUGGAAAACCUAUGACUCCAAAAAGCUGUUAACUUUCAUGUUUUUCUUUCCUCCGUAAGCAGCAUGCCCAUGAUCCGUGAGUUGCAAAUUCAUUCCUAGUGUCUUGUUUUUUUUACGAUUUGGGUUUAGGAAGAUUAACAAGGGUCUGCCGCAACAGGCCUUGACUUUGUUUUGUUUUGUUGCAGCGGUUUUUAAGAAGACAACCUCUUCGGUCUGCUGAAUUUUUUCUGGAGUAGAUUAAAUUGUCUCUUGGGUGUUUGUUUGUUGUUAGAUAGUAUCCCAUGUGUGUUAGCUACCAUUGUUUAAAUAGCAAAGUGUGGAGUAUUUUUGGAUUGCCACAAGUAGCUAAAAGCUGUUGCAGCCGUGACUUUCCCCCCUGCUUGAUUAAGUUUUGCUCUGUUGGGAUUUGGAUACUAUGACAGCAGACCGUAACCUGCCAUUUGCUGCUUUGCCUGUCACUGCAUCUUGAUACAUUAGCCGAAGUGUGGUGUUGUCUUUUCUACGUUUUUUUUGGUUCCUUCACUGCUAAAACAGAUAUCUGAAAAUAUGUGUGCAUUCGCUGAAUAAAUGGUUGGGUUUAAUCGAAUGUUUUGGCAUUUUAACUUACACGAGCUUUGUAGCUGCGAAAUCUCUUAGCAAAACAAAAAGAAGUUGCAUUUUUCUGUUCUGUUUUUCUGUCUCGUGGUUGCUCCCCGAGUCUUUGCACCUAAGUUGCAUGUUUAAUUUGUGUUAAGGACAAGGAAUGGAAUGAUUCAGUGCUGGUUUGGGGUGUUUGAAGUCUAAAAAACACUUGCAUCGCAUUCCCUGCUUGCUGGAAAAUAAACCAUCAGGUCACUGAGCCAUUUUGCAUGCAUUUUUCCAGAUUUCUGCAUUAGUUCUUUCCAUGCCUGAGUUCCCUCCCAUGUCCUUGCUUGAUUGGGAUAUCCAAUUCAUGUCUUGCUUGUUUGUUUACUUGGGUUAAUGCAUAUGCUUGGCAUGAAUCUGGUUGGUCGAAAGUUUCUUGAAGUUGCGGCAAUAUUGCAGUCUAGAAAAUGCAGAAAUGUUUGUUGCAGAAAUGUUUUGAAAGCUUGGCAUGAAGUUGCUUGAGUUGUUCAGAUUUGCAUCUACAAGUUUCAUGAUGCAAAGUGAGAGGAUUGUGUGAUUGUUUGCUUGGAUUUAAUUGUGUUUGAAAGCUGUUUUUUUGGUGAAGUGCUGAUUGCAGAAGCCUUGUCUAAAUAAAAUUGCAGAAGCUUAAACCAUUACGUAUGCAUGCAUGAAAGCUUUCAAAAAUUACACUUUGGCCCCCCAAGUCUCCCCUUGUCCUACUAUGGCCCAAUCAAUUGAAUGAUUUCCUCAAUUUGGUCCUUGGUAGCUUUUAAUUUUACAACUUCAUUGCUUGUUUGUUUCAAUUGACUACCAUGCUUUGUUUCAAUUGCACUUAAUUCAUGACUUUAGGGGCUUUAUGACCAAGUGAGCUUGUGUUUGCCUAUUUUCUUUAAUUUUCCCAAAUAAAUUGGUACCUUGACCAUUUCUUUUAUUUUGGAGGAUAAAUAAGUGAUUUCACUCCAUUUAGGGCAUCAACUCAAGGGAGGUAUAAUUUCUUUUAUCUUUUUGUCUCUCCCCUAUGUGAUUCUACGUGUUAUGUGAAUAUGCAUGUCUACUUCGCUUUCCUUGCCUUUCCUUAAUUCCUUGCAUUUAUUUCAUUUACUUUUGCUUUUAUUUAAGUUAUUCAUUGUGGGGUAUGUGUACACCUCUUGGCUUGUAAUAGAUAGGGCUUGGCGAGCAAUUCGGUCCAUUUCCCCUUCCCCUUUUGUUGCCUUUCUUUAAUUCCUUUCAUUUAUUUCAUUCACUUUUGCUUUUUAUUUAAGUUAUUCAUUAUGGGGUAUGUGUACACCUCUUGGCUUGUAAUAGAUAGGGCUCGGAGAGCAUCUGGUCCAUUUCCCCCUCCCCUUGGUUGCUUGCUUUUGUUGCUACAUGUUUAAGUGCUUUAUUAGGCUCUUGCAUCUAGUCGAGCAUGCUAAGUGUUAUGUGCUACGUGUUUAUAAGUGAUUUGCAUGUCUACUCGUUUUUUUAUAGUGUGGCUGAAUGGAAUGGAUGAAUGUACGUCACCACACUAGUCCAACGCUAGUUGUGGCUUCUUUUGUCGUUUCCACUAGUCUAGUUGUGGAAUUCAUAGAAAGGGCUAGUCCAACGCUAGACCCAAUAGGAUUUUUCCUUUGUUUUUCAUUAAUGCAUUAUUUGCCUGUUCACUACAUAUCAUGCAUUUUUCCUUAGUUUUAUCAUCUGGCAUGCUCCUCGAUUCCCCUUUCCCCUCACUUUAGGUCUUGCAUCUCAUGCUAGUUAGGGUACAUUUGCCUGAAGAGUCCCCUUAAAUAUGGGAUAUAGACGAGUGUGGCUUUUUCUAAGCCUUAGCACGCUUAUAUUCCCUCUAUCAAAGGAAAAAUCAAGUCACAAAGUUAAGAGUCCCCGUACCCGUCUUGAUGCAUUCCUAUAGGAUUCAUGCAUUUCAUUCAUUCACUAUCACUUACUUUAUAUUCCAUUCCUCUUUCUACCUUCUCACUUCACACUACUUUCAUUUUACACGUUUUAUUCAACUACUUACACUCUAUACCAUAUCACUCGCACACAUGCACCUUAUGGCAUUUUUCACCUUAUUAUUCUUUACUUACUUUACCUUAUAAAGACAUUUGCACACCCCCACUUAUAUCUUAUUACUUUUAUCAUUUUUCUCACUUCACACAAACUCACACUUUCACAUGGCAUGCAUUCCACUCAUUUUUACGUCAUUUAGGAUUACGUGUGACCUCUCCAAAGGAUCAUUAUUGGGCUUCACAAUUAAUGUGAUUGGCCCCACUCAACCUUUGAAGAGAAAUUUCCCCCAUGUCCCCCUAGAUCUAGGUUUUUGCAUUCAUAUAGACAUAUCCAAUACGCGAUACAUACCUUGGGUAGAAAAAUUAGGGAAAAUUGGUUUAAGUCACGCAACUAGCCUUGGCUAGGUCGAAGGGGUGCCUUGGAUUUUUAUCCUUGCCUUCCCCUUCGUCAAAUGUGACCCCCGAUCCCUCUUUUGGUUACGUAGACCCAAAAGUUCUCUAAAAGGGUUUAUUUACUUUUCAAAAACAAAAAUCAUUUUUGGGUGACUUGGUACACCCUAACUCUAUACCAAGUGGCGACUCCAUUUUUGAUACAAAAAACCCUUUUUGAACUUUAUAUGGCCAAACCGUCGCAUUAUUAAGUCCCAUGGCCUUUAUUUUCAUUUUGCACACGUUCACACACACUACACAAUCACAUCUCACACCACACAUCAACACUAUCACAUUCGAAAAGUGGGGCGCGUCAGGUGAGCCUAGUGAUAGUCCUUUGGGCGAGAGACCUCGUGGAGCACUCCCAGUGAUACCAUACCAGAUACGGCCAGGAGGGGCCGUCGUGCGUUGGAGCCCGUCUAACCGCUUUAGACGGUGCGAGUGUCGACAUAAGUAUGCCUACCCUAACGCUCUAGUGUUUGCGGUGGACGAGGAGCGUAAGGAGUUGGCCGGAGAGAAUGCGAGACUUGAGGCCGAGGUGACCCAGCUUAGGGCGGCCAAUGAGAGACAGACUGAGCGCAUUGAGGGUCUGAAGUACGAUGUGCUUGAGGCAGAGGAUAGGGUUGAUGACCUCUGCACUCAGCUUAGGGAAGCCCAAGAGCGCGAGACCAAGCUCGCUCGCAAGGUUAAGGCUCGAGCCGCCUCGAUCCUGAACCUUUGCGCGGAUGUGGCCGAGGGCGUGAGUGACGAGGACUCAUGUGUAGGGCCUGAGACUGGGGUUGGAUCCACUCUGUCGGGUGGGUCUCAUAGCUCGUCGUCGGUCUAGGUCCUGACUUCUAGGGUUUGUUUUGGAUAGUUUUGGUUUUGUACAUAGGGCGGAUAGGGAGAAGGGCCUUAGCUAAUCAUUUUGUACGGCUAGAUUAGCUAUGUGUAUAUUUCUUUUGUUGAGGCCAUUCCCUUGGGGAUUGUCCAUGUUUUGUACUCGACUUGACUAAACUUGACUUGACUGCUUGUAUAUAUGUGUGUUGUUUGCCUUGUUUGGAAUGUAUAUAUUUGUUUGGAAAAGUUUUGGGUUACUUACAUGCAUUGUUUUAUAUUGGUUUAGUACCAUGGCCUAGAUCAAGUAAAGUUAUGGAAGGAACACGUAGUGGACGGGGACGUGGGCGCGGAAAUAGACAACCCACACCGGAUAGGGUACUGGGGAAACUGUGUGGUUGAAUUAGUGAAGUUUUCUAUUUAUUGGUGUUUUUUCUGUUUUAAUAUGAACAUAAUUGUGUGACUAUCUAUGAUGAUUGGAAAUGGUAUGUAAUGACUCUAGGAGGUGGAAAAAGUGAUUAAUUGCAACCAAUUUCUGUUUGGAAGAAAAAUUGACAAGUUAGGGUUUUUGUGAAGAACAUUCCGCCCGGUUUUGUAGCUCCUAGUUAGAGGCCGAAUUGGCCUUAGCUUAAAACAUAAACGUUGUAGAGAAUGACAUUUUAGAGGUGCCUACAAAAUUUCAGGUCAAUCGGAGUAGUGUAUAAUGAGAAAAGUCGAAAUUACCCUUGCUGUCCUGGUUUUAUCCGAAUGUAAGAAUUACGCCUGUAAUUGGUUGUUUUGGCUGGAAUUGCUUUGGAAUUGGUUGUUGAGGUCUUCUGAUUAAAUGUAGCCCUAUUUCUAAGCUUUCGGGUGGCAUUGGAAUUUCUGGAUUUGGACUUGUGUAGGCUGAGUUAUGAUGUUUACACCAGAAUGCAUUUUGUGAAUCUGUUUUUACGGUUUUGAUGUAGUAUCUUGCAUUUUUGACCUGGUUACACUCAAAACUGGGUUGAGUGACCUUCUGUAAUGUUGUAUCCCUGUCUUUUAGCUUCGAAACGGUGUAUCGUACACCUUCAUCCGGUAAUCUUGGUGCCUUUGGUGCCAUUACCGUAAAAAGAGGUCAAAAACUGUUUUUUUUCAGGGCCAAAGCUAAUUGCAUUUCCGAAUUUUCUGGUUUCCUCUAAUGUGUGUGUAUGCUUAUGGAACCCUAUUGGGGUCAUAUUUGGCAUUGGAUUAUGACUCGUUAUCGAGUCUCAUUGUGCUUGUUUGCAUGUUUUAGGGCGUGACGGUGGUUCACGACGUUCUUGUGACGGAAGUGCAUGAAACCGCAUUUGCAAGCUUGGUGAGUGUACUACUCACUUGUGUGUUAAUAUAUGGCUUUGAUACAUGAACUUGGUUGCUUAAGUGAUAGUAUCUCACUGGGCAAUUAGCUCACACCGUUCCUUUUGUUUUCCUUACAGGAAUAUGACUCUUUUUGGAAUGAAUCUUGAUAGAUGGUUGCUAAAUGAACUAGAUGAAUAUCUCUUUUGUAUUGUAUAUGAAGUGGGACCCUAAAUGUAUCUUUAGGGCCGUUUUCACUUUAAUUUGGCAAACCAAACAUAUAGUAACUUUUGGAUUACUUUUGUAUGCCAUUGUGGCUUGUAAUUGCAAAAUGUCAAGUGUAUAUGUGUUUUAACGUUUGGUUGGGUUCUGACGGGUCGGUUACUAUUCAUGGCCGACUCCGGAUUUCAUUUUUUUUUAUUUUGGGUUAUUUUGCCAUUUUGACUUGGUUACGCACGUUUGUAAGUUCCGGAACGCAAUAGAUCGCUCGAAACUGCACCGUUAGUCCUGGCGAGAGUUGGGUAGGCAGUCCGCUAACCCCUUUGGUUCGCCUUUGGGGAAGGUGGGGCUGUCACAGGUGGUAUCAAAGCCUAGGUUUGAAUUAGCCUGGGUGUAAUAGAAAUGCUCGAUGUGAGGGUUCUUUAUUUAUGGCCUUUAAGCUUAUUUAUGGUUAAUUACUCUUUUGGUGUAGGAUGGCCGGACAGGGUGAGCCUAGUGAUAGUCCUUUGGGCGAGAGACCUCGUGGAGCACUCCCAGUGAUACCAUACCAGAUACGGCCAGGAGGGGCCGUCGUGCGUUGGAGCCCGUCUAACCGCUUUAGACGGUGCGAGUGUCGACAUAAGUAUGCCUACCCUAACGCUCUAGUGUUUGCGGUGGACGAGGAGCGUAAGGAGUUGGCCGGAGAGAAUGCGAGACUUGAGGCCGAGGUGACCCAGCUUAGGGCGGCCAAUGAGAGACAGACUGAGCGCAUUGAGGGUCUGAAGUACGAUGUGCUUGAGGCAGAGGAUAGGGUUGAUGACCUCUGCACUCAGCUUAGGGAAGCCCAAGAGCGCGAGACCAAGCUCGCUCGCAAGGUUAAGGCUCGAGCCGCCUCGAUCCUGAACCUUUGCGCGGAUGUGGCCGAGGGCGUGAGUGACGAGGACUCAUGUGUAGGGCCUGAGACUGGGGUUGGAUCCACUCUGUCGGGUGGGUCUCAUAGCUCGUCGUCGGUCUAGGUCCUGACUUCUAGGGUUUGUUUUGGAUAGUUUUGGUUUUGUACAUAGGGCGGAUAGGGAGAAGGGCCUUAGCUAAUCAUUUUGUACGGCUAGAUUAGCUAUGUGUAUAUUUCUUUUGUUGAGGCCAUUCCCUUGGGGAUUGUCCAUGUUUUGUACUCGACUUGACUAAACUUGACUUGACUGCUUGUAUAUAUGUGUGUUGUUUGCCUUGUUUGGAAUGUAUAUAUUUGUUUGGAAAAGUUUUGGGUUACUUACAUGCAUUGUUUUAUAUUGGUUUAGUACCAUGGCCUAGAUCAAGUAAAGUUAUGGAAGGAACACGUAGUGGACGGGGACGUGGGCGCGGAAAUAGACAACCCACACCGGAUAGGGUACUGGGGAAACCGUGUGGUUGAAUUAGUGAAGUUUUCUAUUUAUUGGUGUUUUUUCUGUUUUAAUAUGAACAUAAUUGUGUGACUAUCUAUGAUGAUUGGAAAUGGUAUGUAAUGACUCUAGGAGGUGGAAAAAGUGAUUAAUUGCAACCAAUUUCUGUUUGGAAGAAAAAUUGACAAGUUAGGGUUUUUGUGAAGAACAUUCCGCCCGGUUUUGUAGCUCCUAGUUAGAGACCGAAUUGGCCUUAGAUUAAAACAUAAACGUUGUAGAGAAUGACAUUUUAGAGGUGCCUACAAAAUUUCAGGUCAAUCGGAGUAGUGUAUAAUGAGAAAAGUCGAAAUUACCCUUGCUGUCCUGGUUUUAUCCGAAUGUAAGAAUUACGCCUGUAAUUGGUUGUUUUGGCUGGAAUUGCUUUGGAAUUGGUUGUUGAGGUCUUCUGAUGAAAUGUAACCCUAUUUCUAAGCUUUCGAGUGGCUUUGGAAUUUCUGGAUUUGGACUUGUGUAGGCUGAGUUAUGAUGUUUACACCAGAAUGCAUUUUGUGAAUCUGUUUUUACGGUUUUGAUGUAGUAUCUUGCAUUUUUGACCUGGUUGCACUCAAAACUGGGUUGAGUGACCUUCUGUAAUGUUGUAGCCCUGUAUUUUAGCUUCGAAACGGUGUAUCGUACACCUUCAUCCGGUAAUCUUGGUGCCUUUGGUGCCAUUACCGUAAAAAGAGGUCAAAAACUGUUUUUUUUCAGGGCCAAAGCUAAUUGCAUUUCCGAAUUUUCUGGUUUCCUCUAAUGUGUGUGUAUGCUUAUGGAACCCUAUUGGGGUCAUAUUUGGCAUUGGAUUAUGACUCGUUAUCUAGUCUCAUUGUUCUUGUUUGCAUGUUUUAGGGCGUGACGGUGGUUCACGACGUUCUUGUGACGGAAGUGCAUGAAACCGCAUUUGCAAGCUUGGUGAGUGUACUACUCACUUGUGUGUUAAUAUAUGGCUUUGAUACAUGAACUUGUUUGCUUAAGUGAUAGUAUCUCACUGGGCAAUUAGCUCACACCGUUCCUUUUGUUUUCCUUACAGGAAUAUGACUAUUUUUGGAAUGAAUCUUGAUAGAUGGUUGCUGAAUGAACUAGAUGAAUAUCUCUUUUGUAUUGUAUAUGAAGUGGGACCCUAAAUGUAUCUUUAGGGCCGUUUUCACUUUAAUUUGGCAAACCAAACAUGUAGUAACUUUUGGAUUACUUUUGUAUGCCAUUGUGGCUUGUAAUUGCAAAAUGUCAAGUGUAUAUGUGUUUUAACGUUUGGUUGGGUUCUGACGGGUCGGUUACUAUUCAUGGCCGACUCCGGAUUUCAUUUUUUUUUAUUUUGGGUUAUUUUGCCAUUUUGACUUGGUUACGCACAUUUGUAAGUUCCGGAACGCAGUAGAUCGCUCGAAACUGCACCGUUAGUCCUGGCGAGAACUGGGCAGGCAGUCCGCUAACCCCUUUGGUUCGCCUUUGGGGAAGUUGGGGCUGUCACACCAUUUAGUUUAGUCAAUCAGGGUGAGCAAAGGAAAUGCAAUUUUCAGCUAUAUUGUAAAGCAUAGAAUACAAUUACAUUGAACUGUUAAUUCCAUGAGGUAAUAUACAUGAGAGCUUAACGACAAAUCAUAGAGUCACCAAGUAUUAGAAGUUUGUGAAGAUGCUAGCUAAUGCUGGUAUUGAACUCAGCAAAGUAAAGAGCUAAUGUUGAUUGUCAAAAAUCUGGAAAAUAUGAACUUGAUGAGUCUAUGUUUCAAGCUGCCUAGAGUUCGUGGUAAUUUCCAGCUUAGACGACUAUCUUGUUGAUGCUAAUUUCUUUUAAAAUUAUCCUUAAAUCUUCUUAGUUGGAUGCUAGUUUGUUUUGCUAUUGUGAGACCCCGAAAUUUUACUUGUCUUUAUAGCUCUUAUUUGAACUUACUUGCCUUAGAUUUCUGGUUGAAUAUGAGCCAAGGGAGUGAAUUUUACUAAGAAAAGUUUCAUAAUCUCAAUUUAUUAGAAAAUCUAGAAAUUUUCACAGGAGGCUCUGCACAGUUUUGGGAAAAAUUGGCUAUAACUUCGUAUAGGAAAGUCGGAAUUGAGUUCCGCUUGUUGUGUUUGAAACUAGACUCAUAGAGCUUCCUAUGGUGUAAAAUUUAGAGUUUGAUUCAAUCUCUAAAAAUUCUAGGAAAUUGGCAAAGUUGACUGACAAUUCUGCCCUGCACAAGUAAACAUAGGAAUGUUGUAGUAGCUUAUGGCUCAUUUUGAACCAACUCAUGAACUAAAUCUCUUUGAGGUGUCUUCUAAAGAUUCUUAGUAUUUGAAGUCUAAUUUUUAACAAGCCAAGUUUAUAAAUUUUUGAUAUUUAUAACUCAAGUUAUGAGUUUUCUAAAGGAAGGGCAUAAGUUAGGGUUUUUGUGCAUACUAGGGUUUUGGUGUGUGUUCCUGUGUGCAUUUUGGUAGUAUGAUUGUGAGGACUUGUAAAAUCCCUUAUAUUUUUUUAAAAAUUCCCUUUUAUUUGGAAUAUAUUAUUUUACAAUAGUUUUACUACUCAUUCAGUUCCUCAAUAGUUACAAUUAAUCAUAGAACCAAGGGUUUUCCCUUUACUUUCAUCAUUAAGGUAAAAUAGGAUUUUUACGUCUUUUGAUAGUGUGAUUAAUUGGUGAGGUAUGUGUACUAAAUUUGGUGGAUAAGAAGAAGUAUUAAGUAAGAGAAAGUGUGUGAUUAGAAGUGCUAAUAAUAAGUUAGUGAAUCAUAAGUUAAAACACAAUUGCAAAAGAGUUAAGGAAAAUAGGUUUGAACCGACGUGCGCCGUUUGUUACCGGUGGAGUACCGCACUUGACCAAUACUUUCUUACCAUAAUCUCCUUGUUUUAUUUUAUUUUUCCUUUACCUAAUUUUAUCUUAAGAUGGCCAAAAUUUUUGACCAAAAAUAAGAAAGAAAAAGAACAAAAAUAGAGCAACAAGUGGUGGUCAUCAAGUCAACUUUGACCAAAGACCAUUCUAGUCUUUAUCUUGUAAACUCUCGUCAAAGGCUAUUCAUUUUCUUCCUCCCUUGGCUGAACUAGAGAGAGAAAAGAGAGGAGAAACUUCACAUUUCAUCUUGGGUUUUGAUUGAUUAGGAGAGAAAUCAACAAGAACCACAAAUCUAAACCGAUUAAACUUCCAACAAGGUGACAAGGAAGCUUUGGGUGCAGUAAUUUUGCUUGAGUGGCCUUGAUGUUGUCUAUUUCCUUGAGGUUUGAAGGUAUUAAGCUAAGAAACUCUUUUUCUCUCUCUUAUCUUGCAUUUAUUGGAUAGAUGACUUGAAUCUUAGAAGUUUUAUGGAUGAUAACCUAGAUUUGUGAAGAUUGAUGGAAUUUCAGCCUAGGGUUUCAUUUUCCAGCUUUAAUGUUUAAAUUCCAGCCUUGAUAUGCAUUUUCCAGCCAUGAGAUGAACUUGAUAGUUUUGAUAUGAGAUGGUUUAACUUUGAUGUGAACUUUUAAGCUUUGGUAUAUGGUUUUCCAGCUUUGGUUGAAUUUCCAGCUUUAGUUAUAAAAUUCCAGCUUUAGUAGUGAAAUUUCCAGCUUUGAUGAUGAACUGCCCUAUUUCUGACCAGCUUUAUUCGUCCAUGUUAGAGGCCGAAUUAGGCUUAAGUCAAAACAUGAAAGUUGUAGUAAAUGGUGUUUUAUAUCUGCCUGUAAAAUUUCAGCUCGAUCAUAGCAUUGUAUCAUGUGAAAUGACCGGAAUACCCCUGACAGCCAAAAGCCUCAUUUCAUGGACAGUUUUGAAAUUUCACAACUUUGGCCUCGUUUUCACCUUGAUCCGUAUCAAAUCAGCCUUUGACCAAAACAUAAAACUUUUAACCCUAUGUUUCAGCUUUCCAAUGCAUCAGAAAUCUCCUCAAUCAGAAUUAUGUAGCCUAAGUUAUUGUCAUUUGAAUUCAGUGCUGACAACCAUACUGACAAGAACAUUCUGGUUCUGAAAUCUAUAAAUUCAACCUGGAUAAACUGUGAAUUGGGUUGAGUUAUCUUCAUGAAAGUUGUAACCCUUUGUCUUAGCUUAGAAAUGGUAUAAAUGUUACACCAAUCUGAUAAACGUACCUCUGGUUGUGACCAAAAUGCUAUGAGAUGUCGAAUCUGCCAUUUAGCCUUUUGACUUCAACACUUGAUUUCCGAUUGUAUUAUUAAACUUAUGUUGUAAUUGGAUGAUUUUAGAGCCUAAUAGAAGGGCUAUGGUGGUAACAUUGCUUGUGUGUGACUUUGGGACUGAUUUGAGAAAAAUAAAGAAGCCAUAAAUGGCUGAAAAAUAGAUAAAUCCAAAGGGCGUGCUGCCCAAAUUUUCACUUAAGGGUUAGGGUUAUGUACUCGCGACUUGAGCAAAGAAUUGAGGUCGAAUGGGACUUGGAUCAUCUAUGGUAUUUGAGUUUUUGUGGUCAAGAUAUAUAAGUUGAAAGUUGCCGGAACUCGUACCCUUGAAAAGUGAAUGCAGUGACUCUUUCAAAAUACGAUUUUUCCUAGUCUUUGAUAUCAAGUGUAACUUCUAAAGUCGAAACCACUUCUUGAUCAUAACUAAACGAGCGAGCAUGAAUUUUUCGGAAUUUGAUAAGUAUCUUGAAUACUACUUAAACGAGUUGCAUUUACUUAUGUUUCGAACUCUAGAGAGUUUUACAUUCGUAAAUGAUAUUUUAUCGCAGAUUUGAACUCCACACAAGGAGUAAUACCUGAACGUGAAUCGAAGAAGCACUAAAUCUUUGGUGAGUGCUUCCAAAUACCUGAUUGAACUGGAUACUUGUUUUCAAUACUUGACCAAUGUGAUUUAAUGAUAUGCAAUUUGUUGGAUCGGGCAAGAGUGUACUUUAUCGCACUUGCCCUAAUAUGAUAUAUACUUGUUUAUUGUUGCAAUUGAUUUGAUAUACUUGUACUUGACUUGUAAGUGCUGAGCGGCAGCAUGUACCACACUCAAUGUGAGUGGGGGAUGCCUCUCAUUCCCGUCUCCGUACUUUUAUUUUGAUUUAGUCAAUUGGAGAUGUUAUCUCAUCGACUUCUUAGGGACCCAAACCCCACUGGCUAGUUAAUCGAGUCGAGUCGGCAAGGGUUUGGUCAAUUAGAUAACGAACCAUGGGUAUCUAGUGUUGUCAAGUGGAGGUUAUCUCAUCGACUAAUCAGUAUACUCGAGUAUUACCACCAGUAUUUAGUUGGUGUUCGAGCCCGGUAAGGGGGCUGAAUGGUGGACGGAUUGGAGUUAAGCGAAGUACUAUUAGAUUGGUUACUUUACUUGAAAGUUGACGGAGUGUUAACUAAUAUUUGAUCAAGCUCUGGUGAAGCAAUGGAAACUUGGCUUCUGAGAGCCAUUCGUAUCCUUAUACUUUGAAAUGAUUAUUGCUUAUUGGAUUAUUGUUUCUUUUGAAAAACAAAAACACUUUACACUCGCUCAUUUUGAGAUUUGCUACUUGAAGUGUUAUUGCUCACUUUUAUGAACUUUUCAUGCUUAUUACUUUGCUAUGUGAUACUUGUACUUUUAAAUAAUGGUCAACUUGCUAUUUGGAACCUUACUAGGCUUUUAGCUCAUUCCACGCCAUUUGUUUUCCUUACAGGGGAUACGAGCGAGGCAUGAGAUUUGUACAGACUAGCGUAGUCUAGUUUUUGGAUUUUGCAAUUGUUCUCGCACUAACACCUGACUAGAGUUGAUUUUAGUUGGAUUGUAAUUACUUUAACGUUUUGGACGUGUAUAAACCUUGUAGUUGGAUUUGAACAUCAAUGUAUAUGUUAAGUUUGAGAUUGAUGUUUCAUUUCUUCUCUAUGGACGUGGUAUCUUUCUCGAGUUACGCAUGAGUGAGUCAUGGCAAGAGUUGGGCAGGCAACCCGCCAAACCCUGGGGUACGCCCUAGGGGGAGAUGGGGCCGCCACAGCUAUUGUGUAGGGUAUAAUUAUUUUUUUCUUUUUCAGCACAAAGAAUAAAAUUGAAAAUGAAAUGUAUUGUGGUACACUCCAUGAGGAUUUAGUUGGCAUACGAAGUGCAAUAAAAAUAACAGAAGAUUUUCCUUGCAUUACUUGAACUCGAGGGUCCUUAUUUUAAUUUCCUAACAUUCACCAAUGUCUUACACUUAGUAAUAGAUGGUGUGGACUAAGAAAAGAGUAACAUUCACAUUGGAAUUUGUAGGUGCACUUCCUUAUUGCUGCAUGAGAAUAUAUGGUAAUAGGAACGGGUUUCAGAUUAGACUUCAUUAGGCCAUAAAUGAAAACACAAUUGAGGAAUGAGGUAUAGCCUUCAGUUUCUUGUUACCUUCCUCCACCCCCUACCCUUGGAGAGAUGAGAAUCUUUCAUGGAACUUCAAGAACUAAAAUCUAGACUUGAUAGCAAUGGUUUUCUUAUCCAAGAUGAUAAAAUCUAUAGGAUUUUGCAGGAUUGUUUGCUUGAAGCUCUAGAGCCUAAUGUUACCAUUAAGAAAUUUGAUUGAUAAGGAAUUGAACACUAACAUUUCUGAUUUUGGAUUAGAAAAGCUCUUGAAUUUAGGAAAGCCACAUAACAAUAAUGUUAUAGGAACAUUUGGGUAAGCACAUUUUUAUCUAAAUUCUUUUGCUUCUUUAUGUUCAAGCUAUGUAUUUGAUACGAUCUUCAUUGUGUGACGAAGCUUGUGAUCAACAAGCCCAGAUCAUGAUGGUGGUAUUCAAGUUUGAUAGUGGAAAACUUACGACCCAAUCUAACCUGUGAAGUGCAAACUUCUUGGUAUUAUCUCAACUCACAACCUAACAAGUUAGCGAACUAAGGUUCGGUAGAAGGCACCAUAAUCAAGUGCGUUUUUACACAAAGAACCUCAAAAGUAUUGAAAAGGAACUCAUGAAAAUCCAAGAGAGAUACUCUCAAUUUUGCUAGAAAAGUUGUCUUGUAUUAAUGAAAAAAUGUUUAACCCUUUUUAUACGUUUUUACAAGACACAAAACCUAAUCAAACUAGGAAAACUAAUGACAAUUCGCGGUCUCAAGUAUUUCUAAAGUUGACUAACCUUAAAAUCCUAAUGCCACUAGGAAUUGCUAAUGAAAAUAACACAAAACACCUACUAACUAAUUUAGACCUUAACCAGAUGCAAGACUAUCCAAAAUUUAUUACAUAAACCACAUAAUUAGCAACUAAAGUAAAUAAGUUGAUCUUCAACCAUUGAACAUUCUUCUUAAUUUACUAUCUUCAACCAUCUUAGAACCUUUAAUUGAUUCAUGAACAACACGAACGAAUGUGAUAAGUUGAUCUUUAAGUUUCAUGGUGCAAGUUCUUGGCGUGAGCUCUAGUAAUCGGUCCAACUAGAACAAGGACUUGAUCAUUGCUUGAAUCACAGACAUUACUUGUCACUUGGUCACCAACAUCACUAACCUUGCUAUAAUGCCUCUCCUCUUGAGAAGGAUUUGUCAUCAAAUCUUCCGCGUUUCAUUGCUUAAAUUGAAUCAAGCAUGGAUAGAUCACAACACAAACAAGUCAACUUGUGUGUCAUUUGGAUAGCUUAUACUCCAUGCACACGAAUUGAGAUGAAUGUCAUUCAAUGUAGCUCAUAAACUUCAAUGAAAAGUCACUUAGUUGAUACGACUCAAAAAUGGAUGUGUUCUCAACCUUGGCAGCAACUAAAGGUGACAUUUGGAUCUCCAUAAAGCUUGAAAGUUCAAGUGAUCCUUGACCAGCAAUUGGAACAUCAUCACGACCUUCCUUUAAUCCGAAUUCCCUGAUCUCCAACUCAAGUGAAUGAAAAGCAUCAAACUCUACAAUACACGUAGCAAUGAGUGAGUUAUCAAAAUUGUAGCAAAUUAACAAAUGAAUAAGUUUGACCAAAAUCAAAUUGAAACAAAUUGAAUGUGGCAUUAAAACUUAUCAAAGAACAACGUCCCUUUGAACUUGAAGAUUGAAUAGCCGAUUGCAUAUUUUGCUUCACAAACCGAUCAACCUUAAGGUUCUUGAACCAAGAUCAGUGGUUCUUGAACACCUUGGUUCAAACUUUGAAGUUCUUGAAGGGUCCCUUGAUCAACUUUCCUAAAAAUGUGAUUCUUGCAGUUUGACACUGAUUAACAAAAAAGGAGAGAUUGUAUCCGAUUGCAAUAGCAAGAAAGUACAAAAAAAAAAAGAAAAAAAAAAGAAGGGAGCAAUCAGAUUUGUUUCCAAUACAAAAAGAAAACAAACAACUGCACAAGAAGUCACUUUCCUAAUCACUCACUUUCCUAAUCGCUUUUGGAUUUCACUUUGUCUUGGCAGAUUUGGAAACUUAAUCCAAAAUCUAUUUGGGAAAUCUUAUUAGGCAGCUCCUAAAUUCGAAAUCUACUUGGAAAGGGGACCAAGUUGCGUCCGAAACAGCUCAAACAAGGCCCUUACAUCGCAUUAAAUUCCAACACAAUUUUCUAGCAAUAAUCCUUAGUUGGGUAGAGUGAAUUUCUAGGGUUUCCUUUCCGCUAGUUGUCUAAUAAAAAAUCAUCAUUCUAUUAGUGAAUUCGUCACUCUAAAUUCCCGCUUAGCACUUGGCUUGAGUUAUUAUCACCCUCACCUAAGCUACACUUGUGAGAUAUUGUUGAUAAGCUAAGUUAUGUACUUGAAGGGGCUUCUAAUUUCUUCAAAGAGAGAGAACAAAAGUUGUGAGAGAACUAUAGUGAGAUUAUUAAAGUUCUUAAACACUUGUGCGACACAUGAGGGCAAGAGUAAACACAUGAGGGAGUGUGUGAGGAUCAAAUUUUUGUGUCAUUAGUUUGUUUUUGUAGGUUUAAUUUGAAGAUGUCAAACAGUAGUGAAGGGAGCUCACAACUGACUCAUGUUCCAUCGUUUGAUGUCAAGCUCUUCAUGGAGAUGUUGAAGGGCAAGUUUAGGAAAAUUCUGGACCAAGCACUAGAAUCGAUGAUACAUGAUGAGAUCUACUAGACUCGGAGCAUACAAGGCCACUCCAAAUCUUCACAUGGCAAAUUUCAUGUAGAAGAUUCCGGGAGUUCCAAUGAUGAUGAUGACUUCAUCAGGAGACCUAAACCAACAGCAAAGGACUACGAACGUGGCCCGAGUUCCAAUGGAAAUCGGACCCGAAGGCAUACCUUGAGUGGGAAUCAAAGAUAGAAAUAGUCUUUACACUGAGAAGCAAAAGCAUGACUACACCGAGGAGCAAAAGGUGAAGUUGGCAGUUGUUGAAUUCACCAACUACGCCAUUGUUUGGUGGCAUCAACUCAACCUAAGUCGAAGGAGAGGUAGAUUACCACCAAUUUCUACUUGGACCAAGCUUAAGGGACUCAUGAGGAAGCAAUUUGUGCCAAACCAUUAUUUCUGAGAGUUGUACCAAAAGUUGCAAACCCUUACUCAAGGCAAUGGUAGUGUGGAUGAAUACUUCAAGGUAGUGGAAAUCACAAUGUUACAAGUAGAUAUCCAAGAGGAUCGGGAGGCGACAAUGGCCAGAUUUUGAACUGGUUUAAGACCUGAGAUUGCCAAAUGAGUUAAACUAGAACACUACCUCAAACUUGAUGAUUUGAUGGAUAAAGUUGUGAAGGUGGAACAAAGGCUCAAGAGGAGAGGUCAAACACGGCCUAGCUUUAAUUAUUUGAUUCCAAAUCGAAAGGGUUUUACGUUCCAAAUUUGGGGUGUCACACUAUUGAUGGCCCAAAUCAGGCUAGCUUAACUCCAUCUGAUCUGGGCCAGGAACAGUAUGGUUGGUUUGCACCUGCAACUACGUCAGCCAAUCAUCCAUGAAAUUUCCUUAUGUUUAACUUUCUCUUUGGCUUUUCCUCUCUAUCCCAAACUUAUUACACAUUCUCAAGCACAAAAUCUAACCACAUAUUUUUACUGAAAUUGAUAUUACCCCACACAUUGCCAUCUAGAUUAAAACAAUCCCACAAAGAUAUUGCACUAAGCAUACAUAAUGACUGCUUUGCAAAAGACUAGUCUUAAAAUCCUUAUUUCACAAAUUAUAGUCCAUAGUUAUUGAUAAGUGUGCAUUUUGAGUGAUUUAAGUGUAUUUAUUAUUUAGUUUUGGUUUAUUUUAUUCAUUUUUAUAACUAAUUAACUAGGUUUCUAGUAAAAGUAUGCAUUUUAUGGUUUAAAUGUGAAAAAUUGCAUUUCUAUGGAUUGAAGUGGUGAAAACUUCAUAUUUUUGUAGGUUUAAUUAUUCAAUCAUCAAAUAGAGUGUAUUGAGAAGAUAUUUGGAUGAUUAUUGAUGAUUUGAAGUGAUUUGAAGAGAAUAUGAAGUGUAAAAUAUUCAAAAGAUGAAAUGCAAUCAAGUAUAAAAGAAGAGAAGUUUGACAGCUUUGACACUUUUUGGUAUUUUGGCUAUAUCUUGUGAUACAAGCAUCAAAUUGAGAUGAUUCUUGAGCCAUUUUAAAGCUAUCACAUAGCCCUACAUUGCUUAUGCAGAUGUCGAAAUCCGGUUCAUGAGUUUUCCUAGUCAAAAAGUCAAAAUACUAUCGGUCAUUUCUGUUGUCAAAAGCUGGAAUAGGGAGUUGACCAGUCAAGGGUAUUUUGGUCAUUUCUCAGUAGAUAGAGCUCCAAAUUGGAUGAUUCUUGAAGAAUUGGAAAGAUAACUUAUAGUGAUACAACUUCCAUGCUUUGUAAAAGAACUAGUUCAGCCUCCAUCAUUCAGAAAUAUGAAUUGAAGUUGGUGCAAAAGUAGAGCAAAGUUGAAGAUUGACUAGAUAAGAGCAAACCUGCAGAAGAGGCAAAACGCACCGACAAUACGCGACCUUAUGGGUGCGUAUUCUUCAAUCAAAUUUGCAACUUGCACAUCAACAUGUUCUGCAUUCACACAACUUUUCCAGCUUAUCUCCAGCUCAAAAUUUUGGCUAUAGUUGUAAAGAAAAGUAUGAUGACAUAUACAAGUAUAUUUUGGGAAUCUCAAAAUGCAUUUCACAUCAACUUUGACAACUCAUUUGGAGUUUUAAUAGGGGUUUGUUUGAUAAAUUUGGAAGGCUAGAAACACUACCAAAAUAUAGUCUUCACUAGUUUUUUCUUAGUUCAUUAGUAUAGUAUAGAUAGUGUAGUUUAUCCUUCUUGUACUUGUAGUUAGAUUUGGAUGAAGAAUUGAGGCGCAAAGAUGGAGAGUUGGAGCUUACGUGACAAAAGUGACUCCUCUCCUAUUACUUUCUCUUUUGUAUUUGAGUUCAUGUUUAGCUAUAAUAUAAGUAUGGUCUUUUCUUUCAUUCUCUUCACGCUUUGCUAAAGUUUAUGCCUAGAGUUAUGGAUGAACUUUCUAGAUCUUGUUAGUGAUGUUUACUUGGUUAUUUGAUGAUAUUAUUUUGAAUAAGUUAUUUAGUACUUUGCUUUUCUAAUCAUGAUUAACUAACCAUUAAUUGUGAUUAUCUUAAGUAUUAAGUUUGCAAUAAGAAUUGAAAUUUGACACUAGUUCAAGGAAGUGCUAAAUCUAGGGAGUACACUUACUAGAGUAAAGGUGCACCUUUGUAGGUUUAGCAGCUUGUUCCAUAUAAUUUCAUAAAAGAAAUGAGUUUUUAGUUAAUUUCAUAACCACGAGAGUAGGUAUGAAUUAAUUACAAGUAUAGUGGAUUCACUACUGUGAUACCCCAACUUUUAGGAUCAUCUUUUGUUUAGUCUCAGAAAGGAUAUUACGGUUUCUUUAGUUUAUUUUAUUUUAAAACAUUAUUUUGUUUUAAAGAAGAAACUAAAGUUAUUUCUUUGGGUUUGAUUUAAAACCUUGUUUUGUUUUUAAAGACUAGAAACCCUAAAAGUCUAAUCGAAACCCUAGUUUCAUUUGUGAUUGACCGUUUUAUCAAAUUUCUCAUAUUUCAACCGAAACCCUAAAUUCAAUUUAUGGAAUUGUAAAAUCCUCUUUUUCUUAAACAUGCCCUUUUAUUUGGAAAUUAUUAAUUUAUAAUAGCCCUACCACCCAAUCAUUCCACAAUAAUUGCAAAUGAACCUAGAAAGUAGGGUUUCACUUUUCGUUUCCAAGUUAAGAGCGAAUUAGGGUUUCACGUUUUCCCGUAGUAUGAUUAUUCGGUACGGAGUGAGGAUCAAAUUUGAUAGGUAAAAGUGACUUUUGGAUGAGGAAAUACUAUAUGACUAGACGUGAUAAUAAUAAGUUAGUGAUUAUAAGCUAAAAACCCUAGUAUACGCGAUUUAAGAGAAAUCGCGUCAAACCGACGGGUAUGGAUCACUACCGAUUGAACCCACCACUUGACCACCACUUCCUUACCACCACAUACCCUUGAUAUUUUUGCAAAAUAUCCCCCCCUCAUACUCAUCCUUAUGGCCGAAAUUUGUGGCCAAAAAUGCAAGGGAGAGAGAGAAAAAUUUGCAUGGCUUUGGUGGUGACACUUGUCACCACCCAUGGCUCUUUGAUUAAUUUUUUUUCCUUGUUCUUUUAUCCUUCAUUUCAGCUUAUUUUCCUUCAUUUCUUUCUGUCUUUGGCCAAGCAAGGGAGAGAGAGAGAGAGCAAGAGAAACAACCUUCUUUCAUCUUGAUUUGCACCAUUUGAGUGAAGGAAACAAGAUUCUAAACCGAUUAACUUGUGAGUUGUGAACUUGGGAAGCUAAGGGAACCAAAAAUUUCAAGAGGAGGUGAAGUAUUACUCUUGCAAGCCCUUUUUUUGAGGUAUAAGGUCUGACCCAUGGCUUUGGUUCUUUUAUUUUUGUUUAAGAUGUUAUAUAACCCAUGUUUUGGUUAGAUUAGUAGCUAUACAAGUUGUUGUGAUGUAUGUAAGCUAGGGUUUGACUGAUUUCCUUUUUAUACUUGUUGUAGGAGUGGUAUAUGAUGUAUAUAGGCUUAUAUAAGAGGUUUUGGUAGUGAUUGAAUCAAGAAAAUGAAGAGAUUGCCCUAGAAAUCCCAAAAUUCCAGAUUUCUGGAAUUGUAUGCUUCAGUUCUGUCCGGUUUCAGUGCCCUAUGUUAGAGGCCGAAUUAGGCUUGGCACAAAACAUAAAAGUUGUAUAGAAUGAUAUUUUAUGGUUUCCUACAAAAUUUUAACCCAAUCAGAGCAACGUAGCCUAUGAAAAGACCAAAAUACCCUCACUGCCCUAGGAUGCAUCCAGUGAUCCGUUUUAGACAGUUCAUCCAAUUGACCGUGUCUAUUAACUAUGAUCCAUGCUGAUUUAGUCAUUUUCCAAAACAUGAAAGUUUUAUUACUUUGUCUUAGCUUUUCAACGCCUCCAAGAAGGUCUUAAACGGACUUUGGUAGCUUGAGAUAUGGCCAUUUGAAGGCAGUACGGUUAAUUAGCCGAUUAGUUGGAAUUUGGUUCUGUGAAUUGGGAAUUUGACUGGGUUACACUGGAAUUUGGACUAAGUGAUCUUCAUCAAAAUUGUAGCCCUUUGUCUUAGCUUCGAAAUGGUAUGAAUUGCAUUUCAAUCCGAUACGCGUAGCCUCGGUUGUGUCCGUUACGUAAAAACACAUCAAAUCUGUCUUUUGCUAAACUUCAUUUCCGCUCAUAUCGUUAGCUUGAUUUUGUAUUUGUAUGACCUUGAGCCUAUUGAAUGGCUAUUGAAAUGAGAUUAUUUUGUGUGUAACUUUGGGUUUGUUGGAAGAAAAUAUUGAAGCCAUAAAUGGAUGGAAAAUGGGUAAAUACAAAGGGCAUGCCGCCAAAUUUUCACGAGAAAGAUAAACUAGCCUUUGGAGUUCUAGUUCUAUAUUUUGCAAAUAUGACUAGAAUACACUAAAAACUGGGUCGAGGUGUCUUCAUGGAAGUUGUAACCUUUUGUUUAAGUUUCGAGACACUACCUAGUACAUUUUGAUCCGAUAACCACAACUCCAGUUAUGAGCAAAAUCGUGUAACCCGUUUUGUACCAUUUUCAUUUCCACGCACGCGCAAGUGCAUUUCUCAACCGUUUUUGCCGUUUUGGACCGUUUAGGUCUACUUUUGUUAUUUUGUUACCAUUCCAGCUGUUUCGGCCAAUUUUAACAUUCUUUUGACCUUAAUGUCAUUUUUGACCGUUUUUUAUUACUUUUGGACCAUUUUCAAGCGUAUUAGAUCAUUUGAGUUAUAAACUGCUAUUGUAUGGCCGUUUCACUUAUGUGUGUAUAUAAUCUGUCAAUACAGAUUGUGAGGCUUUUGACGGUGACGGUCAAGCUCAGUGACUUGUAUCGUUUUUCGUGCCAAACUUUAUCAAGUGAGUAAUUGGGUUGUUUAUUGAAGUGAAAUUGUUGAAGUACCAUGUAUAUGUUAAAUGGGUACUUAGGCGAGGGUGUACUUUAUCUCACUCGACCUAAUCGCAUCCUUUGUUUUGAUUUCCUAUGUGAGAAUACAUGCCUUAUGUUGAGUAUAUCACCCUUUUGCUGUGUGCUGAGGAGGGUGAUUACAUGACUUGAGUAUCACCCUUUUGCUGUGUGCUGAUGGCGGUGAUUACAUGACUUGAAUUGAACCCCAUUUGCUGUGUGCUGUUUGGGGUAAGUACUUUGUUGUGUACUUUGUUGAGAGAUACCAUCUAUUGAGAGAUCGAAUAUCUCAGGGCUUGGUUCCAGCCCGGUUCCAAGGGUUAGACGAACUAUUCGAGACAGCUGGGGCUUAGUCGAAGAUAGUUCCAUGCUAAACUUGGGAUUUAGUUCCUUGUUAAAGCUUUGACGAAAGCUAAGUUAUUUUAUUUCGCUCGAGCUGCUGUGUGCUGUUGACUGGCCAGCGGGGGUUGAUAAGGUGAACGGGGAAGUUUAAGUGGAGUCUACGGACCAUGAGUACUUUGGUUGAUGGAGUGUCAAUAGGCGUUCAAGUUCGGGGAAUUGAACUGGCUUUGGAGCCACCCGUAUCCUACCAUUGUGAUGUUACCUUUCGAUUAUUGAUAUGAAUUAUCCUGAUUUACUUGUUUAAUUAUGUGAGUUUACAUUUUUCCCCCUAAUUACUCACUAAGCAUAUAGCUUACCCCAUUCUAUUUGUUUUCCUUAGCAGGGGGCUGACACGGGGAUCGCUCGAGAAAGGGUUUAGUGUUUUGAUUAUAGACGAGUUGAACGUGUACUUGUUAUAAGUUGACGAGUAAGAUGUAUAUAGUUGUCGUGGUGGUUGUAGUUAUCAGCUUUUCUAGGGUUUACUUUUUGGUACUCGUGGUAUGUAUGACUUGAUGUACUAGUUUAUGCAACUUUUGAAGAUGUAAUCGUUUAAACAGAAUUUUCUUUUGGCAUGAACUCUAUUUUCUAGUUCUAGAGCAUCGAGUCCCGGUGAGAGCUGGGCAGGCAACCCGCCGAACCCUGGGGUACGCCCUAGGGAGAGGUGGGGCCGUCACAACUACGAGAGUAGAUUUCACAUACACGAGAAAUUUUGCCAUAACUAGCCAAGAUAAUAACAUUCAAUUAACCAGUAAUUUCACUUGCAAGAGUAGUUAGGAAUUCCAUAGCCGUAGGAGCUUUCUAUUGUCACUUUUAUCACUUUUAUUUCAUGUUUGUGGUGUAGAUUUAAUUUCUUGCACUUGUGAUUAUCUAAAUAAUUAAGGAAUUCAAAAACUAAUGGUAAUUGACAAUCUUCCCUAUGUGAUUGACACCUAAUAUCUCCUAUACUCGAUAAACAACCUGUAUACUAGCAAAAAAAUGGGGUGUUUAGAUUUUAUUAAAAUUUGGUGCAUGGUAGAAACUCAUCAGUUGUUACACCUGGCUCGGCCGUCAAACCGGUCAACCCAGUGAACAAGUCAUUGGACCGGGCUGGAUUUCUAAUUGAACCAUUUAAGCGUUGAAUUCAUUGAUUGGUCAAUAACUCGGUAGUUCAACCGAAUUAAACUAAGAACCAGGCCAGUUUUGUCAACGAAACGGGUUUUGUGGAAAAACUUUAGUAAGCUUUUGCCAAAAAUCAAACUUGGGACCUUAAGGAUGUUUCUAUAGUAUACUCACCACCUAACCACUUGCCAUAUGUUAGUUGAAUAGCUUUCUUAUAAUAUAUGAAUGUUUUGUCAAUUCUAUCUUUAUUCUUUUUUUAUUUUUCUAAAACAAAUUUAUUUGAAAUCUUUUAAUAAAAACUUAUGACCCCAAACUCUAUAAGUUAUAAAAUGGAUUUUAAAAAUAACAUAUUACAUAAUUCAUUUUAAAGACAAAUAUUGUUUUAAUAAUUUUUUGCACUUAAAAUUCAUAAAAUAAGCUAGAUAAUUAUACUAAAUACAGAUAAAAUUUUACACUUGAACUUUGAUGGAUUACUAAAUAAAUUUAUAUUUUGUUGAAUCUUAUAUGAAUUAAUUAUUUUAUAGCAAAUUAAAUUAAAUAAGCAUUUGUUAUGACAUUGUUUAUUAAAGUUUAUAUCAUAUAUCUUAUAUAAAAAAUUUUGAAACAUAAUAUUUAAAUAUAUUUAGUGACCUUAACCACUCACCCACUGGUUGAACCAAUGACCCAUCUCAUUUGCCGGGUUCCUUUCCGAGUCGAGUUUAAUAACUAUGGUAUAGUCUCAUGCUCAUAUAGAUACAGAAAACUGAACCAGAAUUUUCACCAAAUACUUGCUGAAAUUUCAACUUCACAGAUUCUUAAUGAUGUACGUAUAUAAAUGUAGCCUCUGUUUUGAUGGGCAUUAGCGCGCCCGAGUGUGAGGCGGCAGCGAAACGUUCCCGGUAGUAAAGGGGGUGGCGAAUGUUUUGUUGGGCAUACGCCCAAGAAUUUGGGGCAAGUGCCUCAGCAUAGCGGUGCAUUUUUUUUACGCCCCAAGUCAUGAGGCGACCGCCCAACAGGUCUUCAAUGUUUUUGGUUCUCUAUGGAUUCGUUUUCUUCUUUGUUAGAAUGAAGGACAUGGAUGCAACAUUCAUAAUAAUGUGAAACACUAAAAUUGAGGUAAAAAUUCAUGAAAAAAACAAGGCUAAUAGCCAGAGGUGGAGACAUGUGAUGGCCAAGGUGGGGAAUUGAACCCCCUGAACUUCAAAACAUUAGCAAUUUGGCUAGGGAAAAUUUGUACUUUUUAGUUUCUAUUUUAUUUGCACCUCCUCAAAUGUUUAAAAUUUUCUCGCCCUCACUAUUUUUUUCUGAAAUUCAUUUACUUUUAUUCUAUUGAAAAUUUAAAACAAACAUUGACAAAGAAACGAUAUGAAAAUCUUUUAACUUCAAUGACAACUAAAUUAUUUGUUUCCUUUCUUUAUUUACAUGUAUUCAUCAAAUUUCUUGCACUUCCUGACCUCUAGAUCGUGGCUCCACCCCUGCUAAUAGUGUUUGUCAUGGCCUGGGCGCUGACUGCUAGUUGCACUUGCAAUUCCAGCGUUAACGGGAAGACAUGGGAAGAGCACGAAUUCUGGAAAUUGCGUUUGAUCCAUCACAUUUUUUGUCAAUGCUAUUUUGGUACUAAUACGUGGGCUCGCUUUUAAGAUUUUGCUCUUAUGUCACUUCGAGUUUUGAUUAAUUAACCUCAAAAUUUACAACGACCUUCUUUUUCAAAUUUAUCAUUUCACAUAGUUAUACAUACCAUAGAAAUUUAGAUAUCUAAAUUUCAUGGGAAUAAUUAUCCAUUGUUGGAUCUAACCAUGUGUUUGGAUAGUAGAUUAUUUCGGAUAAUUUUUUGAAAAAAAUACUGUACCACUUUUUUUAUAUAAUGCAUGUAAAAUAAAAAAAAAAUCAUUGAAAAAUGCAUUAAUGAUUUAGACAAAUAAAUCCUAGCAAAUAAUUCACUAGCCAAACAAACAUGCCUACAACUUUUGAAUGAUGAAUUUUAACCAAGUUUUUCAGUAUUAUUAAUGUCAUAUGUAUUUUUUAUAAAUUUUCUCAUUUUAGUUGUAUUUUUAUGAUAUUUCUGUAUAUGAUUAUUUAUUAUUAAAUGUUUAACAAAUCAAAAGUAGCGGAGCUUGCUCCUGCACCGUGGGUUGUGGCCUUUCAGAAUACUAAGGUGUGGUUUAGUUUCCUUUGAAGCUAUGAGCUUGGCAUUUGCAUGCAAGCUCCGGUGGCGUCUGCAGAAGAAUGAUUCCAUAUGGGAGGAGUUUAUGUAUGCAAAGUACAUUAAAGGGUGUCAUCCUUUUAAAGCACUAGUUUAUAGGCCUCCUUUAGCUUGGCGAAGACUAGAAGACAUUCGAGAAUUUGCAUAGGGCAAGAUUGGAUGGCGCUUGGGCAAAGGUUUUGUUUAUUUUUUGUAUAAUGAUUGUUGUUCGAUUCGCCUCUAGCAGAUAUAAUUUCUAUUGAGGAUCCACCUCAUGUGUUGUUGGCUGAAUUUUAUGGAGAGGCUGGUUGGAAUGUGGAACGAUUGAAGCAUUGGUUGCCCAUGGAUUUAGUUCAUAAAAUUUAUGAGAUUCAAUUAUAUCCGGAUCAAGAUGAUUGCAUGGUCUGGUUAGAGUCAACCACACGAACUUUCAUGUUUAAGUCAGCUUGGGAGGCUCUAAGACAACGGAGGAAUAGAUCCACAGUGGAUAGGCUUAUAUAUAAUGACAUUGUUCCAUUAAAAAUUUCUUUCUGUACUUAGAUGGUACUGCAACAUCUAGUACCUGCGGAUUUGAAUCUUAAAAAAUGUGGAAUUAUUUUGGUUUCACGGUGUCCUUGUAUGUCGCAUGAAGAAUCAGUUCUGCAAUCGCUUCUUACAGGUCCAUUAGCUUCAGAGGUCUGGAGUCAUUGCCGACGGAGAUUUGGCAUUCUUAAUAUAAUGUCUUCGUCGACUUCUGCUAUGGUUUUAUCUUGGUUUUACUCAGCCUCUUUUGUUUCCACGGAUCACAUUAGGGCUGCUCUCCAAGCUAUUAUUUUAUGGUUUUUAUGGAAGGCAAGGAAUAAAGCUCAAUUUGAAGGGGAUCAAUUGGAAGCGCUAAGAGUCAUUGUUACGAUUGAUAGAUUUGUCGAGCAAUUGGGAAUGGUGAAGAUUUUUUUAGUUUCUCACUUUCGAGGUGACCUUAAUGAUCCAUUGGUCAGAUUUGCUAAAUGUUUCUUGCGUGUUAUGUGAUGUGUGACAGUUGCUUGGAGGAGGCUGUUCUGUCCAUUUGUUAAACUAAACACGGAUGCAUGCGUUUUUCAGGGGCGUGCCUAUUAGGGGUGGAUUGCCUAGGGAUCAUGAGGGGCAUUUGAUUUGUUCUUAUUUUAAGGAGUUUAGGGAGGUGGAUGCUUUGACGAAGAGUUUACAUGAGCUACAGCUUUAUAAAGAUACAGAGGUAGAAAAAUUGCUAGUUGAUGUGGAUUUGGAAAUUUUGUUUCGAUUGUUGAACUCUGGGAUGGUAUCGAAGUGGCGUAAUGUGUUGCAAAGAAUUCGGGUUCUAUUAAAAGAUUUGUCCUCUUCCAUUUCUCAUAUUUUCGGAAAACCUAAUAGUUCUUUGGAUAAAUUAGCAGGUUUGCGCUUUCCUUCAGAGUUGUUUUGUUCAUCUAUUCAUCAGCUGCCUGGAAUUGUUAUAGCCUCUAUACAAUUAGAUAUUAGGAAAUUUUCAUUUGUGCAUAUGUGAGUUGUAAAGGAGUAGUACUAAAUAUUAGAUGGACAAACGGUCCGUCGAACCCUUUGAUUCGCCGGAGGUGGGACUGUCACAAACAACCUCUUUUUUAUCUUUCUUUACUUACGUUCUUCAUCUUCUUCCUCAGUUGUUUCUCUUCUUUAACCAAAAAUAUCUCAUCCAUCAUCCAUAAUCCUCUACCACGCUUCACCAAUGUUUUAGAAAAUCAAAUCUAACCCACUAACAUUCAUUCCAGAUGAUAUUCGCUCAAAUAUUACAAGCUUCAAUACUUGAAUACUUGGAUAUUUGAUUAAAAAGUAAGAAAAUGGCAUUAUGUUGAAAUUUUUCACAGCUACGCUCUCAGGCCUCAAGCCGUCGCCGUGCCACCAAUGCGGGUACAAGGACUGUUAAUGGGAAUAUGUCAGGUUACAAGCUAAAGGGCCUUAAACGCAAUAAUGAGCACUGGUUAGUGCAAUAGAUAAUUAGUCAGUAGAUUUGCAAAACGGUGUAGCUUUGGUGAGGCAAUACGAUGCCGUUCCAAUUAGUACAAUCAUCAGGUAGUUAAAUUCAGUUGUUAGCUGUCUGACAAGUCUGUUAGAAUUGGUUAUAAAAGUAGGGCCCACAUGUAAUGAGGAAAACGAUUAUUGAUCACAAUUCUUUGCUGCUUCUUGUUCUUGCUCUCUCUUCCUCUCUUCCCUUUCUUUCUCUGUUUCCCCAAUUUCCUUCCAAUCUCCCUAAUUCUUGACUCUUCUCGAUUAAAUCUUACAUCAUUCCAGAAAUCAACCAGGAGGCCGUGACAAAGUGGUAUCAGAGCAGUUAAUCCUCGGAAACUGAACCACAAUCAAUGGCAGAAAGUACCAGAUUCCGCACCAUAGAAGAACAGGUGAGGAAACAAGAAGCUAAGCUCCAAGAGCUAGUGGAGGCCAUACAGGCGUCGAAGGCAGAGCACCAACAGGAUAAGAAGGACUUGAAGAUGGAGCUUGAAGAAAGUAACAAGCGAAUGGAGAGUCUGAUAACAGGAAUGGAGCAGAAUCUCAAUCAAGUUCUUGAACAGAAAUUCAACGACCUACUGACUAAAAUGUCCUGUGAGAAGGAGAAGACAACCGAAGGAGGCGGUAGAGUGAUAGAUCAAUCGCCACUUCUACCAACACCACCAGCUCAUCAGAGGCUACUCCUGGAGUAUGAGACUCAGAGGAACUUCAAGAAGGAUUGGAGUAAGUUUCAAAUUCCAAAUCCUCCUAAAAUUGACUUGCAAAUGUUUACUGGAGAGAAUCCUAGAGAAUGGCUGCGUAAAUGCAACAAAUAUUUCCUGAAUUAUCAAGUUCCUGAAGAACAUAAAGUCGAUGUCAUUGAAAUGUAUUUAGAAGGCAAGGCUGAUAGGUGGUUCCAAGGGGUAAGAAUGGAGAAACCUAGACUUAGUUGGGAAGAAUUUGGGGAAUUACUGUGUCUCAGAUUCAAUGACAGGACUUGUAGAGAUAUAGUAGAAGAAUUUAAUAAACUACAGCAAGUAGAUAGUGUGGAAGAAUACCAGGAGAAAUUCGAGGAAUUAAAGACCUUGAUGAUGAUAAGAAAUCGAAAUCUGGAUGAGAAGUACUUCAUCUCUAGCUUUUUGAGUGGACUGAAGGAAGAGAUCAAGCCUAUGAUUAAGAUGUUGAAGCCUGCAACCUUGGUUGAAGCAUUUGAGCUGUCACAAUGGCAAGAGUACUCCUUGAAACUGCAGCAUAAGAGUUCUAAAGAAAAUGUCAAACCUAUAGGAGAAAACAGGUUGGGGUUGUCCAGAAGCACUACUCCUGCUCCAGGAACUGUUUCAUAUAAACUUCCCUUCCACAACAGCCAUAGACCUCCUAAGUCGGGGGGUAUGCAGGAAGGCACCAAAGAACCUAGGAGGCUUUCUACACAAGAAAUACAAUACAGAAGAAGUAAUGGAUUGUGCUUCAAAUGUGGGGAAAAGUAUGGAGUGGGGCAUCAAUGUAAGAGUGGCCACAUGAACUGCUUGACCUUAGAAGAAGAGAAGGAAGCUACAUUUGAAGAUGCUCUGGGUGAACAAGAUGAACAAACUGGAAAUCUAGGCCAAACGAUGGAAAUGUCCUUGCAUGCCCUAUCUGAGGCAUUGAAAAGAAAAACCAUUACACUGACAGGAGUUUUGGAUGGGGAAGAGGUGCUCAUCUUAGUGGAUACUGGAAGUUCUGACAGCUUUAUCAGUAGUGAGCUGGCCAUUGGGAUGGAUAUUAAAUAUCAGUGGGUGGAUCAACCUUUUUUUGUGGUCAUGGGAAAUGGGACCUAUGUUACCAGCAAUGCUGUCUGUCCUGGUGUGCAAUGGAGUAUCAAUCAGCAUCAAUUCAAGUUCAAUCUCAAAGCCAUGGAACUGGGAGGAUGGGAUAUCAUACUAGGAGUGGACUGGAUGACACACUUCAGCCCCAUCACCUUUGACUUCCAACAGCUUAGAAUUUCAUUACACCAUGAAGGAGGGGAGAUUCAUCUGCAUGGCCAAGCAGAUAAGUGUGACAUGGACCUGAUCAGGGGAAAGGAUUUGAGGACCUUCAUUGAAUACAAAAAACAGAUGUGCAUGGCUAUGCACUCGCACCAGAUUAAGGAGAGCAUACUGGAUUCCAUACCACAGGCAGUUCAGGAACUACUGCAGGAGUUUGAAGAUGUAUUUCAAACUCCCACCUCAUUACCUCCUACCAGGAGUGUGGACCAUGAGAUACCGCUUAAACCAGAUGCUCAACCCUUCAAACUCAAACCUUACAGAUACCCUCACUGCCACAAGGAGGAGAUAGAGAAACAGGUGACUGAAAUGUUACACAGAGGCAUUGUAAAGCACAGCAACAGUCCCUUUGCUUCUCCUGUAUUGUUGGUCAAGAAAAAAGAAGGAACCUGGAGAUUCUGUGUAGACUAUAGAAAGUUGAAUGAGCUCACUGUCAAAGAUAGAUUUCCAAUACCCAAUGUAGAUGAGUUGCUGGAUGAGCUAGCAGGAGCAGUGUUCAAAACUAAGUUGGAUUUGACAGCAGGUUACCAUCAGAUCAGAGUAAAGCCACAGGACACCUUCAAAACAGCUUUCCAGACCCAUUGUGGACACUUUGAAUUCCUGGUAAUGCCCUUUGGCCUCACGAAUGCUCCUGCCACCUUUCAGUCAUUAAUGAACCAGGUUUUCCAACCUUACCUGAGGAAGUUUGUCCUAGUCUUCUUCGAUGAUAUUUUAGUGUACAGCUCCACACUAGAGGAACAUCUCCAACAUCUGAGAAUUGUGAUGAACCUAUUCCGAGAUAACCAGUUAUAUGUGAAGAAAUCCAAAUGUGCAUUUGCCCAAAAAAGAAUAGACUAUUUGGGGCAUACCAUUACUGAUCAGGGGGUGAGAAUGGAUGACUCCAAGGUUAGUAGUAUCUUACAGUGGCCUGUACCUAAAACUGUCAAGGAGCUGAGGGGGUUCUUGGGACUAACUGGCAACUACCGGAGGUUUGUUAGGCAAUAUGGACAGGUGUGCAAACCUUUGACUGAACUACUCAGGAAGGAUAGCUUCAAAUGGAGUACACAAGCACAAACAGCUUUUGAGCACUUGAAGGAGUUAAUGUGUUCAGCCCCAGUUCUUAGUUUACCAAACUUCAAGAAAGCAUUUGUGGUGGAGGAGGAAUUGGGGCAGUGCUAAUGUAAGAAGGGCACCCCAUUGCUUUUUUGAGCAAAGCCCUGUCACCUAAGAACUUAGAACUAUCAGUCUAUGAAAAGGAACUUCUUGCGUUGGUAUUAGCAGUCACAAAAUGGAGGCAUUACCUGGUGGGGAGUCACUUUGUAAUCAGGACAGACCAUCAGUCACUAAAAUAUUUACUGGAUCAAAAACUGAACACUGCUCUGCAGCAUAAGUGGAUGACAAAACUAAUGGGGCUGGAUUAUGAGAUACAGUAUAGGAAGGGCUCUGAAAAUCAAGUUGCAGAUGCUUUAUCUAGGAGGCAUGAAGCUGAGUCAGUCAAUACAAAUAAUUCCUGCCUGGCUAUUACUGCUGUCAGGCCGGGUUGGCUGGAAGAGUUGCAGAACAGUUAUGACAGGGAUGACCACUGCCAAACAAUCAUGGCUCAACUACUGUUGGAUUCCACUGCUCACACUGAUUAUAAAUUAGUGGAUGGAGUACUGAGAUACCAAGGGAAGAUAUAUGUGGGAAGUGCCAAUAACACUAGGAACCACAUUCUUCAAGUACUUCAUGGCUCAGCAGUAGGAGGGCAUUCAGGACAGAAGAGUUGUUGGCAGAAGAUCAAGUCACUGUUUUAUUGGCCAGGAAUGAAACAGGAAGUGAUCACAUUCAUACGGAACUGUGACACCUGCCAAAGGAAUAAGUCUGAACAUGUACCUUAUCCUGGCCUGCUGCAACCAAUUUCCAUUCCCACACAGGCCUGGACUCACAUUUCCAUGGACUUCAUUGAAAGGCUGCCUAAGUCUCAAGGGUAUGAUACCAUACUAGUGGUAAUUGACAGAUUCACUAAAUUUGGUCACUUUAUUAGGCUCACUCAUCCUUUCACUGCUAAAGUGGUAGCACAAGUUUUUCUGGACAACAUAUUCAGAAUACAUGGGCUACCUGAAUCCAUCAUCACUGACAGAGACAAGGUCUUCACCAGUGGAUUCUGGAGGGAAUUAUUUAAGGUGAUGGGAACAGAAUUGCAUUAUACGUCCUCUUACCAUCCCCAAUCUGAUGGCCAGAGUGAAAGGCUCAAUCAGUGUGUGGAGAGCUACUUGAGAUGCAUGACAGGUGAAAUGCCCUCACAGUGGAGCAAAUGGUUACCAAUGGCUGAAUGGUGGUACAAUUCCACAUACCAUUCCAGCCUCAAAAUGACACCCUUCGAAGCACUGUUUGGAUAUAAACCAGUACCCUUGCCACUGGGACCUUACUUAGACUCUGUGGUACCUGCAGCUGCUAACAUGCUCCAGGAAAGAAAUAGAAUAUCAAAUUGCAUCAAGGACAACUUAGUUAAGGCUCAGCAAAGAAUGAAGUACUUUGCUGAUCAACACAGGACCGAGAGGGAAUUUGCUGUUGGGGAUUGGGUGUUUCUGAAACUUCAACCUUAUCGACAACAAUCAGUGGCAGUACGGAAGUGCCUCAAGCUGUCUGCAAAAUACUAUGGACCAUUUGAGGUGGAGGAGAAAGUUGGUUCAGUGGCUUACAAACUGAAGUUACCAGCAGGCACUAAACUACACCCUGUGUUUCAUGUCUCACUGCUCAAGAAGAAACUGGGCACGUUGAGAGGAAGUUCUGUCAAUCUGCCAGAAUUAGAUAUACAAGACCAGUGUCCCUUACAGCCAGAGGCAAUCCUGAGUAGAAGGGUCAUUUUGCGCAAUGAGCAACCUGCCAUUCAGUUCUUGAUCAAAUGGAGUCAAUUGGAGGCAGAGGAAGCUUCUUGGGAGGAUAAGUCCUUCAUUGAACGACAGUUUCCUGCCUUCCAGACUUGAGGACAAGUCUGCUCUUAAGGGGAAGGAAUUGUCAGGUUACAAACUAAAGGGCCUUAAACGCAAUAAUGAGCACUGGUUAGUGCAAUAGAUAAUUAGUCAGUAGAUUUGCAAAACGGUGUAGCUUUGGUAAGGCAAUACGAUGCCGUUCCAAUUAGUACAAUCAUCAGGUAGUUAAAUUCAGUUGUUAGCUGUCUGACAAGUCUGUUAGAAUUGGUUAUAAAAGUAGGGCCCAUGUAACGACCCCAUUUUCCCCUGAGGCGAACCAGAGGGGUCAACGGGCCGCCUGCCCAGCUCUCGCCGAGACUCAGUCGAUCACUACAGUCCUCAAACAAAUACAAGAUAAAAUCUCAAAUAUAAAUCAAAUAUAUCAAAAGCGAAGCGUCCACGCUUCCACUGCACUACUCUGAUCCUUGAUCACAAUAAUAAUACAGGAGGAAGUCCAAAACUUGACUAUUACACAUCCAAUCAAUUCUAAACGUUCAAUACAAUCCCAAUAUGAACGAUUACACAAAAGGAAAUCCAAAUUCAAUCCAUACAUGAGAUAAUCCAGGAUAAACACUACAAGCCCUUCCUUCGCCUUGAGCCCUGUGGAGGGGAAUAAAACAUUUUGGGGUGAGCUAGAAGCUCAGCGAGUAACCAGUGAAAUCAGUUAUCAAAUCAGUUUCACAAUCGUUCAUGUCAAUAAUGUCAUGAUUCAGUAAUCAAUGCACUUUCAUUGCUCUUUGCUCUCGUGAGCCAGUGAAACAUGGUACUUAGACGUCCAACGCUCCAAACAAUCAGUUAACAUUGAACAUGUAACAGUAAACAGUGAGAAAGAGCCCAUUGGCUCUACAGGAACAUUAAACAGUGGAGAAGACGUUGGGGUCCAGUACACGAAUUCCAAGUACUCAUUUGAGCCAAAACAUGUCAAGAACUUAUAUGCCGGCACACAGGAUAUGCAAUCAAAGAAACUAUGCAAGAAACAUUGCAAAGGUAACGUUGGAAAUAGUUUGAGGUCACUCACCUCCACGGCUCACAAUCUUUGUCCAAAAGACAAUUUCAUCAUUCAAGUCCAAGCCUUUCACUUGAAACUUAAGGCAACCAACGCUAUUCAAAAUCGGACAGCAUUUCCCCUUAAUUCCUUUCUUUUUCCAACCUACAAUCAAACCCAAUCACAUAGCAAUUAACCACAAUUGCUCAUACAAUUCACAAACCAUAAAACAUAUCCAAUUAGGGCCUCAAUACCCCUUAAUUGAGCCAAUUAGAAGCUCAUAAGCCAACCUUGGAAAAAUUCCCAAAUUGAAACCCUAAAACCAGAAAUUAUACCACAAGCGUAAUUUUUCCGUAAACAAUCACAAUUAACGAACAAUCACCUCAUUUAACACCAUUUCAAUCCAUCAAUUCAAGCCAACUAAUCAUAAUCAUUUAAAAUCAGAAAAAUACCCAAUAAAUCAGAAAUUCAUCAUAAUUUCCUUCAACCCAUGAAAUACUCCACAAAAUAACACACAUGGCCACUACAAAUCAUUAAAUAACCAAUACUAGAACAAAAGUAACUUGUAUAAUCAACUCACCUCAAAUUCAAGAGAGCUACCAACUUAGAGCUUCCCUUCAAAAACCCAAUCCAUCCAAAGCUUUAAACCACCAUAGUGAGCACUUGUGUGAACUAGUUGCCAAAACCACCGAUUAAAACUCAAGAUUCAAAGAAGGAAAUCAAAGGAAAGAAAUGGAGUUUUUCUUUUCUCUCAAAGCUCACGGAAGAACCAGGGAAGAAAUGAGAUAUUUUGGGUGCAAAAGUGGAAUAAAAAGGGAGGAAACAGCCGGUCAAAGCUCAUGACCGACUCUGCCACGUCAGAAUCCGGCCGGAAUCUGGCCGGAUUUCCGGCCGGAUUCUUGGCCGGAUUCAAGGCAGUGGCUAAGUCGAAUUUUUUUUCAAAAUGUUCAAACAAUCCGGCCAGCAAUCCGGCCAAGAACUGGCCGGAUUUGCGGCCGGAUUUGGCCCUUGCCUUUUUUCAAAACUUUUCUUUUCGUUUCCAAGUUCAAACAUUGCGCUCCUCCGCUCGUCCAACAAAGAUAUAUAGAAAAUAAAACCUUCCGUCAUACGGGGCGUCACAAUCUCCCCUCCUUAAACGAAUGUCGUCCUCGACAUUUCACUUGCACUAAUCAAGUCACGAAUCCCUUAGACGGCACUCAAGCUUCCAAACAAGCACUAAGAAUCAAACAACACUUACUUGUCUGAAUUUCGGUCCUACAAGCAAUCACUUAACCAUACCCACAGUCCGGCAUCCUAAACUUCAAGCCUAGGAUACACUACAGAGAUCUGAAGCCUAAGCUCUGAUACCAACUGUAACGACCCCAUUUUCCCCUGAGGCGAACCAGAGGGGUCAACGGGCCGCCUGCCCAGCUCUCGCCGGGACUCAGUCGAUCACUACAGUCCUCAAACAAAUACAAGAUAAAAUCUCAAAUAUAAAUCAAAUAUAUCAAAAGCGAAGCGUCCACGCUUCUACUGCACUACUCUGAUCCUUGAUCACAAUAAUAAUACAAGAGGAAGUCCAAAACUUGACUAUUACACAUCCAAUCAAUUCUAAACGUUCAAUACAAUCCCAAUAUGAACGAUUACACAAAAGGAAAUCCAAAUUCAAUCCAUACAUGAGAUAAUCCAGGAUAAACACUACAAGCCCUUCCUUCGCCUUGAGCCCUGUGGAGGGGAAUAAAACAUUUUGGGGUGAGCUAGAAGCUCAGCGAGUAACCAGUGAAAUCAGUUAUCAAAUCGGUUUCACAAUCGUUCAUGUCAAUAAUGUCAUGAUUCAGUAAUCAAUGCACUUUCAUUGCUCUUUGCUCUCGUGAGCCAGUGAAACAUGGUACUUAGACGUCCAACGCUCCAAACAAUCAGUUAACAUUGAACAUGUAACAGUAAACAGUGAGAAAGAGCCCAUUGGCUCUACAGGAACAUUAAACAGUGGAGAAGACGUUGGGGUCCAGUACACGAAUUCCAAGUACUCAUUUGAGCCAAAACAUGUCAAGAACUUAUAUGCCGGCACACAGGAUAUGCAAUCAAAGAAAUGAUGCAAGAAACAUUGCAAAGGUAACGUUGGAAAUAGUUUGAGGUCACUCACCUCCACGGCUCACAAUCCUUGUCCAAAAGACAAUUUCAUCAUUCAAGUCCAAGCCUUUCACUUGAAACUUAAGGCAACCAACGCUAUUCAAAAUCGGACAGCAUUUUCCCUUAAUUCCUUUCUUUUUCCAACCUACAAUCAAACCCAAUCACAUAGCAAUUAACCACAAUUGCUCAUACAAUUCACAAACCAUAAAACAUAUCCAAUUAGGGCCUCAAUACCCCUUAAUUGAGCCAAUUAGAAGCUCAUAAGUCAACCUUGGAAAAAUUCCCAAAUUGAAACCCUAAAACCAGAAAUUAUACCACAAGCGUAAUUUUUCCGUAAACAAUCACAAUUAACGAACAAUCACCUCAUUUAACACCAUUUCAAUCCAUCAAUUCAAGCCAACUAAUCAUAAUCAUUUAAAAUCAGAAAAAUACCCAAUAAAUCAGAAAUUCAUCAUAAUUUCCUUCAACCCAUGAAAUACUCCACAAAAUAACACACAUGGCCACUACAAACCAUUAAAUAACCAAUACUAGAACAAAAGUAACUUGUAUAAUCAACUCACCUCAAAUUCAAGAGAGCUACCAACUUAGAGCUUCCCUUCAAAAAACCAAUCCAUCCAAAGCUUUAAACCACCAUAGUGAGCACUUGUGUGAACUAGUUGCCAAAACCACCGAUUAAAACUCAAGAUUCAAAGAAGGAAAUCAAAGGAAAGAAAUGGAGUUUUUCUUUUCUCUCAAAGCUCACGGAAGAACCAGGGAAGAAAUGAGAUAUUUUGGGUGCAAAAGUGGAAUAAAAAGGGAGGAAACAGCCGGUCAAAGCUCAUGACCGACUCUGCCACGUCAGAAUCCGGGCGGAAUCUGGCCGGAUUUCCGGCCGGAUUCUUGGCCGGAUUCAAGUCAGUGGCUAAGUCAAAUUUUUUUUCAAAAUGUUCAAACAAUCCGGCCAGCAAUCCGGCCAAGAACUGGCCGGAUUUGCGGCCGGAUUUGGCCCUUGCCUUUUUUCAAAACUUUUCUUUUCGUUUCCAAGUUCAAACAUUGCGCUCCUCCGCUCGUCCAACAAAGAUAUAUAGAAAAUAAAACCUUCCGUCAUACGGGGCGUCACAGCCCACAUGUAAUGAGGAAAACGAUUAUUGAUCACAAUUCUUUGCUGCUUCUUGUUCUUGCUCUCUCUUCCUCUCUUCCCUUUCUUUCUCUGUUUCCCCAAUUUCCUUCCAAUCUCCCUAAUUCUUGACUCUUCUCGAUUAAAUCUUACAUCAUUCCAGAAAUCAACCAGGAGGCCGUGACAGAAUACUAUCAUUACCUGUGGUACCCGUUAAUGGGUUCAAAACCCAUUUACUAAACAACUAAGUAUUACUGUACCAUAUUACCACUGAUAUAUUUGUACACGUAAUUCCCUACCAUUCAAAGUCUAAGAACUUGAUUAAUACGUUUUUUGUAUUAUUGUAGAAACUAGUUUCUUGCUGUUCUCUUGUGACAAAAUUGGCAUGUACCUAAAUUUACUAAUUCUUAAUAAGUUUCAUGUUUUGUUAUUCUUUGUCAAUACAACUUGGCAAGCAGCAUGAAUAACAAAUCAGGUAAAAUUUUUUUAUCUCACUUCUCAAAAAUAAUUUUUUUAAUGGUAACUCUCCUAGCAUGGAUUGAAUCUGCAACACAAUCCUUAAGUUCAAGGGUAGUCAGUGUUAUUUUUUAAACCACAAGGAAGGUGAGUGCUAGUGUCAGAAAUUUCAGAGGAGGUUUAUACAAUUUUCCCUAGAUACUAAUAUACAUUUAGAUCCCUUUAUUUAAUUCCAACAUUUUAAAUUCCACCCUUUAUCUAAUCAUAGGCCUUGGUCCAAUGGUGAGUGAUAGUCUCUUUAAACCAAUAUUUUGAAACUCGGACAGUUAAUUGAAUCGGCGAGUUGUUCAAUCAAGAUUCAAUCGAUAGGGCCGGUUCAACUCUAGCUCAAUGAAUUUUUUAAAAAUAAUUUAUAGAAAUAUAUAUGCAUAAAAUAAAACAUGUAUUGGACCAAUUUAAGACUUUAUAUGAUAAAAAGUUUAAUAUUUUCAAAGAAUUUGUAUUUUCACAAAUCAAAUUAUACAAAAUCGAUGCCUAUGGAAAUUAGACAUUAUGAGUUUAAAUUUUCAUUCAUAUUUUUUAGGAUUUAGAGAUUGCAACUUUAAAAAAAAGUUUGAAAUUUGGAGGAAAUCAUGAAAAUAAAAAAUAGAGGUGUAAACUUAAUAAGAGGCAAAAAAAUAAGAAAAAAGUGAAUGGAUGCGGUAUUAAGUAAUUAGUUUUUAGGGUUAAUCUAUUCUUUUUUUAAAAUUUUUUUCACUUUAACAGAAAAUCGCCCGUUUAAACGGAUCGUAUGGUUUAAACAAUUCUAACCGAUUUUUAUGUCCAAUCAAUCUAAAGUAUGAAUCAGAUCGGAGCUAUGAUUGGUUCGCGGUCCGAUCAGUCGAACCGAUCGAUUUGGUCCGAUUUUCAAAACAAUGCUUUAAACCUCUCUCGUACACUUAGUCGGGGGUUCAAAUUCGGCUAAUGCAUCUCACAAAAAGUAUAAAAAUUCGACUCCCCUCAAUAGAGUAGGAGUAGGGUAGAUAGUCGUCAUUGCAUACCCAAAAAAAAAAAAAAACUUACAUGCUAAUCUGCAUUCGUAACGAUUGUAUGCUUCCGUUAGUAAAGAUUAAUCCACAUAGUAUGUCAUGCAAAUCUUUUUUAAUAAGUGUAUAAUUAUUUCUGGCUCGAGUAAGUGUGUAUAACAUAUGGAAUAAUUAUUGCAUUAUUCUUUGUUUUGUAAUAUAAUAUAUGUGAGAUAAAAUAUAAAAAGUAUUGAAAGAUGAAUUUAUGAUACAAAUAAAUAAUAUUUAAAAUAACCUAGGAAAAUUAUUAUCAUCAAAAUUUUCCUAAUCUAAUAAAACUAGUCCAUUGAACAUGGCGUUAGGCUUUAUCCCCUAUUGAUCUUUAAAAAAAAAAAUUCCUCACAAGGCACACAUAUUUUUAUUUGAUAAAAAAGGUUACAUUCUCCUUAUGUUCCUAAUGUAAAAUUUGGCCUAAAAUCGGAUGUAAGUUUUGCGAGCCAAAUAUAAGAGUUCUUAAUCGUAAGCGUUACAAAGUUAUUCAACAUGCGCUUUUGUUAAAACAAUUAAAAGCUGAAUUCCAAUACUCAAUUGAUCGCAUCUCGCAUUGUCAAGCAAAUGAUUUACCACCACCCCAUAAUAUAUUAUACUUUCCAAAAUUCAUUCUUUAGGAUAAUGAUUUUUGUCCUAACUGUCGAGUAUUUAUACUUGUUUGCUAGCGUAGUAUUUUGAAGAAUAUUAAUGCCAUUUAAUUGUUCUCAUUUGUAUAGGUUUUAUAGCUAGCAAGUCCUAGUCCUAGAUAUGACAUCUUUAGAGAAGCCCCAUUAUGCAUUACCGCUAUGGUGAUUACUGAUGCAGCGUCUGUUCUGGAGUCUGGCCUGUUGUUCCCUUUGUCCUUAGUGUGAUUUUCGUCCAUAUCCUUGGGAGCAGGAAGCAUGAACUGUACCUGCAUCUGGCAUACAUACAGCUGGAACCUAAUCUUCACACGGCAUUAAUUAAGUAGGAGAGCAAAGGGGAAUUUGGAAUUCAUCCCAUUAGUGAAGUGAAAAUUCUUUGGAUUUUGUUUUUUAUGUUCGGGCUUGACGUUAACUAAAUACUUACUUUCUAUUGCUAAAACAACCAAAAAAAAAGAGAAGAGAACUUUACAUUGCUAAUGCAAGAUCAAAUGAAAAUGAAAAAAAUUGCAUUAUGCAACUACUAGAAAACAACGGAAGAUAAUCAUUAUCAAAAGAAAUUUCUAUUUCCAGAGGAGAGGAAGAAACUUUUAUGCUAAUUGGGGAGUUGCAAUGGGGGGCAGAAAUAUAAGAUGUGAGACUUAUUUCCUACUCGAACUCCACUAUGAUUUUAGGAUUGCUUACAGAAACGCAAAAACAAAAAAAAAAAGAAGAAAAAAGAAUGUUCAUUUACUUCUUUUUUUUCAAAGCAUUCAGAGUAAACAAAUUAUGAAUUGAAUCUUACCUUUAAAAGCUGAUAAUAAAUAUUCUAAAAAUACUUAUCAACGUUCAAAUUGCAGAUUGUUUAUUUCUGUAGCAAGACACGAAUCCAACAAUCCUGCUUCGUGGAACAUUUACGAAUCUUAUUAGUAUUAGUAAAUACUACAUUAAUCUACUAAUUUUCUUAAUUUCAUUUGUUUUAGUAUAGAGAUAGGCAAACAGAAGAAUUAAGCAGUCAUUUCAGAAUCCCAAAUUAAUUGGAUCAAUUAGGAGCAAUCUGAAUUGUCAUUUUAUCUUUAGGUUCUCCAAGACUUUGGACUUUUUGACUUUACCCCAUGCACUACUUGAGCACUCUAUUUAUUUAUUCUGUAGAUAAAUACAUCUUGAACAAAAAUUGCAGCAAUUGUGCUGUUUGAUUAUCUAUAUACCCCUGCCGUUGCUCUUAUAUACGGUAAUUACUCUUUUUCGCUUUAUCCAUGACUAGAAUCUAAUGCCAGUGAUGGUCCAGCUUCUAUAAAAAUCCCAGUCUCUUCCAGAAGUUGCACCUAUUGUUGUGUACUGUACAAAUACGCAAUGCUAAUAAUGAAGGAAUAUCAUUUUUACGACUACAGCUGUUUGUGCUCUGUAAUGCUUAUUGUUUCAUAAUGCACCGCUAAAUUACUAUGAUGCUCAAAUUUGGGUUACUUUUACCGCAAAGAUGACCAAUAUGAGUGUGAAUACAAAAUUCUUUUGACAUUUGUGCACUUUUUGUUUCUGAAUAUUAAGAUGCACAAUAGUUGUUUGCAAAAAAUUUCACCAUUGCAGUCAUUGUGCGGAGGAGAAUUAAGAAUUAAACAUAUUUAUACAGGAUGGAUUAUUAAUGUCAUUUCAACUAACGUAAAAAUAAAAAAAUUGAUACGUAGGGGUGAGAAUCAAUCGAUAAUUUAGUUAAUUAAAAUCAGUUAAAAUCGGUUUAUAGUCCUUUAACAGUUGCGAUUGAAAUCGAAUUCACUGAAUCAAAGUAAAAUUGAAUUGAGGCCAGAAUUCAGUUUCGAAAUUAGUUAAUCAAUUUCAUCAAUUUUAAAAUUUUGUUAAAAACAAUUAUUUUGAAUUUGGCAUCCAAAAACUUUUUUUUUUUUAUUAAAGAAGGGUAGUAACUGAAGUUAAUAUCAUAGUGUGUAACUAUGUAUGUUUAUGUGCGGUUAACUUGUUCUAAUGGAUUUAGUAUUAUAUAUUUACUAGUUACUUGUAUUUAGAUUGUAUUUAGAGCGUAAAAGGUAAUUAAGACUAUUUAGCAUUCAAAAUAACAUAGGCCAUACGUAUAUAAUAUGUAAUAUCUAAAGGCACAAUUAAGUAAUUAACAAUAUAGAUGUCUUAUAAUAUAUAUAUAUAUAUAAUAGGAAACAUGAAAUCGUAGUAAGUUUUCAGUUGAGAUUGAGAUUGAGAAGUGAAAAUCACUUUCAAACUAAUUAAUUGCUUUCAAAAGUUAAUUAUAUACCGAAACCGAAUCGAAAUCGAUUUCACUGAAAUCAAUUCACCAAUUUUAAUUAAAUUGGACUAACCAAAUUCGUGCUCAAAAUUGUUAUGUGUAUCAAAUGCGUGUCUAUCUACCUCAAAAAAUUAGAAAAAGAAAAAGGCCACGGGAAACCGUAAACUACUAUUAUUAGUUUCUUUUUUUUUUUUUGGUGCUGUAUUUGCAGAUGUGUAAUGUGUUUCCACAAAUAAGGUAAUAUUUGGUAAAGUAAAUAGAAAGAAAUUCAGCAUUUCUGCAACACUCUUCCGACUUGGUAGAUAAACCCAGCAGAUUUUCCCCACCAAUGACUGACCUCGGAAACCAUAAAAGACCUCAAAAUCAACAAUUGCUGGAAAAACAAAAAUUGAUGCUAAAAGUUAAGACCAUGAGAGUGAAUAUGGCCGGGGUCGAAAAGCAUGGAUAUAAGGUGCCUUUGGAUGAGGAUUAAAAUGACAUUUGCUUUGAAGGGAAAGGAAAAAUUAAAUGGACCUGUAAUAAUCUUUAUCUAAUUCACCAGAUUUAUAAUUUGACUAAGGGACUACCAUAACUCUCUCUCUCUCUCUCUCCAAAAACUACUGAAGGCUUAGCUAAAUCAUCAAAAUUUAAUGAAAAUCACUUGUCUACUUGUGCCAAACCAUGUAUGUCAAGAGGUUUGACUAAUGAGGAAAAAAGAAAUCACUUCAGGGCAAAAGAGAGGCAUUCACUAUAGUAUCUUCACCUCACUCUAUCUCAUUUUUCCAUCACUUCGUUUUUUCUACACAACUUUCUCUCUAUAUAUUCAGACAAAGUCUUAGUGAUUCCAAAUUAUGUUAAAAUUAGUUUAUGAAUCAUUCCUGAAUUUGAUAAUUGAACGGUCGUUACAAAGAGUAUUUCAUACUUUUUUUUUUUUGGCUUGUAACAGAAUUGAAAGUUAUGUGCCAUCAAUUUCUUCUGGUGAUGUUUCAGAACUAAUUAAAUGGUGAUACAACAGAAAAAUUAAAGUUAGUAGUUGUAAUUGUCCCAAAACAUUAAUAUUAUUGUCUCUUAUGAAUGUGAGUCAAAAUCUAUGAACCGCCAAACUCACCUGAAAUUUCAGUCAAACCAUAUAAUUUGGUUGCAUUUAAACAAUAUAAAUGCAGAGGCAGUAAUCCUGAUUAAACAAAUGUGUUCUAACCAAACGGGUCAAUAAGGAUGGGAAUGACUAAUGAGGAGUAGGUUAGUUUAACUAUACACUUUGUAAGUCGACCCUAAUCAAACUUAAUCAAUAGCCUAGGUGCUACUUACAAAUGACUCGAACUACUUAUAAUUAUUUGACAACCAACCAAAAAAAGAAACUCAUGAAAAGGUACAAUGGCUAAUAGCUAUAGUUGGAAACAAGCAAAAGUGAGCCAUGGGUGGAUGUGCUGCGGGCUCAAGUCUAAGAAAAUUAAUAUUUGCUGCAAAAAAGUGGCUUUUUCAUGUGGUGUGUCUGGUUCACGUAAAUUGUUUUCCAGUUACAGCACAAGACCAGCAAAAGACUCAUUUAACAGGCUUUUAUGAAGUUCUGCAACUUUGUUGCCAUUGCAAUUGUAGACUUACCUCUGAAGUCUUUUCGUCUUUUAUUCUUCAUUAUCUUCUUCUUCUUUUUCUUUUUUUUGUUGUUUGGGUAUAAGACUUACCUUUUACUUCUUUUUCCCCCCUUCUGUAGAAAUAUAGAAUUACCUCUCCAUUGUAAUUUUGUCCACCUUUGAUUGUCUGUUGCUUGCGAAUUUUGUGCUCAGAGGAUGUGUUGAGUGGAUGCUAUAACUCUUCUUAGUUUCCUCACAUAAAUACUCCAGAAUUCCUCAUACUUAAGAGAUCGAAAUUGUUCUACCACGAUAGGUGAUUUAACAUGAAACUCUUAUGUCAAAGUUGUACGAUAAUGAGAUUCAAAGGUUUAAGUACUUCCUAAUUUCUUUCUUCUCCCCUCACGCUCACAACUCUCCCCAAAAAUGAAGAUACCUUUAAAAACCGACUGAAAUGGUAAUUCCGAUUAUAUACAAGUUAAUGCUUAUGCGUUUCGAUUAUGCACAAAUUAAUGUGCAUGUGCGUCUUAUAAGGGAAAUAGCUAUUUAACAAGGGAUUUCUGUAACAUAUGCCUGACGCACUCCUUGAUACACUUAUAUUACACUUAAUUUUUCAUAUAAAUGCAUGCAUUCACAGUUAGUGCGUCCCAAGUCCCAACAUUUAAAAUUUUUUCUCAAAUUAAUUUCAACUUUAUCAAAAAAUUUAAAAAUAAAAUAACACUAGAGGCCCCAAUUAACUUGUUAGCUAAACCCUUUAAAGAAUGCAUGUGAGUGUGUAUUUGCAUAAUAAGCCAACUAUGAAUUCCUAGAUGUUUUAACAAAUGCACAAGAACAGACGGUCGUGUCUUUUAAAUAACUGAAUCAUUUUAGGAGGCAUAAUGCAUGUAUUGUACAACUAGGAGGUGAUCACCGUGCAUGCCCAAUAUUGCUUUGUGCCCAGGAUUGUUUAACAGCAAUGUAAAUUGUGCUAGAAAAUAAAUUAUACAAUACUAAGUAAACUAUGAUUGCAAAUCAUCUAUGUCAAGAACUUGGUUUUACGUCAAAAUAAUAAUUAAUACAGGAGUUAAAAUGGUCUUCCCAAAUGUUUAUUAAAUACCGUGAAUUAGGAAACACAUUAUAGAAUAUAAAUUACAUUCAAAAUCUCUUUGUGGUGAUUAACCGAAAUCCAAAUUCCGAAAAAUGCAAAAAUAAAAAAAUUUUGUAAUAAUAACUUGUCCCCAAAUGAUUCACACGGGGAUUGGGGACUUCUCGGCUUCGGGUCUUAACUGAGCCGAGCCAACGGGGAAACAGCUCACUUUUACCAUUAAAAAUAAAUCCAUGACACAUUUGUACAAUUUGUUAACGUUUUGGUAAUUAUGAAAAAUUUGUCAAAAAAUGUGCAGAAUUAGCAAAGGAGGAGCAAUGUAUAAACUGAUUUCAACUAACAAAAAGUCACCACAACUUAAGUCUACAGUAAGAUUUGAGCUUCAUCGCUUUCAAUUAUUGAAUUUUCAAACUCGAUCAUUAGCACAAAAUAUAAUUACGUGACUAUUUGAUAAAUUAACUAGAAAGGAUCAGAUUCCAUAAUUAGACAUUACAUAAUGUAAUCCAUAACGAGUCUUUAACAUAACAAGAAACAUAGGGUUGAAAUAAGUAGCAUCUAAUAUGUAAUGGCUAAUCAUAGCCUUAACAUUCAAAGCACGUAAAAGCGAGACCAAUUUCAUGGAGACGCCAGUCAGCCAGAAGUGUCUCGUCCUUCGCUGCGGCCGGUGCGGUGCCUGAGAAGACAACAGCUCAGAAAACAGAAUCAUAAAUAAGAUUUAGACCAGAAAAACAACUAGAACAGAUCAACUAUAACCAAACCCAAAAGCUUCUUACGAGCUCAUAUUCCUCCUGGCCCAACCGCUGAAGAAGCCAAUAAAAUGAAAAAGGAAAGAUAAUUAGCCCUGAGUUAGAGACAGAUUCACUCAAAAAACAAAAACAAAAACAAAAAAUCGGAGAAAUUUUUUUUUUAAAAAAAGGCAUAAUUGAAGUAUGCCCUGAAGAAGAAGAAGAAGACGGUGAGGGUGGGGGAGGGGGGGUUGGGGGAAGCAACAAAAAUCCUGAUUACCGACGUAUAGCAGACCCAGCUAAAACAGCGCCACAGCCACAGGCGACACCUAUGAGAUAAUUCACAGUAAACCCCGCCAAUUGCCUGUAGGGAUGCAUCGAUCGGCUGCAGAAAAGAUCAAUACCGUCAAUAAUAAUAAAAGACGCAGGGUGACAUUUGGGAAUUAGGGCCAAGAAUAAUCAAAGGAAGGAAGAAGAAUCAUGAUGGCAGUUCAGUUGGAUGGACGGAGGAGAAUUACCCUUGAGAGAGAGACCACAGAGAUCUAAUGCUAAGAGAAUUCAAGAGGACUCCGUGGAGAGAGGAUGAAGUAGCAAAAGAUCUUCUGUCUGGGAAUUAGGGCUCCGUCCAAUAUACCCCAAUCCAGAAGAAAAAAAAAGGAUUUCGGGUUUCACUGGAUUCCAGCUGUCCCUAGAAAAGAAUAAGUAUUAAGUACUAUUAAAUUAGAUAGUAGGAUAAUUGCAGAAACCUAAUUAGCUAGCAAUUACCAUUCCUGUCGUUUCUAAAAUAGCGCACACCCCCCCUUCCCCAGGGAGGUAAUUGGACAUAUUUCUAAUAAUAAAUUGUAAGAAUUUACUUUUAUGCCUUAAUUAAUUGUAGAAACUUAAUAACCAAAUUUUAGAAAAACAAUAUUUUUUAUCCAUAAAUUGAGUAACUAUUUAAACUAGAUUACAUGUGAGUUUUAACAUCAUUAGCCAAUGUAAGCGAAGCUAAUGGAUGGCUCCAAUUUCUGGUUGACAUCUCUUAAGAUGAUAGGGGCUGUAUUAUGCCAUCUCUAUAGGUGGAAUUGGAAAAAAAAAAUACAAGAGAGGCAAGGCCGUACAAGGCUCUAAGUUCCGCUGACUUAUGCUUAACUUUUGUAAUGACAACAUACAUGUUUCCAUAUUAUGUUCCUCAAACCAAUCAAUCUAUGUAUAAUUUUAUACAACUGAAGAGAGAAAGGCCAGUAAGCAAUUUUCAAACUUCUCCUAGAGCAAGUAUAAAGAGAACUUGUACAAAUGCAUAUGCUCAGUUCAUUUCUAUUUUAAAAUCUCAUCUAGUUCAGCCUAAUGCUGCUUGUCAAGCAGCUACAUCUCUUUGCAUGAAUGCAGUUAUAACUCUGUAAUUUGGAAAUGCAGCAGUAAUUUUAGUAUGUGGUUCUAAUGCACUUAAUGCAAUUUUUCACUUACUAAAUACAGCUUUAUCUUAUUAGUGUUCACUUCUAAUUACUUGUAAUUAGACUUAUCAACAAUUUUAAAUGCAGAAUGGCUGUUCGAAGAACAUGGAUGCAGUAUGGUCCUGUGAGGUCUGGAACGAUUGCAGUUCGUUUUUUUGUUGGUCUGGUAAGUUUUGCAAGUUUUGCUGUUUAUGUUUUUGCUUGAUUACUUUAUUUGUCACUUAUGCUUGCAUUGGAUAAUCGCUACUUAUCUUGCCCUAGUUAUCUACUUAAUUACAGGCAAUAUUAUUUCACAAGUACUGCUGCAUGUAUAUCUGCAGCAUUGAUGUGAACUAUUACUUCUAGAAAGAGGAUUAGGACAUGCCCAAAUCCUGAAACUCUACCAAUUUUUAGCAAUUCAUUUGCACACUGUAGUUCUUGAAUUUACAUGCUUGAUUCUAGAAUAUAGCAUCAACAGCACAAGUGAGCCAUAAUGAAGAGAUGAGAUUCUUUGAUAGGCACUACGAAAGGGAACAACUUUGUCUGUUUUAACUUACAAAAGAAUUGUUGCUUCAUGGAAGAGCGGUUCAAUGUAUUAGUUAAACAUGUAUCAUUUUUUUUCAGUCAUGUCCCUAGCAUUUGACUUCUGAAUUUUAACCUGCCAUUUGUUGGACAAUAUGAUGAAAGUGUCACCUCUGCUUUGUAGCAUAAAAACCAGGUGGUGAAUGAGGAGCUAUGGAAUGAGGCGAAAACUUAUGGUGACAUCCAACUGAUGCCAUUUGUUGACUACUAUAGCCUUAUCACAUGGAAGACUCUAGCUAUAUGUGUAUUUGGGGUAAUGUCUUGUCUCUUUAAAGCUCAUGGAAAGUUUCGAGUGCCUCUUUCACUUAAAUCUUUUGAACAGACACAGGUAGUUUCAGCAAAAUUUGUCAUGAAGACAGACGAUGAUGCAUUUGUUCGGGUGGAUGAAAUUUUGGCCUCCUUGAAUAGGAUUAAUGUGAGCUGUGGUUUGCUUUAUGGGCUCAUUAAUUCUGAUUCACAUCCUCAUCGAAGUCCUGAUAGCAAGUGGUACAUUAGUCCUGAAGUAAGUUUGUCCUGAAUGCAUCUCAUUCUAUGGUUAGUUUAUUGUUAGGGCCUAAUCCUUUUAUCACUGAAAAUCUAUAUCUGAGAUUAGAUAUGCACAUAAUACUUGCGGCUAGAAGUGGCAAUACGGAUAAAUGGUUCAUAAUUGAUUUUAACUUAAUGGAUGGUGGAUGAAAUUUAUCUAAUCCAUUUAGAUCCAUUUAAUAAAUGGAUUUAAAUGGAUGAAUCUAAAUGGAUUAAAUAAAAACCAAUUAUCCAUUUAUAAUCCAUUUAAAUAUUAUUUACUCAUUGGAGCAAUCAGUAUCUCUUACUGUGAAACGAUAUAUACAUACAUGGUAAAACACAAAACAGCAUUGAGGGUGGGAAGGUUUGUGCCUUGAUUUGUAUAAUUAUGGGAGGCUGCCCAUUUUUCUGCUAGGCCCUCUCCUUCAAGCAUUCGAUCCACAUCCGACAUCUUAGGCCGGUGGGCGGGGAGGUAUUGAGUGCAAAGUAGAGCAACUUGGAGCAUCUCACCCACCUCAAUCCGGUCACAGUUGAUCCCCAAUUCUCUAUCCACCAAAAUUUCAAUUUUAUUUGGUUUUUAAGUAAAUGGAUAUAUAUGAUUUUUAUGGAUAAUCCAUAUAAAUCCAUUUAAUUUAAUGGUUUUACUUUGGUCAACCAUUUAAAACCAAUACUAUAAAUGGAUAAUCCAAAUCCAUUUAAUUAUGGAUUAUAUGGAUGGAUAAAUGGAUUUCAAUCCAAAUUGCCACCUCUACUUGCGGCCAUAAGAUACAGGAAUAGAUGCAAGGAUAGCUAUAUCUUAUAGAAUAUGUGUGUUCAUCUAUGUUAAGAAGACAUUGGGACUUAGAAAUGCAAUAUAACUGAAGUCUUAUUCUGGGAAAAUUGUGGUUAUAGGGUAAAGCUUAACCCUAUGCUAACCUAAGAGAGAAAAUCCUGUCAAUAAAAGGCACAAAAUAUGGUUUCAACAUUUAUGAAACACUGAGAGUUCGUAAUGACACUUUUAAUCUUAGGCUUUAUGGGGAAGAGGUGUCAAAGAUUAGGCACCUCUGGCACCUCUGUCGUGGCAAAUGCAAUUAAUUAGGUUACAAUCCUCUGUCUAAAGAGGCUUUCAGACAAUCCUGUUCCCUCUCCUUUCAACUCGACUGUUUAUCUGAAGGGAGGCAAAAUUCAAGUUCUACCUGGGCAUUAGCUCAGUUAGAUGGUGCUCCAGUUUUCAAACCUUGCCAUGUCCACCGAAAAAAGUUCACAGACUUUCAUUUUGCAUACAUUUCUAGCAGCUUUCUAAUAACCCCAGGAUGCUGGAUUAUGGAGUUUUCUCGUGAAAUUUUGAACCUCGUGAGGUUUUGGAAGAUGCAUCUCUAAUUUCAACUUGUGAUAUAUAUCAUGGUUCAAAGUCGCGGUCGCGGUCACGGUCGCGGCCUGGAACGUUCCACAUCGGUCUCGGCAUAUCGGUCGCGGUUUCGGUGAGACGCAAAUUUUAAAAUAUUUAAUAUUCUAAAAAUUGUUAAUAAUAUAAAAAUAGUAUGCUAAACAAAAAUAAUAAAAAAUAGCAAAAGAAAUGGCCGAGUCAAUCCGUCACGGUGUAAUUUGACUGAUUUCUCGUCUUGACUCAGGAUAAUUCGGAGUGAUUCGGGGUGACUCGGCCGAGUCAAUCCAUAGCAGUGACGUCUCGGCCGAUUUCUCGGAGAGUCAAGUAUCUCGAUAUCGUUUCGUCACGGUAUCGUAUCGGUAGGGGCCGAGACGGUGACGACUCGGCCGAGACUUCGAACCAUGAUAUAUAUAUUAUUUUCUUUCGAUUAUAACCGUGGUAUAUGAUCAAAUCUCAUUCUCUUUUGUAUUUCAAUUCAGGAAUGGCCAGAUGACUCCUAUCCUCCUUGGGCACAUGGUCCUGGAUAUGUUGUAUCAAAUGAUAUAGCACAGGCAAUCUACAAGAGAUACAGAAAAGGCCAACUUAAGGUACAACUUUGCAUCAGUCUCUCUACGCCAGUAGUCUUUCAGAAAUAUUUAAUUUAGUUGUUUUGCAUGUAAAUAAGAUUGCUUCCAUCACCUUGAUUAACUCUUGUAAAGUCAUUGAAAUGCUAAAAAUCUUGUGGUUUACUGCUGCAGAUGUUCAAGCUAGAGGAUGUGGCUAUGGGAAUUUGGAUUUCAGAUAUGAAGAAGCAAGGUUUGGAAGUAAAAUAUGAAACAGAUGAGAGGAUCUUCAAUGUGGGAUGCAGAGAUGGCUAUGUAAUUGCCCACUAUCAAGGUCCUCGAGAAAUGCUUUGUCUUUGGCAGAAGCUUCGGGAGGCAAAACGUGCCAACUGCUGUGGCGAUUAGAACAUUUACUCGAGUAACCUUGGCCGAUGGAUGAUUGAUGGAGAUCCAUUUGACAGACAGAGAAGAUUCGAUGUGGAUGCUCCCAUAUUGGAGUGGAGCUGGAGAAAAGUUGGACAGUGAUAAGGAAUUACAAGUACAAUUAGUAGUUAUGUAGAUAGAUAAUCAGCUUAUAUACGUAUGUUGGUUAGAGAGCUUAAUUCGUAGGACAUAUUGCAAUGCUGUUCAUUAUGAGCAGCUACGGUUAGGUUUUGUAUCAUAUGUUGAGAGGGAAUGAUCAGAAGAUGCGGCUUAUGCCAUUGCGUAGAUGGAUAGAAAAUAUGUGGUAUUUUACUCAAAGCCAUCAUAAUAAUUCAUUUAUUUAUACCUAAUGAGUUAUGAUUUGCAAUUCCAAAUCGUCCAAAUUCCAAGCUAAACCUUUGGUCCAUGCCUUUAGGAACCGGCAUUAACCCUCGAUUAAUGUUUAUGGGGCAUGGCUGAGAGGGAUCUUGGUAACUUCCGCGGACGUUAGAUUUACAUUCAGACUCUUGGACAGAAAACCCGGUCGUCACUUGUGAACAGUUAGUUUACGGGAAGUGUUUUGGUGAGUUGAUCUGAAUUUUCAAAAUGAUAAAAAGUGAUGAUCCAAUCUUAAGCAAUAACUAUUCUCAAUUAGUAUAAUAUAGUCCGUUAAGGGGUGAAUAUUUUCUAAUUUUGGAGAUGGUUUCAUUAGGUAACUAGAAUAAAAUUUCGUAAUUGUCAUUUCAUCCCCAAAGUCAGUCCCUGUAAUAUUCUUCUCCAGCAGGAUUAUAACAUUGAAGCCAUCUUGUAUCUCUAAACAAUAAACACGAGCAAAUAGAAGAUCACAGGAAAACAAUUAAAAUAAGUAAAUUAACACAGCAACUGAACAAAAGCACUACUGUCUUCUGACGCUGCCAUUAAAUCUUUUGAAGCAUAACGCAGUCUUUACAUCUCUUAGAGAAUGUGACGACCCCACUUUCCCCUAAGGCGAACCAGAGGGUUGGCGGGCCGUCUGCCCAACUCUCGCCAGGACUCACGCACGCACACUAACCCGAAUCCUUCCGAAGAAUAACCUAAACUAUUACAAUAUCGCUUCCCUCAAAAAAGUCAAUCACUAAACCACAUUAACUUCAGAGGUAGCAGUAAUUUAAAACGGCCAGUCAACGGCCCCUAAACAUCCCAGGCGCUACAACCAGGGAAUAGGGUUGUACAAAUCGGGUAUACAAAUAAAAUUCAUACGAACCAGAUAUCGAAAUUAGGUUUUACACUUUUCCAGCAUCAAGUGGCAAUCUAAAACAAAAGUACAUAAUUCAUGUUGAAGCAUAAUACAACCCACACAAUAGCCAUAAUAUCCAUUACAUCCAAAAGAAAAGAAACAUAAGUAAGUUCAAGGCUUUCAGUUUCCAGAACCUGUCAAGGAAAACAAAUAAACGUGGGGUGAGCUAAAGCUCAGUGGUGCCCCAAAAUCAUGCAAUCACUUGAAACAAUUAACACGUAUUGAUUCGACUGAAGUAAACAAAUAGGGAAGCAAUAAUAUUCGGGUAUACCUUAGACUGGUCGAGGGAUUCACCCAACGACAUUACGUCCAACACUUAUAUUUAUAGACUGAUCGAGGGAUUCACCCAACGACUUUACGUCCAGCACUUGAUUAUUAUAGACUGAUCGAGGGAUUCACCCAACGACAUUACGUCCAGCACUUGAUUGUUAUAGACUGAUCGAGGGAUUCACCCAACGACUUUACGUCCAGCACUUGAUUAUUAUAGACUGAUCGAGGGAUUCACCCAACGACAUUACGUCCAACACUUAUAGCAAGCGCAAGCAAAAUAUUCACGAAAAACACUUCACACAAGUCACCACUCGAACGGCUAGUGUGAUAAAGUACACACUGCUCACUUCGAUGGAUCAAAAACUAGUUUUGCAAAUUAUCACAUAUCGAGUCAAGAAAGCACUUUAACCAAGUAAGCAUAGAACAGGCAGGGACACUCACCAAGAGUGGAGUUCAGAUAUCAAGUUGAGAAUCGAAUUCCGCGUCCUCGCAAAAUCCUAGAAACCAAAUUUUGAAACUAUGAGUUUUUACUCAGUUUUUAAGCUUAUAGAUAUUGAGGUAUAUCUAAUAUACUACUAGUUCACUUUCCCUUAGAAAAAUCAAGAAUUUCCAUAGGUUGAAACUUGACAAAUUUAGAAGAAAUGUUUCUUAUAGUUUUCCGUAAGAUACUCUUCCUUAUAAAGGGUAACUAGUAUCCUUUUCUUGAAAUAAGUCGACAAAUCUCUCAACAACAAUGUUAGAAAGUUACUUUGAACAUUUCUCUAAAGUUACGGCUUUUGCAAAAAUUAUCCUUAAGAACUAUUUUUCCUAAAAUAGGGUUUCUUGCCGAGCAAGUCUCCCAAGCUUUUCACUAAUCUUAGUAAAGCUCGUAUUUUGGAACUUUUCCUAUAGUUAACUAUCCAAGUGCAAAGCUUAAAGAAAGAAAAAGAAUUAAAAUAAGACUUAGAGUUUCCAAAAGAUAUAGAACUUAUUUACUAUAGCUAUCAAGGCUAGUUUGAGCUAAAGAAAAUUAUCGAGUUGGAAAGUUUUAGGCAAAACACUAGAUAUUGAGUUUUUAUAAUUUAAUACUAGCUGGAGAAUAUUUUUGAUUAAUUUGAUCACAGUUACUCAAGUUCGCAAGGUCGAUACAACUUCCACAGCUCCGAUUCCGUUUCGAAGUCAUAAUAUGGAUUAAAAUAUGGCAAAUAAUCACAUAGCAAAUUACUAGGGCUUCGUCAAUCAUUAGCCCUAGAUUUCAACAAGUGCACCUCUGAAUAAAAUAAAAUAGUCAACCAAGGCUUCAUCAAUCAUUAGCACUUGGUUUCAGCAAACCCAUCAUAAACAAUUAAAAAUAAAAGUAAAGCCUCCAAGACAUUCCAGCAAUUAACUUUCAUCACCCUGUAGUACUUAUAAAAUCAUUCAGAUGGCCAAGGGCUUCAUCAAUCAUUAGCCUUUGACAACAUUAAUCACUUCCAACCACAAUUUAAUCAAGAAUUUAAACCACAAGUAAGCUGCAAGUUCAAUUCAAAUCAGAAUUUAAUUCCAUGAAGAAAACAGGACAUUCAUACCAAAACAGUCCACUUCAAGGUUUCACAGACAGCAGUACACAUGGAGGAAAAGUACGAAAUUUCUACAGAACAAAGGCCUAUGAUUCUAGUUUCAAACGCCACUGACGGCGCCUUAAACGGAUUUUCCUACACCAAAAUAUCAACAUUUUAUUGAGACUGGUCAUGGAAUAUCCGAAAAUCUGGAACUUCCAUUUUUCACUUGUGAAAAUUCUUUUUUCUCUUUUAACACCAAAAUGUUUUUAUUCAAACCAUCUUUAUACUUCUUAUAGAACUUCAAAACAACAUUUUCCAGGCAUUGCCAUCCAUUAUAUGUCCAAGAAAAUUUCCAAAAUCCAAGUUGAUAUUUCAACUCAACUUUCGGCAGCCACAAGAAAGUUUCCAGCAUUUGUAUACCCACAUGUUUGGUUAAAUCAUUCAAGAUAUCAAAUAUUUCCUUGCUAAACAAAUUAUACAAUUUAAAACUUACAACCCUAUUGUACUUCCAAAUCAUCAUACUUCCAGGAAAAUAAAAUAAAUUACCAAAAACCAAUUAAACUCCAAAAACAAACUGAAAUUGCUGGUUCAACCUGGCUAGCGGCCUCCAACAUUUUCCAGCCACCAAUACGCUUUAUAUCAAAUUUUCCCUCGGUUUAAACAUGGUGCUAGGUACUCAAUUUCAGCAUAUAAACACCUAGUUAGUUGCUAAAAAAUUCCACUUCAAAACCAGGUUCAUAUAACAAAUAAAAAAAAAAUCAGAAAUCUCAUCCAACUAGUCACGGUUGCAUCAAUGCAUGAAGGGCUUUCUGUUUUCAUUUCAUUUUCGGGUUUUAAACAUGCCUUUAAACUCUCAAUUUCCGUUUACACCUAUCUGGCUAGCAAGUAAACGUGUCCAGUUCUGAAAUCAAGCUCAAACAACAACCGUUAACAUCAAAAAUUUCCAAAAUUUUCCUUGCUUGGCUCGGUUGAUCAUGCCCUGAGGCAGAUUGCACUCUUAAUUUUUUUUUUUUCCUGCUUUAACCAACUAAUUGACCCCAUGCAGAGCCUAAUUUCUUGUUAUUAGCUAUCUAAUUAUGAUUAUAAGCUUAAACCACAAAAUUCACAUCAAAUAAACCAGAUCAAAGAGGAAAUAUCAUGUCAAAUUCUCGGCAGAACUUUUACUUCCAAAGCAGAAUUUUUCUAAGACCUUGAUUUCCAUAACCGGCUGCUUAAAAUUACAUGCAACCUCUGAUAAGACUUCCUCUGAUAAUACUUAACUUAAUUAGCCCAGAAAUUUACCUUAGAUACACUCUAAACUUACGCACAGAAAUCUGGAAUUUUCUUCCUUCCUCUCGGCUCUCACGCACCCUGUUUGGUCCUGCGUUCAAUUUGCAGCUGGAAAUGGUGUUGUGAUGUAGGUGGUUGCAGCUGGUGGAUGUUGGUCUGAGGUUGACUUCCCUGGUCUCUUCCCUCAGCCUACGGACAGAGUAGAGACAAAAGGAAAAUGCAGCUCGCGGC